rnacentral:lncRNA from 1 species
GGAGGGAGCAGCUCCUAGGUGGGCGAUGAGGUACCUUGUCGUCGUGGUCGAGGAAACAGCUCCUCGCCGGUGGUUGUAUCCCGGCGGAGGCGGCGACUAGGGUUAGAGAAAUGGGGGGCGGGAGAGAGUAGUGGAGGAGGUGCGCAACGGGGGAACAGUGAAAUAAAGGGAUAAAUAUGGCAGCCACCUGUGUUGGUGGCGGGAUUUAUUUUCGGGAUGGCACCUGUUUUGGCGCUCUUUUUUUGGUGGCACAAUUUGUAUUGAACAAAUACUAUCGCAUCCGAAGUCUAAUGAAUAGUCUUGAGUAAUGUAGUGGUAAGGCCUAUUUACUUUGAUUCAUAGCUCCCGGGUUUGAACCUUGUGUGGGACAUUUUUUAUUUUAUGAAAUUUGUGGGAUUUAUUCCUUUUGUUUUGCUUUGACUAUUUAAAUUAUUUUUUUUGCAAGUUUCAUUUUUUAUGCCAUAAAUGGAUGAACAUAUCUCUCUUAGUGAAAAGGAACACUUAGGGAUGCCACCUGGAUCACUUUUGGAUGGUAGGUUCAUAUAUGCACUCUAGAUUGAUAUGGUGUUCCAUGUGUUUAAAAGCCAAGAGCUUAUAUGCAUAUGUAAGUAAUAUAUGGUUUAUAGUGUUGUGAUAAUCCUUGGGAUGACAAACAGUUUAGUUUUUCGAUCUUGCUAUUAUUGUGAUGCUACUGGCUUUAGAGCCCAUGGUACAUGACUUAGCGAGAAGGAUAUGUGUGAUGAAUGGAUGACUCUAUGAAGAUGUGCAUGCAUCACCACUCUAUGACAAGGACAAUUACAUUUAUUGGUAAACUAGUUCUACAAAUUGCACCAAUGCAUACAACAACAUGGUGAUUUGGGGAAAGUGGUAUACACAUCUCUCACUUAGUGACAAGGAACACUUAGGAAAUAUAUGGUUGAUAUCUUAUAAAAUUACAAGUGAUUGCAUGACUUGUUUCUGAUGGUAUUAGAGAAUAUAUGUUUAAUAAUUUAUUAAUAUACCAGUUUGUAAAAUUAAAAAGAAAAACAAUUGGGAAACUAUAGUUCAAGUCUAGGAAUAAGAAAGAAAGACAACACAAAAAAAGAUUUAUUUAAAAAAAUGGCACCCAUAAGCCUCGAACUCGGGUGGUGGGGAGGAAACUUUGCUAGCUGAACCGUUGCGCCAUAACAGUGUUUUCAUUAGGAAUCGGCCACGACCUUCUUUUAACUUAAGUCAUGGCAGUAGAUAAAUAGGGGAUAAAUAGACAAAUCCCCGAGUCCAUUCCCCUCCCCUCCCCUUCCCCUUCCCCUUCCCCUUCUCUUCCAGUCAUCUGGACAAACGAAGCCGCCGCUUGGGGUUUUCCUUGAAUAGUUUCUUGGUCGCGAGAACCGCCGCCGCCCCCGCCGAGGGAGAAUGGCGCCUCGAAAGACCAAGGCACAGUCGGAGCGUCCCACCCGCAAGCGAGGGACAUUGGCGCCUCAGAAGACGAAUCUGGCACAGUCGGAGCGUGCGACCCGCCAGCAGCGGGAUGCCAAGGGGAGGUUCAGCGGCCCAGCAUUGCCGGCCACUCCGUUCUCCUCGCCGAGGACCAAUCGUGGCCGGGGAGCCGUACAUGGCCGGAGUCCUGCAUCGGCAGGAUCUAGUCCUCGGGGAGGCGCCGUACAGACCCCGCGGUGUUCCUCGGCGAGGAGCACUCGUCGCGGAGGCGCCGUACAGACCCCUCGGAGUUCCUCGGCGGGGACCAGUCGUUGUGGAGGCGCCGUACAGGCCCAUCGGCAUUCCUCGGCGGGGAGCACUCGGCGUGGAGGCGCCGUACAGGCCCCUCGGUGUUCUGAGGCAGCGAGCACUCGGCGCGGAGGCGCCAUACAGGCCCUGCGGCGUUCCUCGGCGGGGACCAGUCGUCGUGGAGGCGCCGUACAGGCCCCUCGGCGUUCCGCGGCAGGGAGCACUCCCGGCGGACUAACCAUUUUCAACGCCGUUGACUCCAACGACUGUGCAUCCUCCGACGACUUUGGAUCGACCAUGUGGGGAGAAGAGCACAACCCCGAGGUGACAUUCCCCAUUUCCCCAAUUCCUUUAGGAUUGCUUGUGGUAGAUCAAUAGGUAGCAAUGAUCAAGCAACCAAAAUAUGGUCACAAGCUUUGGCCAAUUGUGUUGUGCUUCAUCACUAGAUACAAAUACUAGACAGAACUGCAUCAGGUGGAUUUCUUAGUAUGAGGAAUUGACAAUUUUUUCAGUUUGUCUUUGCAGACUUGCAUCGACUGUCUUCAUGAGGAGUUGGACAAGAAGAAUAAGAUGAUCAAGAAGCUCAUGCGUCAGGUGCAGCAACUGUCAACUAAGAAGUAGGACUGCAAGUCAUGUGGAAGCACCUUGAUGUUUUGGAGGCACCUCGCUGUCCUGGGUCACAAUGUCGUGCUGUUAAGUAGUCUAGAUGUUGAUAAGUAAGGUAGGGAUGUAGGAAAUGUUUUGGAGGCACGAAGUGUUUGGUGAAUGCUGGAUGUAUAAAAGACCUAAAUGGAGUAAUGCUUGUAUAUUCUGUCUUCUGUCAAUUCAGCAUGUUGUUUAGUUUGUUUCCUGUGAUCUUUUUUGUGUGAUGGCAUAUAAGCUCAACUCAUAUAUAUAAUAUAAUAUAAACAGAACAGAAAAAACAACUCAUGGACAAAAUUCUCUGAUAUGAACUAUGAAUCUAUCAUAUGGAAAUAACAUCAAAUUUAUUUCUAUGAGAACAAAUUAAACUGAACUAAAAUCAAACAAGAAAUAAAUCAAUUCAUCCAAGACUACAAGUCAUCAUCUUUGUCUUCUAUGAACAUGUCAUCAUUGUUGUCAUCGCCAGCAUCACUACAGCAUUGCAGCAGUGUAUCAUCUUCCUCCUCAUCCUCACAAUCUUCAAGAACAAUACUAGUUGCCUUCUUGUUUCUUAUGAGUUCCUGUAAGCUGCCUUCAAUUAUAGUGGCUUCUUCACCUUCGACAUUUUGCAUAACCUCAUUAUCAUCCCCUUCUUGAAAUACAUGCUCAGUAUCUGAACAAUAAUCAUCCUGAUGCACAUCAUUAGUACCCUCAUCUGUUUCAGCCACAUCAUAAAUAUUCCUAUGUUCAAAUUUCUACACAACUCGCCAAUCUUUACCUAGUUGAGAUGUUUCUUGCAUGUAAAAUAUUUUUUGCUUGGUCUGCAAAGACGUAAGGAUCAUUCUUGUACCAAAAUGAUGUCACAUUGAUGGAUUUGAAAUGGUUGUCAUCUCGAAGGCCCACGGUCUUGCCUACUUGGUUGUACUAAUCGCAUCGAAAUACAACAACCGUUCGACGAACUUGAUGAUUGGAGUUGUAUUGCAACUCAAUUAUCUCUUUAAGGACACCAUAAUACUCUAUGUUUUCCCCAUUAUGCUCACCUAGAGUCAUUACUCCACUAUUUUGUGUCUGCAUGAACUUCUCACGAUCAACUGUGCUAAGCCGCACUCCAUUAACCUUGCAAGGUGAACUAGUCUUAACUCGGCGAACUGGACCGCAUGACAGUGCCCACAGUCCAUCACUAACGGAUUCUGGAUUCACUUUGCGCUUAUUCUCAAUCUGUUGUAAGAAAAGUGGUAGAUUGAUGAUUACAUACCAAUUAAUUUAAUAAACAUAUAACAAAAUGUUUAGUGACUAACAUGUGACCUAAACCACUUUGCAAAUCCUUGUUGAGCCAUUCGAUCAACAUCAUUUGGACGUGCACCAUGCUGCAAUAGCUCGUCCCUAUACAAGCUGCAGGGAAAACCUUAUUAAAAAUAUUGAAUUUAAUAGAAAAAACUUAAUCUCAAACAUGUACACGAUACUUACUCCAAAUAUUCGUCUACUUCCUCAGCAUUAUGUAGCACAUACCAAACUAACUUAUUCAUCACAGAAUCAUCAUCGAUGCACUAGGUACUAGUACCUCCUACAAGAGGAGCACAACGCUUGAAAACAGAGAUGUCAUCAGACAAUGGCGUCUCUGUACCACUAUCAUCAUCCCGAUUAAAUGUAGUGUCAACAUCCUCCAUGUACCUAGAUCAAAAGGUCAAGGUGCACUUGCCAUAUAUGCCUCAGCAAUUGAUCCUUCCGGCUUAGCCUUGUUCCUUACAAAAUUCUUCAAAGUGCCUAGUCGCCUUUCUAUUGGGUACAUCCAUCCAUACUGAACAGGUCCUCUGAGCAGUGCCUCAUCUGGGAGAUGGACACAUAAGUGCACCACGACAUCGAAGGAGGCAGGUGGAAAGAUUUUCUCAAGCUUGCAUAGGAUCAAUGGAAUUUCUCCUUUCAGUCAUUUCACAACAUCUAUAUCCUUAGAUUCCUACUACAUAGUUCCCUAAAGAAGGUCCCUAGCCCUACAAUUGCUUCAUAUACAUCCUUCCUCACCAGUCCUCUGAGGCCAGCUGGUAUGAUUCUUUGUAGGAGUAUGUGGCAAGAAUGCGUUUUUAGCUUUCCAACCACCCUUGUACCAUCUUCACUUAUGUAUCUUGCUAGGUUAGCCGCAUAACCAUCAGGAAUCUUGGUACCUCUCAGAAACUUGCAAAACUCGACUUUCUGAUCCAUCCCCAACACAUAUGGAGCAGGUGGAUCCCUACACACUGAGUUGCCAUCCUGCUGCAAGUGCAAUUCAGGUCUUAUGCCCAUAUCAUACAAAUCUAGUCUUGCAUUUUGUGUGUCCAAGAAUAUUUUCACAUACAUUUUUCUCUAUGUGCAUAACAUCGAGAUUAUGUGGAAGCUUCAAAUCUUUCCGAUAUGGCAAUCUCCACAACCCUAUGCGGCUAUAAAUCUUUGGACCCUCAUCGUGCUUCCUUUUAAUUCUAGUAAUGUCAGUUUGCUUCCCUAGCCUGACAUCUUUCACCUUCUCAAGCUCCUGUAAGAUCUCAUCCAUAGUAAACUUUUCAGGCUUAACUUUGUUUUCACGCUUACCAUUGAAUGCCAAAUUGUUCCUCCAUGCAUGUGUCCUUUGUAGGUAACGACGAUGACCAAUGUAGCAUAUCUUGUUACUUAUUCCCAGAGACAGCGGAUCCUUGUCGCAACGAAUACAUGCAAAAUACCCUUUUGUCGUACGGCCAGAUAACGUGCCUAGCGCUGGAUAGUCAUGUAUACACCAUAGCACAGCAGCACGAAGAUCGAACUUCUUAUCAGUACAUGCAUCAUAGGUACUGACACCACUCCAUAGCUUGAGCAGUUCUUUGAUCAGGGGCUCAAGAAACAAAUCAAAAUGCUUUCUAGGAGAUUUUGGACCUGGAAUGAGUAAAGACAUAAAGCAGUGUGCUGGAUUCACGCAUUCCCAUCGUGGGAGAUUCAACAGUGUCAAAAGCACUGGCCACAUACUAUACUGCGUACUCAUGUUGUCAAAUGGUUUGAAUCCAUCGGUAGCUAAGGCAAGCCUCAAGUUCCUCGGGUCUCGUGCAAAUUCUGGAAAUUUCCUAUCAAAGUCCUUCCAUGCUUCCCCAUCAGCUGGAUGGCUCAUCACAUUGUCGACUGGCUUCCUCACUUUCUUGUGCCAUUGUGUUUCCUCAGAAGUUCAUUUAGAAGCAUAAAUUCUUUUCAACCUUGGCAAUAGUGGAAAAUGCCUCAAUACCUUGUGAGGAACCUGCUUCGCCCUAGUUUCAUCUUUCCAUCUAGACUCCUUGCAUACUAGGCACACAUUCAAUUCAGCCUUUAAUCCCCUAAAUAACACACAAUUGUUCUUGCACACAUGGAUGUUUUCGUAUGCAAGGCCCAAUUCUUUAAGAUACUUUUUAGCCUCAUCAUAUGAUUUUGGCAACUCACUCUCGGGGUAUCCAUCUGACAGCAGCUUCAUCAUUGCGGAAAACGCUGUAUUGGAUAUUCGAUAACGAGACUUCAUAUACAACAUCCUCACCAUAAAAAAAAAUUUGAAUGCUUAGAACCUGGGCUAAGUGCCUUCUUCGCAUCUUCAAAAACUCUUGCAAACUUUGGCUUUUCUCCAUUUUCCUCUGCCACUGCAUAGAGUUCACCCAUCAUCUCAGGUACUCCAUGAUCAUCAUCGUAAACAUCAUCGUCCAUAUCCACAUGUAUCCCAAAGUCAUCAUCACGUCUUUCGUCCUCCUGCUCUGUAACCUCAACUUCAGCGGACUCCCAAUGAUGAAUCCACCUUGUGUAUGUAGCUGACAUUCCAAAAAUGUGUAUAUGGGUUUCUACUUCAGUCUGAGGUCGCAACCUUUGAUUAAGACAAUUCAAGCACGGACAACGAAUGUGUGCAUCUUCGGGGUAUCUUUCACUCACAAAUUUUAUAAACUCUUCAACUCCCUGCAUAUAUACAAGUGUGAAUUGUUUCGCAAAAACCCAACUUCUGUCCAUCUGUUUCGACAAUAAAAUAAACAUGUAUGAACACAUGUCGUAAUUGAUCAACAAGAAUUUAAAAUUAAUUUAAAUAAAACAUGUUAUACACAGUGUUAUUAUUCUGAACAUGAUUCAAAUUUAGAACGAACACAUGCGUAUAUGAAGCAAUCUUCACGCACACAUCAAACAUUACUGUACAAAAAAUCACAACAAACCUUGCAACCCUGCUUGUGGCGCAGCUAUUCUGUCCACGGCUAUCGUUGCUCUGCCCGUGAUCCGUUGCUCUGCCUGCGACGCCGCUGUUGUGCCCGUGGUCGCGGCUGCUGUGCCCGCGACGUCGCUGCUCUGCCGGCGACGCCGCUGCUCUGUCGGCGCUGUUCUUCAAAAACGCUCGAUCGAUGCCCUAGAUCGCCACGUACGAUUCUCCAGCGUCGUCGGGUCGUCGAGAGUCGAACUUGUUUAUGUCCAAGGACCCAAGUACGAUCGUGCGUGGGUCUAAUCGUGCCCCCUGUUUUUAGAAAAAUAAGGAUCUAUAAAGUAAUAAAAUCGCAUUGGAUGAUAACUGAAUUCACUUGAGUAGCGUAGCGGUAAUGCUUGUCAGAUUUUCCUAGUAACCUUAGGAAUUUUUACCAUUUAUUCUUUACUAAAGUAACAAAUAAAUUCAUUAAUGAGUAAUCCUUUUGUAAAAAUUGGUAUCAAUUUAUUUUAACAACAUUAUGGUAUUAUAAUUAUUGAAAAAUGUGAGGUGAAGCAAUUUACACUCUAAAUAAAGAAAAGAAAAUGCAAUAAAAGAAUUCAUAAAAAAAUGUCAAUAAACAUUAAAAAGUCUGCCUCCUGCGAACUUUGAACCCAGGAGGGCAUGGUUCAAGAUGGGCAGUGAUUACCAUUGCUCUAUACAAGUGUGUUCGAUAACAACUAAGCAUAGUUCAAUAUAGACACAACAUCCCUGCAUAUCUCUAUAUAGAACCUGAGACGAAACACUCAAAGUCCUCGAAAGCCAAGUUCCCCGCAGCACCGGCUAUCGUCCUCGAGGUGAGAUUAGGGUUUCCUCUCAUUGCUAGUUUCCAGAUUGAGGUGAGAUUAGUUUUCAGUUAAUGUACUCGGUGUGUAAUUAGGCAUGCCGUUUUUAAGUCAAUUAUCAUAGAAGAUGUAGAGGUACCUUUGUUUGUUCAUCUUAUUAAUCAAAUACUAUAAGAUGCAUGAGUACAUAUGUAUGUACCAGGAUGAAGGUAUUUCUUUUUAUUUAUAAGAUGCUUAGUUUGCUGACUUUUUUGCACAAAUGUAUAACAAAAUCAAGUAGUAUGAUGCAGAAAUUAUGUACUCUGAAAUUUUUGCACAUUUCAUCUGUAUGUACUCUAAAUUGAUUAAAAUGCUAUAAUUUAUGAUGCAGAAUUCAAAAUCUAGUAUGAUGCAGAAUUUAUGUACUCUGUAACCAUAAUUCAAAAUCAAGUAGUAUUCUGUAGAUUUAAUUGUGAAUCAUCAUAGGGUUGCAAUGAAUUUUUAGUUUAUUUAAAAGACUAAGCUUCAAUUGUUUGCAAUGAAUUCUCAUGUUAUAAUUUGCAUGCUUGUAUAUACUUUUCAGUAUCAAUUCAUGCUUCAUUUGUUUGCAAUCAAUUUUCAGCUUCAAGCACAACAGAAAAAAAUGCAGCAGAGUCUAGAAGCUCUUGAGAACAAGUUUGACGAGAAAGUCCAAGUUCAAAAGGAAAUGCAGAAUACCAUAGGCAAUCUGGACGAAAUGUUCUUCAAAAAUGCAGUUAGACUCUUCAUGCUGGAACAAGAGUCCAAGAAGAAGGAUGAAGUCAUCGCACAGCUGAAGGCGGAUCUGGAGGAAAUGAAGAAAAAGUAGAAGACUGCUUGAUGCUUGGCCUAUCUAUAGAUAUAUGUAUAUAGGAGUUUUAAAUGUUAUUGAGAACUGGUAGUGUCAUGUGGAGCACUUAGGGAUGCCACCAGUAGGUCUUUUGGAUGGAUGGAUGAAAUGUCAUCUGAACUACUCUAGUCUGGAAUGGUUUGUGAACCAGGAGCUUUAAUAGCACAAUAUAAGCAAUAUAUGCCUUAUAAAUAUUAUCUUCUAUGUCAUAUGUGCAUGCUGUCACUUGUCUAAAGGUAGUUGUGUCAUUUGUGCAUGCUGUUGGUGCCACCUAUUGUUUGGGCCACCUACAAAAACCAACAUCUGUCAAGUGCCAAGCUGUUGUGGAGCGCGUGACCAAAAUAUCAAAACUGAUUUGUGAUGAAUAUGUUUCGUCAAUCGAUGGGCAAAACGAGGUAAACUAGCUAUGACAAUAUCAUAUCUCAUAUGUGACGAAUACAUUUCAUCAUUCGAAUACAACCCACGAUCAACACGAUCUAUGUCGAUUUCCUAAUUUGUUAUCUGACGCUCCUAAUAAAUUCGUCAUUAAUUUUUAAGGCUAAUCUUCGUCCCUUGUAACUUAUGACGAAGAUGAAAAUUUCGACAUAAUAAGAUACCAUUUUGUGUCGAAGAUAACCAGCGUCACGAGAGAAUCGUCACUAAUGAUCACAUUCCUACUAGUGAGACAUAAUAUCUGAGUCUGUUUACUUGAGGUUGCUUAUCGAAUCUGCUAGCCAUUCAGUAGUGUUUUUCUCUCAUAAUAAAUCAGUGAACAAAACUUUUUGCAAUAGCUUUUCAGACAAAUGAAUAGGCUUCUACCUUCGAAGAUUUAAACCCGAGCUUAUGUAGUUUUGUACUUAACAUAGAGUACUACCACGCCUGUGGUGCUUGUUUUAGCCAUACAAUGCUUUGUCCACCAUAUAGAUGUGUUCAGGAGCAGUCUGAUCUUCAUAACCAAGGCGCUGCUUCAUGUACACCUCUUCUUCUAGAAGUUGAUGAAGAAACGCAUCUUGCACAUUCAACUAACGUAGGCUCCACCCACUACAGACACAGCAAUAGGCGAAACAGUUCCGGUAGUAGCUGAUCUCUACAACUAAAAAUUAUGAAGAGGACCCAUCUACCACAUUCAUGGUGAAGCCACAACUCUCCUUUUACUGUGCCAUGACAGGCUAUCCCAUCAACCCAGACCUCACUCACCUAUGCAUGCAAAAUUGUUUUAGCGAAUUAAAAAAAGUCAUAACUCAUAAACCAAAUAUAUAAAUUAAAUUCCGAUUGCACCAUUAAAUUUCUUAUAACAAAUCCUUCAAAACAAGAUCACACAUGGAUAUAUUUAGAUAAAAUUUUAUUAAUGAAUAUUUAUCUUAUAAAGAUAAAAUAUUUUCUUUUAUUAAGUAGAGACAAUAUUCUAGGUUCAACAUACAAUGUUCCGUCUUUGUAAAAAAAUGUUAUCGAUUUAGAAGAAUAGUAUUUUGGUUUUAGGUUUAUGAAACUGAUAUUACAAUAUACAUAAAAAUACAUAAAUACAUGACAUAGAUAAAAAUAAUAAUAAAAUCUAGAGUAAAAAAGCAUAAGAAAAAAAUAAAAACACAAAAUGGAGAAAAUUUUCAAAUAAUGUCAAAGGGUUACUUUUCAAAUAUCGUAAAUAUAUUUAUAGAACAUUAACAUCACUAAAUACAUCAUAGAACAUCAUUAAAUAUAUUAUAGAACAUCACAUCUAUUAUAGAUUACAUGUAUACUAAGUGAACACCAUAAGAAACAUCAUAGAACAUCACAUGUAUACUACGUAAAUAUGACAUAGCAUAACAUAGAACACUAAAUAUAUACUACAUAAACAUCGCAUAUAUAAAAAAAAUAAAAAUAAAAAAUAAAAUUACUAAGAAGAAAAAUAUAAAAACAAACAUGAUUAACAAACGAUAAAAGUGCAUAGAGCAAAUAAAAUAAAUGAAUAAUUUAAAUAAGGAUAAAGAGAAGAUUAAAAGGAAUUAAAAUAUAAAAUAAGAAUGAAGAAACAUAGAAAAUCUGAAAAGAAAAAAGAAAAACAAAUAGAAGCAAGGAAGAAGAAUAAAACUAAAACCAAAAGAAAAAGAAAAUAAAAGAUAAAAUUAAAACAAGAAAAGAAUAAGAAAAGGGCAGGAAAUAAAAUAAAAUCAAAAAACAAAAACUGAAAAGAAAUGAAAAAGGAAGAAUAUAGACAAAACAUAAAAUAAAAAUGAAGAAACAUAGAGUAUAUGGAUUUUAAAACCCGUAACAAUGUACGGGCAUUAACCUAGUUUAAUAAUAGGACUAAAAAUAUCCUCAUAAUCUAUCUCAUAUCUUUGCUUAAAAUCUUUUGCUACCAAUCACGCCUUGUUUAAUUUUCUUCCGAAAAAUUUUCUGAACACUGUAUCACUUUUGUUUAUAUGUGGUAAUUAUUGUCUAAAUAUGGACUAACUAGGCUCAAAAAAUUUGUCUCGCAAAUUACAGACAAACUGUGCAAUUAGUUAUUAUUUUUAUUUAUAUUUAAUAUUUUAUGCAUGUGCCAUAAGAUUCUAUGUGAUGGGAAAUCUUGAAAAGUUUUUGGAUUUUGGAGAGAACUAAACAAGGCCUCAAGCUCUAUAUAUAUAUAUAUAUAUAUAAGUGCUAUUCUACACCAAACUGUUAUACUGAACAGAAUUCAGUAUUGUUCAGUACUCGUGUUUCAGUAUUGUUCAGUAUUUCGUGGUCCUGGGUGUACGACUGGAUGAUACUGAACGUUGUUCAGUACUGCUCGGUAUUUUUUCUACUCAGUUUUGACUUGCGGUGUAGAAUAAUAUUCUACACCUAGGGUGUAGAAUAGCGUUAUAUAUAUAUAUAUAUAGGUAGGGUUGGUAUAUUGGGAGCCCAGGGCUACAAAUAGCUAUUGGAAGCCCCAGCUAGUCAUCCCACCUAACCCACUACGGAGCUGACAUGCGCGCAGGUGGUGGACCCCUUGGGGACCCAACCAAUCGAACGCAUAAAUCCUAGGUCAGACUGUACAGAAAAUUUUUUAUUCCGACAAUGUAUAAAAUCUAGUGUUUGCAUGAAUUAAAAUCAAUUCGUUACCACAUAGAAAAACCUUUCUGCGAGUUAGUCGUUCCACCUAACUGCACCUGACACGUACUGACACAAGCUGACACAUGUAGUCAUGUAUGCAUCCAUUCUAAUCUCGUCCAUUUUUUCUUAAUAAUUCCUCAAUGAAGCUUUCGAUUCAAAAACGGUUUUCACCAUUAAACUCCUGAUAUUUUUGUGCAUGAUUCAAGAUCCAUUGUGAAUAUUUUUUUUGAAAAAAUUUAAAAUUCAUAAAUUUUAAAUUUGAAUCAUAGCCCGUGAUGGCCGAUUGGAUGCGUAGAAUCAUGUAUCAAGAUGCGUAAAAACGUUUUUACGUCGAUGUUGCAUAGAAAUUUGUUGUUAUCUCGUAUUUUUCAAAAUUUGAAAUUUGAAUCAUAACAUGUAAUGACCAAUUAAAUGCAUAGAAUCACUGGUCAAAAUGCGUAGCAAAGUUUUUGGCGCCGACGUUGAAUAGAAAUUAGUGGUUGGAUGAAUAAAAUUUAAUUUUGUUACCGCAUAGAAACAUCUCCACAUGGAGACGAUCUUGUCUUCUUCAAAAUUUGAAAUUUGAAUGCUGGCACGUGAUGAUCUAGUAGGUACAUAGAAUCAAUAUCAAGAUGCGCAUAAAGGUUUUUAGUGCCAUGUUGCAUACAAAUUAUUAGUUCAAUGAAUAAAAGUUAAAUUCAUUGCUGCGUAAAAACCUCUCUAUGAGAUGGACAUUCCACCUGACACAACCAUGAUUAUCUGUAACAACAUUAUGCUUUCUGCUAUGGGGUCUAUUACAACUAAGCCCCCAUCACUACCCAUACCCACACCGUUUUUGCACGAUGAUAUGUUUAUUUAAUAGAGCAACAAUGUAUAGAAACCUUACACCAUACUUCCUUUUAAGAGAAUGAAACAUACAAAACACUACAUACUAGUGUGGACUAUCCAUAAUGUUUCCAACUCACAACAUGCAUAGACACUCAUUAACCAAAUAUUGAAACCCAACAGAGGUUACAUAGAAAUCAAUAGUUCCGCUCAUAUCAUCCAAGUAUAUAAACACAACAUAUGGAAAACUAACUUUUUACAUUAACCCAUCAACUAUAUCGAAUAUCACACUACGCCACCGUCACAAGCCAAGGAAGUUGUGAACAUCGCAAGUCAUGUCCUAUGAUGUCCGAGCCACCAUUGACCUCACACCAAAAAUAGAGGAAUCCUUCCAACCAUCCUACACCACAACAAAGACAUAGAAACAUAUUUGAGCAGGCGUAAAAAACUUACGGUGGCAAAGAAAGGUAUAAAAGCAUGUUUAUUAUGCGCAAAAACAUUAUAGCUGCAAGAAACACAUAUACAUAAAGGCAUAGAAACAUGUUUUAGAAGACAUAAAAAUAAAUGCAUAGAAACCAAAUGGAGAAUAAUCCUUCCAACCAUCCUACACAAAAUAAAGGCAUAGAAACAUAUUUUAGAAGGCAUAAAAACCUUAUAGCGACAAAGAAAGGCAUAUAAACAUGUUUUAGUUCGCAGAAACCUUACAACGAUAAGAAAGACAUAUAAACAUAUUUUAGCAUGCGCAAAAAUCUAUUUAUAUUAAUGAAAAAAUCAUAACAACAUAGCAUAUAAAUCUAACUUAUCAAGCAUACAAACUUAUUUGUGAAACUAAUGAUUAAAAUCACGGACCAUUCACGUACUGCAAGUAUAUAAAAAUUAAAAUCCAAAACAUAAGAGAAGAAAGCUAGUUUAGCUAAUGACGGUAGUGACUGUUGUCUUGCCGCACAUUAUAGCUACCCAAAUUACAAUGCAUAAAAAACCAGGAACAACUCUAUAUGCAUAUUAAAUCAACAAGCAAACUAGACGGCCGGGAGCUCCAACAAUGUAUAAUUGUAUAGAAGUGCACAGAUUAUCUAUUCCAACAAAUAUAUAGAAUAUGCUUCAACAAUGUAUGGAAAUUUGGUCCACCAAUGUAUAGAAUACAUACCCCAUGACUAAAAAUUAACACUUCAAUUUUAUUACACAUCAUAUCAAGGUGAAGUAUAAAAAUUAGUGAUAAAUCACAGAAAGUUUUGAAUAUGUGCAUAAAAAAGUUUAGAGAUGAUCAUGUAACAUGCAUAGAAAAGAUUGUAUAAACAUGGUAUAGAAAAUUCAUAGAGUCAUGGCUGGCACUGACACGGGAGGGGCUCCGCAAAAAGAUCCGUCGCUACCAGCAUGGAGUCACCGUUGGUCACUAGAUCCGCACAUAAAAUUAUUUAAACAUGGCAUAGAAAAUUCAAAAUUCUCCAAUAUUGCCACAGCUAGAUCCGUUUGCUUAUUGUUUCGUAUUUUAGUGAAGCAUAAAUAAUCAAGGUCAAAUUCAUACAAAUUCUAUUCUAUUUGAAAAGUAGACAACAGAUAAGCUUGUUACUAGCACGAAUAUCGUAAACUUGUAUUCGUAUAAAAAGCAAUCAUAACAGUCAUAGAAAGUGUAUCUAUGCAAGAUAAUUUAUAAUUUUAGAGCAACAAUUUUAUUAUACAUCAUAUAUGAGAAAAAAAGCAUAAAAAUUUAAAUUAAUUUGCAUAGAAAAUUUUCUUGCUUGUCAUUCAAUUGUAUGGAAAAUCAACAUGAGCAUGAACUAGCUUCCAUUGAAAACAAGAAAAAUUCAAGAACACAAGCAUGCAAUAUCGCAAUGUGCACUUUGGCAGAUCCACACCCCAUGCCUAUGUUGGAUGAGGCCUAGCCUGCUGCUCACCAUGUCACAGAGAGUCUGCAUUUGAGGCAGGUUAAGUAUGCAUAGAAACUUUUGUAUGCAAGCUGAGAAACAGGAAUUUUGUAUGUAUGCAUAAAAUUUUUCUCUGGCCACCUUCUGCUCACAAUGGAAUGCAUGAUCUAGAAAACAUUAUAGCUUUUUCAAUGAUUUUGUGUUGCUCUUGGAGCCAUCCAAAUUGCAACCAAGCAAAGCAUAAAACACAGUAGCACAAACACAUAACUUUCCAGAACUAGUGGCCGAAUCCCUACAAAACACAUAACUUUUGUAUGCAAGCUGGGAAACAAAAAUUUUGUAUAUAUGCCUAAAACGUUUCUCCGGCCACCUUCUGCUCACGAUGGAAUGCAGGAUCUAGAAAAAAUUAUAGCUUUUUCAAUGAAUUUGUGUUGCUCUUGCAGCCAUCCGAAUUACAACCAAGCAAAGCAUAAAACACAUUAGCACAAACACAUAACUUUCUAGAACUAGUAUCCAAAAAGUUUCCAUGCAUCCAAAGAAAUUAAGCUUUCAAUUUCUAUGCACCCAAAAAUUAAUAUUUCAAUUUAAGAAAACAAUAUAUCAAGGUUAAGCAUAGAAAAAAAAAGCCUCAAGCUUAGAUGAAAAAGAAGUCUAUUUCUAUGCAUCAAAAAAAUUAAGAUUUUAAUUUCUAUGCAUCCUAAAAUAAGAUUUCAAUUUCUAUGUAUUCAGUGUCCCACUUCUUUCUCUUGUUCUUGCUGCUUCAGUUCAAACAAUGAUUAAUUGUUUGUCCUAAAGUGGAAUGGUCAGAAUAGAAAAGGAAUGGAAAUUGGUUUAAAAUUGCGAUUUACAAAGAAGAACACAGGAACAAGCAAGCAGCCCCCUUCUCGUGCAUGAAACUGCUCGCCGCACGGCGCGUGCUGCUGGACCAAAGAUGACAUCGCUAGGGCCGGAUCCGCUCGCCCCACAGAAUGCGUGCCCAUACACAUGCCCAUUGAUUAAGCGGGGGCGAUGGCCUCCUUGGCCUAGACAGUGAACGAUAUAAAUUUUUAUUCUAAUCAGGUCCGUUAAUGUGUCCUAAUAAUGUAUAGAAAUGUGGUUCGAUAAUAUAUAGAAAUGUGCUCUAAUAAUAUAUAGAUUUUUUUUCAACAAUGUAUAAAAACAAGCCCCCUUCUCGUGGCUCAUAUAUGUAGUUUCACAAAAAAAAGGCAAUUUUAGCCUCUUAUCAAAUAAAAUUGAAUGUAUGCAUAGAAACUCACUAAUGCUAGAAUAAAAACUCACAUUGAUGCAAAUACUAGAAAAUUGAAAAGCAUAAGACAUAUAAAAUUGAGUUCCAACAAUAUAUAAAUGUAUAAAAUUAUGUUCCAACAAUGUAUAAAAUGUGCUCUAACAAUGUAUAGAAUUCCAGAUGAUUUCCUAAUUACACGGUUGUGUUGACACCAUUUUUGGGCACGUGUCCAGGAUGGCAGGAUAGGGUGGCAGUACGAUGCAGGUUGCUGAUGAGGAUGGUUGCCGAUGAAGGAGAGGUUGAAUGUGACUAAGUCCACAAGCAGUAAUAUGGUGCCGAUGACUGGGUAAAAAGGUCUGCCGAUGACUAUGGCAAGGGGAUUGCCGAUGACGCGAAGGAGGAGUCCGGAAGCUGCCAGUUGUCAUGUGGAGGAGUUCUUGGUUUGUCACGAAGGAUAGUUUUAUUAUUUCCUUAGUUAUUUGCAUCGUUUUGUAUAUGGAUUCCGUGUAAUUUGGAGUUCGAAUUCUAAUCGUGUCUGGUUGUAGCUCUUUGAGCAGGGUAUAAAUAUAAACCCUAGGACCUUGUAAUCAGGAUAUCAAGAAAUCAAUCAAAUACACGUUUUUACUCAUAUUCCAGUAUCUACUUUUCGACGACUUCGUCAUAUUUUUUUUCCUUUUAUUACGAGUUCUUAGGAAUUCGUCGACUUAAGCUCGGCGUGUUCUCGAGUUCCGCGUGAGUACCUCUUAGCCGUGACAUCCGGGCGCAUCGCUGUUGUCAGGACUAAAGUAUUCAAGUUAUCACCUUUGCCGAUAGUAAGGUCAAAUCGGCUGGCACGCCUUAACGUUUGAAUCGGGUAUUAGCCCUUUGUGUUUGCAGAUCAGUUUUUGCAUCAACACAUCUUUUGGCGACCACGAUGGGACCGAUUCAAGAUCAAGAUCAACAUGUCGAUCUCUGACCUCGAUCAAGACAACGUCAUCCCCGUGAUGGAGGCCAACCUCAAGGAUGAGCAGAAGCAGGCUAUUGCCCAAGCCAUGGAAGAGUUCAAGCAGCAAUGCCUGAAGUCUUUCAGCAUAAACAGGAGCGGCGAAGUGGUCCAGAAAGAUGCACUGCCGGCACCACGGCAGGUCACCUUUGACGCCAAUCCUGGCAAGCUUCAAGAUAUGGUUGACAAUGCCAUCAAUCGAGCGUUGAUUAACCAAGCUGGUGUACUGUCUAAUACGGUUUUCAACGCCGUGGCAAGAACUUUCAAGGAAGGACAAAUCCCGCCAGAUUAUGUGGGGCCCUCCCAUCAUCAGCCAACGGCACCAGAGGUCACGGCUCCAUCGGCUGCCUUGACGAACGCAAGUGCACAACCUGCCGUCCCUCCAAGUACAUUGGGGACUACUGAUGCACUGUCUAUGCCGAUGGCAACCAACCCCCAAAUUUUAGUUGGGCAGCAUAAACUGACAACAGAUAUGUUGGCAUCGGCGAUGUCAGGGUUAAAUCUUCCUCCCAACUGGUAGGGUUAUGGUAUGCCUCCAGAGUUGACGCCGGGAACAUCACAGAUAACUGACAUGAGGGGCAAAACUCCUAUGACAUCGGCACCUCCCAAUGCGCCGGUGAACCAGAGUCCUCGGUAUACCACAACUACUACCGCACGGCCUUACACUGGGAAUCCUCAAGAUUCAAUGUUCCAGAUGCCCAACGCAUCGGCAGAGUCAAUGCUGAUGCAACAGAGGUCUAUGGCCCAGUCGGGGUAUGUCAAUACAACGACGGUACCCAAUUACCAAUCAUCGGCAGCACCUAUGCCGAUGAACGCGAAUAAUGGAUGGCUUGGACAGCAGGCCUUUCCACAAUCGCCCCAGCAGGGUUAUCAGACUACGGGGUUCCAGCAAGAGCAGGUUUAUCCCGGGUUCCAAGGUCAGGGGAUUCCCAACCAGCCAAUAAAUUUUGGACAGCAACUCGGAGGACAGACAAUCGGUGGACAGCAGUUUGGUAGUCCGCAGAUUGGAGGACAGGUGACCAAUACAAUGUUCCAUGCAGGUCACGUCCCAAACAGACACGUGGAGGUUCGCCACCAGAUGCCAGAUCCGCAGCCGCCUCAUCGGCAAGAUGCCGAUGCGUAUUGGGCCGAUAAGAUUGCUGAAGUAAUGAGGGAACAAUUUGGGAUAAAACCCAAAGUCAACACUUAUUCUUAUCGGACACCGUAUCCUCCAGCGUAUGAUUUGAUCCCGCUUCCACAUCGGUACAAGGUACCGGAUUUUACAAAGUUUUCCGGACAGGACGACACGUCAACUAUGGAGCACGUCAACAGGUUCAUUAUUCAAUGUGGAGAGGCUGGUAACAGGGACGAAUUGAGGGUUCGUCUAUUUUCAUCAUCAUUGUCUGGAUCGGCCUUUACUUGGUUCAUAUCAUUACCUCCCAACUCAGUAAUUACUUGGGCCGAUCUAGAAAAGCAAUUCCACAGAUACUUCUUCUCGGGGGUUCAUGAGAAGAAGAUCACCGACUUGGUCAAGUUGAGGCAACGUAAUGAUGAGUCGGUUGAAGGAUUUGUGCAGAGGAUACGAGAGGUCAAGAAUAAAUGCUAUAGCCUGGUUCUGGAUGAUCGGCAGCUAGCCGAUUUGGCUUUCCAGGGUUUGUUGCCACAUAUCAGGGAUAAGUAUGCCUCUCAGGAGUUCGAAAGUUUAAGUCAUUUGGUGCAGAGGAUAUCUGAUCAAGACAUCAAGCCUUUCGAGCCUAAGAGGGCAUGGAAUAAGAAAGUGUCAUUUGUUGACGAAGCAACAAGCUCAGAUUCCGACGAGGAACCACGAAUCGGCUAAGGCAGUUAAAGGGCAGAUCAUGGCCGAUUUUGUGACUCAGCAUUGCGGUCUAGUGGAAACCUUGGAAAUUGCACCCUGGACGCUCUUCUUUGAUGGAUCUACCUGUGAUCGGGGGGCAGGAAUCGGCAUUGUAUUGGUUUCUCCUAAGGGGAGAAAAUAUGAGUUUUCCUUGCCGAUUGUUGCUACAUCAACAAAUAAUCAGGCUGAGUAUCAAGCUCUGAUCAAGGGAUUGGAGUUGUUAAGAGAGGUUCGUGCUGAUGCUGUUGAAAUAUUCGGGGAUUCUAUGUUGGUUAUAAAUCAAUUGGCCGGAAGCUAUGAAUGCCAAAGUGAAGUCCUCAUAACCUAUUUCGAGAGAAGUAUGCAACUGUUAAAGGAAUUCAAGAACUUCCGAUUGGAGCAUGUUCCCCGAUUGCAUAAUGAAGACGCUAAUCGGUUAGCCCAGCAUGCCUCAGGAUGUCAGCCAAUGAUUAAUGCGACAUCGGCAGUCAGUGCCGGUGAUUGGAGGAAAGAAAUUAUCGACUAUCUAGAAGAUCCAUCCAAAAAAGUUGAAAGACGGAUUCGAUUUCAAGCGACCAAGUAUGUGCUCCUUGAAAAAUGAAUUGUAUUAUCGAACUAUCGACGGAAUUCUUCUCCGAUGCUUGGGUGAUGAUGAAGCCAGAAGUUUGAUGGGGGAAAUCCAUGAAGGAGUGUGUGGAGCGCAUCAGUCAGCUUUUAAGAUGAAGUGGAUGAUUCGAAGGAAUGGAUAUUUUUGGCCAACCAUACUUGAAGAUUGUUUUAAAUAUUUCAAGGGAUGUCAAGGUUGUCAAAAGUUCGGUAAUAUCCAGAGAGCACCCGCAUCGGCUAUGAAUCCUAUAAUAAAACCUUGGCCGUUCCGGGGGUGGGCCAUCGAUCUGAUCGGCCAGAUUUAUCCACCAUCUAGCAAAGGGCAUAAGUUCAUUCUAGUUGCCACUGACUAUUUCACUAAGUGGGUCGAAGCUGUUCCUUUGAAGAAGGUCACAUCGGCCAAUAUGAUUGAUUUUGUGAAGGAGCAUAUUAUUUACCGAUUUGGGAUUCCCCAAACGAUUACUACCGAUCAGGGCACCAUGUUCACGUCGGGGGAGUUCGAUGAAUUCGCAAUCGGUAUGGGAAUUAAAGUGUUGAAUUCUUCUCCUUACUAUGCUCAAGCCAAUGGGCAGGCCGAAGCGUCUAACAAAGGAAUUAUCAAGCUUAUUAAACGAAAGAUCGAAGAAAAUCCUAGGCGGUGGCAUACAUUGUUAAAUGAAGCACUGUGGUCUUAUCGGAUGGCUUGUCAUGGAUCAACCAAGGUGUCACCCUAUCAAUUGGUGUAUGGACAUGAUGCAGUAUUGCCUUGGGAGAUUAAGGCUGGAUCUAGGCGAUUAUCUUUUCAAGAUCAAUUGGCUGCCGAUGAUUAUGCCACUUUGAUGACCGAUGAGUUAGAUGAUUUAGCAGGGCAUCGGUUAAAGGCUUUAAUGAGUAUAGAAGAAAAUAAGAAGAGAGUUGCUAGGUGGUAUGAUAAAAAAGUAAAGGCUAAGGAAUUUGCCGAUGGAGAUUUGGUAUGGAAGUUGAUUUUGCCAGUCGGGACUAAAAGUUCGAAGUUUGGGAAGUGGUCUCCUAAUUGGGAAGGUCCUUAUCGGAUAAGAUACUCAGCUCCUGGUAAUGCCUAUAUUCUAGAAACUCUCGAAGGAGUUGAAUUUCCCAGAGCAUUAAAUGGCAAAUAUUUAAAGAAGUACUACCCCAGCAUAUGGGUCGACGCAUAAAGGUUUAAGUGCCGAUAACACUCCUAUCGGCUGGAUUUAAAUGUUCGGGGGCAGACUUAAUGUUUCAAAAGAUGCCGAUAACAGUCUUAUCGGCUAGACUAAAAGCUAAAAGCGGAGAAACAAAGGUGUGUUGCCGAUGAAAGCUUCAGAUGUUCAGCAGCGCUUGGAUUGCUGAUAUGGCGCGCAGCCGAAUCUGAUUGGCUGUCUCUAUCUCUUUGAUAUCAUCAUCAGCAGAACCUUCUAUCGGCUUCAGCUUCCUCUUCAGCUGCAGCGCUUUGCGACCAUGGACGUUUCGUUCUUGUUCAAGGUGUUUGAUGGUCUCCGGCAGUUGACUUUCUUCUUGCUGGGCUUGGGACAGAGCGUCCUCUACUUGCUUGAGUUCGGCCAGUAGAGCUUCUCUUUUUGCCGAUAGAUCAGACACUUUCUGCUUCAGUGCAUCACCUGAGGACUUUAAGGUGCCGAUGUUCUUAUGUUUCUCAUCGGCUAAGAGUUUUUCUUUCAUCAUCUCCUCAGAAAGCUGGAUUUGAGCGGCUCUAUCGGCAAGGCGUCGAGCAGCUCUCUGGUACUGUAGCUGGCGGCUUUCUAGAUGUGCAGCAUGGAAGAGUGUUUCUUCAGCAUCGGCAGGAAUUUGGCCUCUAAGGGUCUUGAACAGGGCUUUGGUUGGGUCAGAAUCGUUGACCAGUUGAGUUGUGUCUUGAUGAAGUAUGGCCGAUAGCUCUUCCAGCUUAGCUCUGGUUUCUGCCGAUACAGUUCCAACUGCCCGAGAGGAGCUUGCUUCCUCACCUUCUUCUUUGAAGAUAUCAAUGGCGAAGGAGAAUAAGCUAUUGGGAGAAUCUUGUUCCUGAAAAUGAAGAUGAAAUAAGUCAGUUUUAUGGUCAAAACUUCGGCAGACGAUACUGGUGGAAAAGUGGAUGACUUACUUGCUUCAAGGCGAUUUCUUGCCUUUGACUCAGAGAUGCCGAUGGAACUACAGGUUGAUCGGCAAAUGUUGCCGAUGGAACGAUAUCGCCUGAAAGAAGACAGGAAGGAUUAUGAGACUAAAUGAGAAUAAGUUUAUCGGUAGAAAUAUUGUUGAGAUAUGUUACCCGGAGGAGAAACAACAGUUGCCUGAAUCGAGGAAACCACCGAUGAUAUAACUGGACCUGCCGGGCCAGUUGUUUGUUCACCUACGUCAGCUGAUAUACCUUCCGUUUGAGGUUCUUCCUGCUGGGGUUCUUCCAUCUGUGGUGCUUCCUGUGUUGGUUGUGGAGAUGGUGCUUGCUGUGCCUGGACUUCUGGAGAAGAAGGGGAAGAUUCCACCGGGAUUGGAAACACCGGAGGAGGAGGAGGAGUUGCCACUUUCUGGCGCUUUGUUCCAGCCUUAGCACCUUGGAUGCCCUUCCUCUUUGGCUGGCUAGACUGGGGGGCAUCGGCACCUUGGCGUUUGGCUUUUGCCGAUGCACCAGUUUGCUGCAACAACAAAAAGGAGUUUAUGAGCACAGAUAGCCGAUACAAAGAUAGUCAGCAUAAAUGCAAAAGGGUUUUAACAGAUUGCCUUGAAAGCUUGCGCCAGAGUGGAAGCAGUUACCGUUGGUAGUGUCUGAGUUUUCCUGGUAGUAACUUUCUUGAGGCGCGCACCCCGGUGCACGAUGGAAGCCAGAGUGGGAGCAUUAUGGUCGAUUGAGGAAAUCGGGCCUGAUGGGAAUAAGUCGAUCGGUUUGCCACUCCUACUAACCGAUGGGGGGGUGUUGUCAAUCUGCAAAAGGAAUACAGAGGUAAGUUACCGAUGGGAAUGGUAUUGGAAAAUGAGACAUCGGUUUAAAAUACUUACAGUGUCAUCGGGGACUUCGUAUUCGGGGUCGAUCAUGCCGCGGUACGAGGGGGCCGAUCUGCAGAAUAGAUUCUCUUUCCAUUCUGCCCACCAUAGCUUGUAUGCUUGAGUGAUAAAGGCGGCUGGAACCCAUUCUGACAGAUCUACAUCUGUAUCGGCAUUUGGUGGUAGCUGGGCUACUCGAGUCCACUCGAGGAGGUUGGCGAUGGGUUCUCUGGGCUUUAUUACAUCGGCAUAAGGAAGUGCAAUCGGCAAUUGGCCGAAAGCUAGCUGGCGAGCUAAUGCCGAUGGAUUAUAAAACUCAUAGGUUUGGGGAGAGGUUUUCGUGCUACCGAAGAAAUUCACUGGUAUGGCUCUGGGAGUCACAAUUGCCAUCAUCACCUCAUUGUCCCUGUCGAGAGCUUCAUCAAAUGGAUUGAAGGUCAGAGGGAGCAUGCUGUCUGGAUCGUCAUAAGCCAGCCAUGGUCGUUCAUCUCUGGCCAAACCCUCAUACAGAGUCUCGAAGAAUCGGCCGAUCUGAUCCGGAUUGUUCCCUGAACCGGGUAAGACUAUAACGGCUUCACCAAAGUUCAAGGGGGCACGCGUUGCCGAUUCCUCUUCACCCAACACAUGAUUCUCGGCUAUAUCUCUUGGGAAGUGCUGUGAGAAUAAGUUGAAAUCAAGGCGCUUAUGUAGGUGCAGAUUGAGCCACAUAUUAAUAAACCACCAGGGGCCUCCCAAGUUGCCGAUGGAUUGGCCAAGCAGGAGUUUCUGGGCUACCUGAUGAAGAAGGUGGUAAACAGCGCCGAGCAAAUAUCGGCCGAGAGGAAAUUGGCCGCCGCUAGCCAGUCUUUCUGCUGCCGAUAGAAAGACAGAAGUCGGUCCUGCCGAUCGACCACAGAAUACAAACUUGUCCAGCCACAUGUUCAGAAAGGUGGUUUGCUCCUUUAUGGUGACAGGCCCUCUCCCGCGGUACUUCUGGAUGUACCCUGACCAGCCGCCGAUAGCGCGAGUCUCCACUUUGGCACUGGGGGCAGUAUCAAAAAAGUGGGUGCUAUCGGCAGAAGAUAUAUCUAGUCCAGUAAGCAUGGCUACAUCGGCAAGGGUAGGAGAAGCAGGGCCGUGGCCAAAAACAAAAGCAUUGAGAGUGUCUGACCAAAAGUAGGGUGCAGCUAUCAGCAAUGACUCGUUCCUGUGCAUAUCGGCAAUGGAUAGCCUAAUGCAUUGAGCUAGCUUCCUCUCACCCUAUUGAACUUCAUAAGAAUUGCUGACCCUCAAGAACCAAUCUUUCCACCCUACAGUAGGGCUGGGCCAAGAGCGAAAGGCGUCUUUCCAUGGAUCUAAAGAAAAGUUUUCAGCUCUAAAGGGAAUCCUGUUGGUUUCUGCAUUGAUAAGGUCGGUUGGAUCUGGAUCCCCUAGAGGGCCGAGGCACUGAAGGUGUGGUUGAUCGGUAGGAAUGACAAUUUUGUUGGACAACUCCUAGUAUUUUGAGGAAUAAAAAUACAAAGGAAAAGGAAAAGGAAAAUAUUCGGUAAGAUGAAUCGCAGAUGAACAGGAAUGCGAAAAAAAAGGUACAGCAGAUAAGAUGGAAGUCUGACCUCAGGGACGACGAAGCCAAUGGCCAUAUUGUCGUGAGGACGUUGGAGGGCACCGGAGUUGAUGAAGAGUGCUUGUCGGAGAUCUUGAGGGUUGUAGAUGGCGCCGCCGCUGGAAAAGCAAAGUUGGAUAGUAGAAUGGUGUAAUGGGGGAGGAGUACCCAAGAAGGAACUAUUUAUAGGACAAGAUGGGCAAGGGCAAAUCUGACUUAUCUCUUUGCCGCAUCUGAGAAGCCCGAGGGUACUCAGGUGGAUAUGGUAACUGUUCGCACGGUAAUCCAGGGAUUGUGCAGGCGAUUUGACAGGAAGCGGUCAUUAUCUAAAGAUAUUUUACUGUGCGCGAUCUCCUGGUCGGUCCAUCGGCGAUAUUCUAUAACGAUCAUCUUGCCGAUGGGCGGAUAGACGGGGGGUAACCGUUUUUUGCGAAUAUCCUGGUCAGAGCAUCGGCAGAUCUUUGUAACGGAAUUGUUGCCGAUAUACGACCAAGAAAGAUGCCCGUUUAGGAAGUUGGAGAUUUCGAGGAAUCUGCGGAGGAUUAGGAUCAGAGUUGUUCAGAUUGAGGUUGUCGGUUACCAGAUUAGGAGCAUUAAUUGCGGAGAAGGCAUCAUUACUGCGGAGAAUUUCGGAGCAUUAAUAGUUUUAUACUCCGAAACUGGGGGGCAUGUGUGUUGACACCAUUUUUGGGCACGUGUCCAGGAUGGCAGGAUAGGGUGGCAGUACGAUGCAGGUUGCUGAUGAGGAUGGUUGCCGAUGAAGGAGAGGUUGAAUGUGACUAAGUCCACAAGCAGUAAUAUGGUGCCGAUGACUGGGUAAAAAGGUCUGCCGAUGACUAUGGCAAGGGGAUUGCCGAUGACGCGAAGGAGGAGUCCGGAAGCUGCCAGUUGUCAUGUGGAGGAGUUCUUGGUUUGUCACGAAGGAUAGUUUUAUUAUUUCCUUAGUUAUUUGCAUCGUUUUGUAUAUGGAUUCCGUGUAAUUUGGAGUUCGAAUUCUAAUCGUGUCUGGUUGUAGCUCUUUGAGCAGGGUAUAAAUAUAAACCCUAGGACCUUGUAAUCAGGAUAUCAAGAAAUCAAUCAAAUACACGUUUUUACUCAUAUUCCAGUAUCUACUUUUCGACGACUUCGUCAUAUUUUUUUUCCUUUUAUUACGAGUUCUUAGGAAUUCGUCGACUUAAGCUCGGCGUGUUCUCGAGUUCCGCGUGAGUACCUCUUAGCCGUGACAUCCGGGCGCAUCGCUGUUGUCAGGACUAAAGUAUUCAAGUUAUCACCUUUGCCGAUAGUAAGGUCAAAUCGGCUGGCACGCCUUAACGUUUGAAUCGGGUAUUAGCCCUUUGUGUUUGCAGAUCAGUUUUUGCAUCAACAGGCUCAAGAAGCAUAGAAAAUCAAAACACAUGAUAACAAUUUUACGAAAUCCAUUAUUUAUUUAGUCCAAAUCAUAAUUGCUAUCCAUAGAAACUCGUAUAUGUAAGCACAUAAACGAAACUGCUACAGUAUCCCGACCCAAAAAAUUUUGGAAACUAAACAAGGCCCUUGUCAAUCUACUCGCCUGCUAACGCAGAUGCAGACUUGAAAACGUCGAGACAAACGCCUGCUGCGGCCGCCAUGCAUGACGCAGAUGCAGGACUUGGCCUCCCGAGGGAUGUUGGCACCCAGCUUCUCCUCCAGGGGCUUCAAGGUCUCGAGGACAGCCAUCACUUCCGAAGCUCGCCAAGCCGCACGAGCGGCCAGGAGCUCAGACGCCGAAGCAUCUACCAACGUCGGCAGCGCUCCGGAUGCGUCGUUGGCAGGGAAGACGACGGCCGAGCCCCGUGGUGGGCCUAGUGGCGAGGAGGAGAUAAGAGGAGGGAUGGAGUGGCUGGUAGACCGUCACCAUCGAUGCUCCAGGAGGCGAGCACGGUGCUCAUCCAGGGGUGGCGAGCUGCACACGCGACGGCCGGGCUCCAGGGUGGGUUGCGACGGGGUGGUUGGGGGUGGCGGCGGAUAGGGUGGCUGGAUAGGUGGGAUUAGGGUUUGGGGUAUAUAUAUAUUGGGUCUGGUGGACUGUUGGGUGAGCUAGUUGGCUGAACCUAGUUUGGUGGAACCAGAAAACACAAAUUGGACUAGGGCUUCUAAUAACUAUUGGGAGCCCUAAGCUCCUAAUAGUAUAUAUAUAUAUAUAUAUAUAUAUAUAUAUAUAUAUAUAUAUAUAUAUAUAUAUAUCUUUUCUUUUUUUUACUUUAAAGACCCAUCUACAGUAUAUGAAAUGUAUUUCUUUUCUAGGUGGAACCAGAUUCCAGGUUUUAUUUUGCAUUAGUGAUGAGUAUUCUGCAUCCAUGACUGCUUUCCAAUUCUUAAGAGCAUCUCCAACAGUUAUGCAAUUGGACUUUGCAUUCUUGAAAUUUGCCAAAAACCUUAAAAAUUGCUCUCCAACAGUUUUGCAUUUGACUUAUGCAUUUUGGCAAACUUGGCAUUUGAUGGACCAAACUUGGCAUUUUUGCAUAGGCACAAUGGCUUGGCAAUUUUGAUAUCCCGAGAAUCUUGGACUCCUUGUCGUGCCCGUACUCCCACGUCGUGGUAGUUUCCCCACGAGACGACUCCGUGUGGAAGCCUUGGGACCUGGAUGCCGCGGUGCACCCUGGGACUGUUGCCUCGAUCGGAUCUCGACGACCUGGUCCAAGCGGCGACAUGGACUUGCGGGAUGAACACGGCCGCGCGACGCGCGAGAGAAUUGGCGGCAACAGGCGGAGGAAUUGCGCGCGACGGGCGGAGGAAUUGCGCGUGAAAAAGAAAGCGCCAGCGCGACGCGCGAGAGAAUUUCCCGCGGAGAUGAAAGAUUCCUGGACAAAAAUAGUUUGGUCCACUAUUUUGGGAAAUGCCAAGUCAAAAAUGCCAAACACUUGGACGUUUAGGGACUUGGCAAACUCUAACAAAUGACAAAUUCCAAUUGCAUAACUGUUGGAGAUGCUCUGCACAGCUGCUUCUUGAUUUCGAGGCUCAUCAGCUCAGGCUAGAAAAUUAAAGGAAGAGCGCUAUUUUUGGGCUGUCGGAGGGUUUUCCACCGAGACAUGGGCCUAAACUGAAGGCCCGCCAGUUUGAAGAGAAGUCUUUGGAAGAGAAGUCUCGUACAAGCUCGGUGGCCCAAAGAAAUGUCCUUGGAUGAAAAAAACAAUAUUGCCGAAGGAGAAGUCCCCGGGCAUCUCCAAGAGUUUGGCAAUUUUGACUUGGCAAAAAAAUUAUACUAGUUCCGGAGAUCAGCGAAAAAGCAUUAGGUUGUCAGCUUCCUAUAAAAGCGCACGCAUGCAGUAUGCCAAGUCCAAUUGUCAAAUUGUUGGAUAGGAGAUUUUUUGAAAGUUUUAGCAAAAAAACAAAAAUGUCAACCUAUUUGCAAAACUAUUGGAGUUGCCCAAGUUAUUAAAACCCACUUGAGUUUGCAGCCAUCACAAAAUUUAGGGCAUUGGUGGCUCAUUUAUGUGUUGACAUGUGUCGCUUCAUGUUUUGAAAAAAAACUCCUCUAUCUUUCGAAAAAAACAACCCACAGUCUAGAGACAUUCCAACAAUCUCGCUCCUCCCACACCUGGCUUGGUCAUGAGCGGCUUGGGGACAAUCGAAACCCUAGCCGUCGUCCCCUCCUCCCUCCUCUGGGUACUGUCUAGCCGGCGUCGUCUCCUCCCUCCUCCCCUAGCCAUCGACGCAUCCUCCCUCCUCCCCUCUAUGCCUCGUCAUGUCGCACAGGCGCACCUGAAUCUAUGGGAGAAAUGGAGUGCGGCCCUACCUCUUCCUGGUGGUGUUGUGCCGCGGUCGCCUGUGCUCCCGCUCGUGGCUCUACGACGACGUUGGGGCUUGCCACACCACUGGGUCAUUCUACUCCGACCUAGCGCCUCUGUGAGAUCGAAGGACCCAUGCUGGCACUGCCAGAUCCGCUCAUCUGAUGAUCAGAUUCAUGCAGACAUGGUUGGAUCUACUCGCUUUUAGGUCGAAGUGCCCGGCUAUGAGUUUGAGGACAGUGGUAAGAUCUAGCGUGUAUUGUUUUUUGUUUUUUUGUGCCUAACAUCUUUGACAAUGAUGUUAGUAUAUACUCCUACAUGAGAAGUCAUGUUAGUGUAUUGACUCUCUUCUGUUGUAUGCUUGCUGAGACUUUUGUUCGUGAUUUCAUGUCUCCAAACAGCAGUAUCACUGAAUGGAUAUGGAAUAGUGAAUAUGUAGGUAUUUAUAUGAUAAUUCUCCAAGUGGACUCUGCUUAUUAUCCUGACAAAAUCGGCUUCCUUUGAUUUUGAUUUAUGUAAACAAGAUGAUUUGUGCGUUGACACCUACAAGGUUUGUCAUAGAGCAAGGAAAAAGCACCUUUACUGAGCAAGGUGAGCAAAAAUUCCUCAUAUAUGGUGCCUUAUUGGCCCCAUUAUGCCAUUUAGAAUGGAAUCUUUUCAAAAAAUUAACACUAGAGAACAGGUAGCAUAAGAAAUUGCUAGCAAAUCAUGCAUUUGUUUUUUUGCCAUUGUUUACAGAUUCGGAUGAGAGAAUAAUGAUACAAAAGCAAGAGGAAUGGAAGCGACAAUGCAAAAAUAAGAUAAUGUAAGCGGCACAUUCAGCACAUUGCUAAUUGAGCUUUGACUUCUAAACUUAUAACUGACAGUCUUAUGGUGUUGUGAGAAAUGGCUCUGUAUCAUGCUAUGGUGUCACGUUCUUUAGGUAAACUCAAAAGUCCUUCUACUAAGUGCAUGAUUUUUUUAUUGAUGUAUAUUAUCAUGGGCAUAAAAUCACUGCAGAUCCUUACCAUUUUGGUAGCAAUCUGCCAAGGUAGGAGCGGUGUGGAAAGUCCUUCCCCCUUCUUGUCAUUGCCUUGUUCCUCUGUUGCACUUAAUAGUAGCUCACUGCUGAGCUUGCCUAGGCUGAUGUGGGCUUGGAGGUCACCAACCCAAGGUCAGCUUUCCUUGUGGUCAUUGCCAUAUAAUUUCACUAUAUUUGCAUUUGCAAAAGAUCUGUUAGUAGAACAUCAGUUUCUACAUGUCCUUGUGGACAUGUUUCCACCUGUUUGAAUCUAAAGUUGGUUGUGGUCUUGGUUAGGAUAGUAUAUUAAGUCUUCAAUGCUGAAAUAAAUUUCUAUGAUCAUUUUGUGUGCUCGUAGCAUCAUAUUCUUAUGUGUAUGUAAUGUGGUAGUUUAUUUCUAGGACAUGUAUUGCUUGUCAAAGGAACAACAAAUAAGCUUUUUUUUGCUGAUAAAGAUACUGGUUUCAAAUACUCCACUUUAUGCUCCAGUUUCAUAUAACAACCACUUUAUGCUUGAAUCCUAUAUAAGAUGUGUUGUCUAUUUUAGCCCCAUUGAAAUUACCCCUUGUUAUAAAUCUAUAAACAUCAUAGUUGAUGUCCUUUUCUAUUUAUAGUGCAAUCAAAGAUGCCUAAUCUCUAGAAGAUGAAGAUCACAAUGCUUUUGACCAGAUCGGUUGUAGACAGCUAUAUAUGUGUUUGCAUAGAUGUGACAUGUUACGUCGUUGCCCAACUCUGUGUUUUGAAAACUUCAUGGUUGCAGUCAUGAAUUCCGGCCAUGAAGUGUAAUGUACGACUCAAUAGAGUGGUCAUACUUGUAAUGAAUGGUUGUAUAAUUUAUGGGUGAAUAGAAUCAUGAUGGCAGGGCACAAACUAUACUAUACAUGAUACUUAUAUAUUUUGUGCUAUGUAUCUAAUGAUAAUAUAUUCUUGAUCGGUGUGAUAGUGUUGAUGCAUAUGCUUGGUGUCUUAUCCAUAUUUGUCAUCUAUAAAUCGGUUUUUUGUUUAGAAAUCAUGUAGGGUGCCCGAAGGGCGCCUAAUAUUCUAGUUGAAUUCAAAGUCAGGCACGCUGAACGUCUCGUCCUACACAGCGCCACCUCAAUCACGAGUUAAAUCUGACUACAAAUAGAUUUUCUUAAAAAAAUAAAACAAAAUUUCAAAUAAUCAGAUUUUUUUUUGAAAGGUUGUGGAAUUAAAAACCAUUGCAAGAUUUUAUUAAAAAAUAAAAGAAAAAAAUUCAAAUAAUCUGUUUUUUUAAGAUUGUGGAAUUAAACCCAAAAGAAAGACCUUGAGUCACUAGUGCAUUGGGGAGUUUAAAGUCAAGUUAUUAAUGUGAGAAUAGAUAAAGGAAGACCGAAUUUGACAUGGAGUAGACAAUAAAGAGAUUUAAAAGAUUAGUAUAUACCUAGAUAUCUAUGUUUGCAUAGGAAAUACCUAGAAAUCUAUGUUUGCAUAGGAAUGCUUGCAAAACAGCUCAUGUGCCUAAGUGUGACUAGCGACUCAUGUUAGGUUUCAACUUUGGUCUACCCCAACUGGCCUAAGGCCUUGUUUAGUUGAAUUUUUUUUUGUAAAAUGAACACUAUAGCACUUUCGUUUGUAUUUAGGCCUUGUUUACUUCCCAGAAAAAUUUGCAAAAUUUUUCACAUUUCCCGUCACAUCGAAUCUUUAGACGCAUGCAUGGAGUAUUAAAUAUAGACGAAAAUAAAAACUAAUUGCACAGUUUGGUCGAAAUUGACGAGACGAAUCUUUUGAGUCUAGUUAGUCCAUGAUUGGACAAUAUUUGUCAAAUACAAACGAAAGUGCUACAGUGUCCAUUUCCCAAAAAUUUUCGGAACUAAACAAGGCCUUAACAAAUAUUGUCUAAUUAUGGACUAACUAGGCAUAAAAGAUUCAUCUCGCAAAUUAUAGGUAAACAGUGCAAUUAGUUAUUUCUUUUAUAUGUAUUUAAUGCUCCAUGCAUAUAUCGCAAGAUUCGAUGUGACAAGAAAUCUGAAAAAUUUUGCAAAAUUUUUUAGAACUAAUAACACUUGCAAAAGCUUUAGCUUUAGCGUACAAGGCCUGAGACUAAGGCUUUGCUGUUGUUAUUGUAGAGGUUGUGGAAUUUAAAACCCUUGUACGCAAACAGAAGCGGAGAGGAAUGCAAACAGAAACCGAUGGAUUUUUGCUCUAUUAGGUUAAGAAUAUGGGUCAACUUCGCUACCCAUGAGUUUAUUAAUGGGACAAAAGCUAGACCCAGCGGGUUUGUGGGCAUGGGUCUGGAUGUGUAGUACCCAAACCCGCAAACCCAUGGGUUUUUUAAACCCGAUUCACCAUAUCAUCACACAAUAUAAUUAGUAUAUAAAGUACAAAAUGCAAGAAAAAAUAAACAAAAUAGAAAACAUGCAUGCUCCAUACUUUUUUUUUAGUAGAAGCUCCUUAUGUGAAAGCUGCAGCUGGCUAGCGCGUCUUAGUGCAUGCACUCAGUUCAUCUGGACUCAAAGAUAUGCCAGAUGUUGGCACUGAGCAUUAGCAGGUCAUGGCCCGAUGCAUGCUAGAGGUGAGUGUUUCUGUCAGAACUCGCAAAUUUUUAGUGCGAAGGUGUAAUAACACAUAACAUGAGUCCCACCUUGCCAAUUAAUUCAACUUUAAGUAUUUUGGUGCGCUAUAGAGUAGACUUGCUCACUUGACUGGAUGACUAUCUUAUGACAUGCUGUGAUGGGCACGGGCAACCCGUUAAAUACCCGUGACCCGAUGGACAUGGGUUUGAACACAAAAUCAAACAUGUGACUGAUCAUGGAUUUUUUAGUGGGCAUAUUUUAUAUUAAUGGGCAUGGGUUUAGGAUGGCAAAACCCAACGGGUUUGUACCCUUUGCCAUCUUUACCCCCACCCCCACCACCCAAAAAAAAGUCACUGGUGUAUCAGUGAUGGAAUAAUUUGACAACAGCCCUGCGUCAUGUGAGGCAAGUAGUUUAGUCUGUGACUUCCGUGCUUCUCAUAUGCAUGCUUUCCCAUCCGGACAUCCAAUCCAGUAGGUAAGCACACAAAUUCAGCAAAGAAUGGGAAACCUAGCGACAGGUAACACCUAUAGUGGAACGUGAAGCAUGAAUGACAUUAUUGUUUGGGAAAAAAAAACGCUCUCCUUUGUCACGAAUCAGCAUGUUUCUUAAAAAAACACCAAGGCAAAUAAUAGAAACAAAUACUUACUAAAAGCACAGCAACAACAAAAAGCAUGAAAGACUUUCUGAUUCCACUAUUUUUAUAUAUCCCGAAAGAAAAAGUAGGAUGUCUCCAACUGAUAAUAUCUUGGAUGCAUCUUUUGUUUUCAGAUAAAUCCCUCAAUUAGAAGCAAGAUGAAUAACAAAAUUAAGCUUUUAGACCUAACUGGCACCCGCACCAAAGGAUAGCAAUCGAGUCUCACAAAACCUUUCACCAUUGGCUCAGUUAAACAAAGGUUCAUACCGUUUUGGAACUUAGAAGCCAAAAUAGGACUGGGAAGCGAACUUAAACAAAGACUGCAAAUAAAGAAUUGCAGCUAUGCAACCAUGGGGUUGAUAAACAGAAACUAAGACAAUCAUGGGUCAACACUUCCAGCCUGUUCGAUUGAGCUUAUCAGCUGAAUCUGUCAGCCAUUCAACAUUGUUUUUAUCUCACAACAAAUCAGCGAACAUUACUGCCAUAACUUAUCAACUCAUAACAAAGAGUAACACAAUUUCUAAGGAAAAAAAUCCCACCACAAGGCUCCAGACAUGUGGCUAAGUGAUGUAAGAGUUCUGACAAGAAUCCCAUGCCAUGUCAUGCAACAAGGAAAGUUAACCACUUCCUCACAUCUCAUAUGCAUGCCUUCCUAUCAAGUCUGGCGGUAAACACUCAUCUGACAAAGUCAGCAAAGGAAGAAAACCCACAAAGCAGCCACUGAAGCCAAACUGGUAACACCUCGAAACAAUCCUUAUGUGAACUUUGUUAGGCCAUUAAUCUUUGGAAACUAAAAACAAAUCCAAUCCUUUGUUGCAGCAACAAAACCUUUGCUAUAGUCACACAACAGAAGCUAUGAGCUAAAGAUUGAAUGCAAGGAUCAAAACACACCAGCAUUCGGUGCUAUAAAAUCAAGGAUAUAUAUUCUAUAGGAUGAAAAUUAAGCAGAAAAAAGGGAAUGAGAUAUAAAAUGUGUGAACUAUAGCUACAGGUUUAUAGGUAUUACAAUUAAGGCAGCCAAACAAAUUCAUGAAACUGAAAUAACAUAUCAAUACAUAACACAGCUUUAUAACUUCUAAUGCAUACAAGAUGGAUGCAAAUUCUAACAAGCAACUUAAGAAUUAUAUACAUGUAAAUGCUACCAAGCAUAACAUUCAAGCACAAAUAAGAACUUAACUACAGUGCCAAUUCCAACUAUUAACAAGACAAAAUGUAGCAUAGCUACUUGCUCUAAAAAUCCAGAAAUAACAAGGAAAACAACUGGUUCAAUCACAAGACAUAACAAACCAAGUUGUGCAAUCACACAAAACACAUAUACAAAAAAAAACAAAAAACUGAGAAAAUAACACACAGGGAAUAUUAUCGGUUAUAGGGCACAUAUGACCAUCGCAAGUUCAACAAGCAAGUUAAGAUGUGAAUCUACAUGCUACCGGGCAGGCGGGCAGAAUUCUAGGACCAAGAACAAACUAAAUUCAGUUCCCAUUAUCACCAUCACUAACACCAGAGCAGCUCCUUACUCUACAAACCGAGUUCAUUGCCAAUUCAGCUUCUAAUUAGCAAGUCUUCUGUUCUAUAACUAGAAAUGACCCACCACGAAUAUCAGUUGUCCACAACAUAAAUAAGCAACUAAAGCAAGCACAAAAGAUUAUCCUCCCAUGGCCUAACCUCAUUAUCCAAGUUUGGCAUUCUUUUUACUCCUCAGUGAAACAGGGCAGAAUUAGGAAAUCAGACCCUGAGAAUCUGAAGCUUAUUGGCAAAUGCAAUUGCAACCCAGUCAGGCUGGGUUGCCGACCACUGCAACUGCUCAAUCUCUGCCCCUGCUGUAUAUGCCAAAAUGGGAUCAAGACCGCCCUCAGCUGCUGCUGCCGCAGCUGCGUUACCAUUCCCAUUGCCACUACCAUUGCUACCAGUUCCCAUAGAUGACAAAUCCCAUAUCAGUGCCUGCAUGUCAUCCCCAGCUGUGCAGAUGUGGCAAGAAGAGUGAGGCGCCCACGCUAUGGCAUUGACAGGGGCAUGGUGACGAUGUAGCUCUACCACUGGCAGUGUUGGGUAGCGGAUAUCAAGCACAACCACCUUGGGGCUGUCCAUGAUGAUGGUGGCCAUGUACCUUGGGUCCUGCUUGUUCCAGCCCAACCUCACGAGUGGUGUCGGGGACGCAGUCCCACCAUCCCCGGCGCCCGAGUUGGAACCGCCGCCGCCGCCACCUGAACCAGACUCAUAAAUGAUUGUGGAGUGCUCCUUGUCCCGUAGGUCAAAGACGCGGACAGAGCCGUCGGCGGAGACGGAGGCAAAGACCCCCGCGCCGCCCCAGGCGAUGUCGUAGACCUCCUUGUCGUGGGCGAUGAGCUGGGUGUCGACGGCCUCGCGCUCGACGUCCCAGAUGGUGCAGGUGGUGUCGAUGGAGGAGGUACCGAUGCGGCGCGGGUCGGCGUCGUUCCAGUCGAAGGAGGUGAGCGGGCCGCAGUAGUCGCUGUUGCGGUUACCGUUGAGCUCGCAGCGCAGCUCGAUGCCCGGCUGCGGGGUGCCGUUGCAGCGGACGGAGCCGUUGUUGUUGUUGGCAGAGGCGGCGCCGUCGUCGGCGUCGUCGGGGGACGGGAUGCGCCAGAUGCGCAGGUGGUCGGCGGAGGUGGCGAGCAGGUCGGGGCGGAGCGCGUGCGGGUCCGGCAUGAACAUGGUCUUGGUGGGCGGGUACUGGUGGUCGAAGGUGAGGACGGGGGCGAUGUCGCCCGAGGCCUCGUCGAGCUGGACGACCUCGACGCGGUUGGUGACCUGCUCGAGAAGGCUGGCGAUGGCGAGCCGGUACUUCUUAUCGCGGCGCACGCUCCAGUUCAUCGCGUAGAUGUGCCAGGCGGCCUCGUAGGUGUAGAUCUCCGACCGCUUCGCCUCGCCGCCGCCGCCGCCGCCUACACCUCGGCUGCCCCCGCCGUUGCCCUGCUCCUGAUCCGCCCAAGCAUCGCCUUCGCCGGCUCCGCCCAUGGCUCCGCCGCCCUUCGCCGCCGCCGCCGCUGCCGCUGCUAUGGAAGGAAGGGAGUCGAGGUGGAUAGGGGAAGGGAGCGGAUUUGGGGGUUUCUGUCAGUUGAGGGGAAGAGAGGAAACGAGACGACUGAUUGAUAGCGGUGUGCAAUGAAAGCGUCGCGUUUUUCUUGAGCUUCUCUGGGCUGGGCCUUUGCGCUUUCCGCGAGGAGAUGGUAGGUGGCCCAGUUGGCUCUGUAGGCUGGGUUUGCGACUUUGCGCUGCUAAAGCCUUCCGUGUGAUUUUUUUCAACUCCCAUCGCACGAAUAUUUAGAUAGACAAUUCUUACAAACUGCCAUAUAGAAAAUUCUAGAGGCUGUCAUGUUUGUUUGAGUGGAGCAAAGGAUAUUAAAUACAUCAUCUUUCAGUGUGAUAGAGCAAAGGAAGUGUUGACGGACAGCUUUAUCUAUUGUUGCCUAUAAAAUGGCGAUGAAGAAAGAAGCAAUUGUGCAAAAAGGGUGUCAAAAACCUCCUGAAGGAAUGAUCAUGAUUAAUGUGGAUGCAUCGUUUGAUGAUGAGGAGUGUUGAAGCACAUGAGUUGUAAUUCGAGAUCACUCACGAGGAGUGAUUGCAGCAGCGCAUAGCUUUGUUUCCCAUGUAAUUGAUGCGCCUAUGGUUGAAUCAUAUGCAUUAAAGAAAGGUCUUUUGCUGGCACAACAUAUUGGAGGUAAUAGACUUAUCAUUCAGUCAGACUGUAUGGAGGUGGUAGAAACGAUGAAAGACGGAGUUUUUUCAGCAAACUCAGCGACUGCUAUCUAUGAUGAAUGCAUUAUUAUAUGGAGCGGGUUCCAGGAAAUCUCCAUUGAGCACUGCAAAAGUGAUGCUAAUUGUGUAGCGCACGAGUUGGCAAGGCGAGCUAAGCAAACAAAUAAAGAUUGUAUUUGGGAUGAUGAGCCAUCUAGUUUCAUUAAUGAGUUUGUAAAGAGAUGUAACUAUCUUCAAUUAAUAAAGCUUGCGUAUGCUUUGUUAAAAAAAUUAUUAUUUAUAAAAUUAAAAAUACAGCUAGAAAAUAAUUUGCGAGACGAAUUUUUUUAAUCUAACUAGUUCAUAAUUGAACACUAAUUAUCAAAUAAAAUAAAAUAUUGUAGUACCCGUUAAAUUUUAACACCCCAACAAAACACCCUCUAAAACUAGUUGAUGACAAUAUUCAAAGUUAACAACGGAGUAAGGAGGCCCGUCGCUGAAAACAUUGUAACAUCCUGCUUUAUCCUCUUUUAGAGAAAUCAGACUAUUUUAUUAGUAUAAUAAUCAUUCUAAGAUGAUAGAAUCGAGCUUACAAAAGAAAACUGGCUAAAACUCAAUUCCGAAAAUUAAAGAACAUCCAUAGAACACAAACAAACACAUUGUCGCAGUCUCUAGCUUGUAGCAAGCCUCUAACACAACCUCAUAUGUCUCGCAUCACUACAACUAUGCCCAGAGACGAAGCCAAUGUGUCCCAAGAGUUUUGUUGUGUCAACAUUCUUCAAAAACAACUCCAUUUCGUGUUUGUCAAAUGGACCAACAAAUCACCGUUCCUCCUAUACCAAUAAAAAGCAUCUAAAAGUUUUAUCCGUAUUGUGACACCAAUUAUCAAAUUAUAUGGAAUAUAUAUACUAUAGAAAAGAUUUGCAAUAUUUUUUAUACCAAAUAUAUACUAUAGAAAAUACAUUUUACCAAUUUUAUAAAAAAUAUGCAGUCUAAGUGUGACCAAAGGGUGCAUUUUCUAUCUCAUCUUCAAUAAACUAUGUGUGCAUACUAAUUUAUCAGUUUGAGUAUAUUUAUAUACUUAUUUUAAGAUAUUUUAAAUCUCAGUACGCGCAAAUUUUCAAAAGAACCCAUACCUUUUAGUAUAUUACUGAGAUACCACUACAAUACUAUAUAAAAUAAGUAUGCAUACUUACAUACUUAACAUAGAUAUUAUCCUAGAUGGUUUAGUAUGAUCAUAUACUACAUCUACAUACACUUCAUCAGGUCAUAUAUGCUCUAAGUCUAGAGAUAUACACAUGGGAGUAACUACUCCCUUGGGAUAUAUUUCUUGACCAAUCUAAUAACACUAUUUGAUAUCAUGUUUUUUGUAUUUUUAUAUGAACUUAUAAUCAAACAUAAAAUUGUUUGACUUGGUAGGACAUCCGGGCGCAUCGCUGUUGUCAGGACUAAAGUAUUCAAGUUAUCACCUUUGCCGAUAGUAAGGUCAAAUCGGCUGGCACGCCUUAACGUUUGAAUCGGGUAUUAGCCCUUUGUGUUUGCAGAUCAGUUUUUGCAUCAACAGGCUCAAGAAGCAUAGAAAAUCAAAACACAUGAUAACAAUUUUACGAAAUCCAUUAUUUAUUUAGUCCAAAUCAUAAUUGCUAUCCAUAGAAACUCGUAUAUGUAAGCACAUAAACGAAACUGCUACAGUAUCCCGACCCAAAAAAUUUUGGAAACUAAACAAGGCCCUUGUCAAUCUACUCGCCUGCUAACGCAGAUGCAGACUUGAAAACGUCGAGACAAACGCCUGCUGCGGCCGCCAUGCAUGACGCAGAUGCAGGACUUGGCCUCCCGAGGGAUGUUGGCACCCAGCUUCUCCUCCAGGGGCUUCAAGGUCUCGAGGACAGCCAUCACUUCCGAAGCUCGCCAAGCCGCACGAGCGGCCAGGAGCUCAGACGCCGAAGCAUCUACCAACGUCGGCAGCGCUCCGGAUGCGUCGUUGGCAGGGAAGACGACGGCCGAGCCCCGUGGUGGGCCUAGUGGCGAGGAGGAGAUAAGAGGAGGGAUGGAGUGGCUGGUAGACCGUCACCAUCGAUGCUCCAGGAGGCGAGCACGGUGCUCAUCCAGGGGUGGCGAGCUGCACACGCGACGGCCGGGCUCCAGGGUGGGUUGCGACGGGGUGGUUGGGGGUGGCGGCGGAUAGGGUGGCUGGAUAGGUGGGAUUAGGGUUUGGGGUAUAUAUAUAUUGGGUCUGGUGGACUGUUGGGUGAGCUAGUUGGCUGAACCUAGUUUGGUGGAACCAGAAAACACAAAUUGGACUAGGGCUUCUAAUAACUAUUGGGAGCCCUAAGCUCCUAAUAGUAUAUAUAUAUAUAUAUAUCUUUUCUUUUUUUUACUUUAAAGACCCAUCUACAGUAUAUGAAAUGUAUUUCUUUUCUAGGUGGAACCAGAUUCCAGGUUUUAUUUUGCAUUAGUGAUGAGUAUUCUGCAUCCAUGACUGCUUUCCAAUUCUUAAGAGCAUCUCCAACAGUUAUGCAAUUGGACUUUGCAUUCUUGAAAUUUGCCAAAAACCUUAAAAAUUGCUCUCCAACAGUUUUGCAUUUGACUUAUGCAUUUUGGCAAACUUGGCAUUUGAUGGACCAAACUUGGCAUUUUUGCAUAGGCACAAUGGCUUGGCAAUUUUGAUAUCCCGAGAAUCUUGGACUCCUUGUCGUGCCCGUACUCCCACGUCGUGGUAGUUUCCCCACGAGACGACUCCGUGUGGAAGCCUUGGGACCUGGAUGCCGCGGUGCACCCUGGGACUGUUGCCUCGAUCGGAUCUCGACGACCUGGUCCAAGCGGCGACAUGGACUUGCGGGAUGAACACGGCCGCGCGACGCGCGAGAGAAUUGGCGGCAACAGGCGGAGGAAUUGCGCGCGACGGGCGGAGGAAUUGCGCGUGAAAAAGAAAGCGCCAGCGCGACGCGCGAGAGAAUUUCCCGCGGAGAUGAAAGAUUCCUGGACAAAAAUAGUUUGGUCCACUAUUUUGGGAAAUGCCAAGUCAAAAAUGCCAAACACUUGGACGUUUAGGGACUUGGCAAACUCUAACAAAUGACAAAUUCCAAUUGCAUAACUGUUGGAGAUGCUCUGCACAGCUGCUUCUUGAUUUCGAGGCUCAUCAGCUCAGGCUAGAAAAUUAAAGGAAGAGCGCUAUUUUUGGGCUGUCGGAGGGUUUUCCACCGAGACAUGGGCCUAAACUGAAGGCCCGCCAGUUUGAAGAGAAGUCUUUGGAAGAGAAGUCUCGUACAAGCUCGGUGGCCCAAAGAAAUGUCCUUGGAUGAAAAAAACAAUAUUGCCGAAGGAGAAGUCCCCGGGCAUCUCCAAGAGUUUGGCAAUUUUGACUUGGCAAAAAAAUUAUACUAGUUCCGGAGAUCAGCGAAAAAGCAUUAGGUUGUCAGCUUCCUAUAAAAGCGCACGCAUGCAGUAUGCCAAGUCCAAUUGUCAAAUUGUUGGAUAGGAGAUUUUUUGAAAGUUUUAGCAAAAAAACAAAAAUGUCAACCUAUUUGCAAAACUAUUGGAGUUGCCCAAGUUAUUAAAACCCACUUGAGUUUGCAGCCAUCACAAAAUUUAGGGCAUUGGUGGCUCAUUUAUGUGUUGACAUGUGUCGCUUCAUGUUUUGAAAAAAAACUCCUCUAUCUUUCGAAAAAAACAACCCACAGUCUAGAGACAUUCCAACAAUCUCGCUCCUCCCACACCUGGCUUGGUCAUGAGCGGCUUGGGGACAAUCGAAACCCUAGCCGUCGUCCCCUCCUCCCUCCUCUGGGUACUGUCUAGCCGGCGUCGUCUCCUCCCUCCUCCCCUAGCCAUCGACGCAUCCUCCCUCCUCCCCUCUAUGCCUCGUCAUGUCGCACAGGCGCACCUGAAUCUAUGGGAGAAAUGGAGUGCGGCCCUACCUCUUCCUGGUGGUGUUGUGCCGCGGUCGCCUGUGCUCCCGCUCGUGGCUCUACGACGACGUUGGGGCUUGCCACACCACUGGGUCAUUCUACUCCGACCUAGCGCCUCUGUGAGAUCGAAGGACCCAUGCUGGCACUGCCAGAUCCGCUCAUCUGAUGAUCAGAUUCAUGCAGACAUGGUUGGAUCUACUCGCUUUUAGGUCGAAGUGCCCGGCUAUGAGUUUGAGGACAGUGGUAAGAUCUAGCGUGUAUUGUUUUUUGUUUUUUUGUGCCUAACAUCUUUGACAAUGAUGUUAGUAUAUACUCCUACAUGAGAAGUCAUGUUAGUGUAUUGACUCUCUUCUGUUGUAUGCUUGCUGAGACUUUUGUUCGUGAUUUCAUGUCUCCAAACAGCAGUAUCACUGAAUGGAUAUGGAAUAGUGAAUAUGUAGGUAUUUAUAUGAUAAUUCUCCAAGUGGACUCUGCUUAUUAUCCUGACAAAAUCGGCUUCCUUUGAUUUUGAUUUAUGUAAACAAGAUGAUUUGUGCGUUGACACCUACAAGGUUUGUCAUAGAGCAAGGAAAAAGCACCUUUACUGAGCAAGGUGAGCAAAAAUUCCUCAUAUAUGGUGCCUUAUUGGCCCCAUUAUGCCAUUUAGAAUGGAAUCUUUUCAAAAAAUUAACACUAGAGAACAGGUAGCAUAAGAAAUUGCUAGCAAAUCAUGCAUUUGUUUUUUUGCCAUUGUUUACAGAUUCGGAUGAGAGAAUAAUGAUACAAAAGCAAGAGGAAUGGAAGCGACAAUGCAAAAAUAAGAUAAUGUAAGCGGCACAUUCAGCACAUUGCUAAUUGAGCUUUGACUUCUAAACUUAUAACUGACAGUCUUAUGGUGUUGUGAGAAAUGGCUCUGUAUCAUGCUAUGGUGUCACGUUCUUUAGGUAAACUCAAAAGUCCUUCUACUAAGUGCAUGAUUUUUUUAUUGAUGUAUAUUAUCAUGGGCAUAAAAUCACUGCAGAUCCUUACCAUUUUGGUAGCAAUCUGCCAAGGUAGGAGCGGUGUGGAAAGUCCUUCCCCCUUCUUGUCAUUGCCUUGUUCCUCUGUUGCACUUAAUAGUAGCUCACUGCUGAGCUUGCCUAGGCUGAUGUGGGCUUGGAGGUCACCAACCCAAGGUCAGCUUUCCUUGUGGUCAUUGCCAUAUAAUUUCACUAUAUUUGCAUUUGCAAAAGAUCUGUUAGUAGAACAUCAGUUUCUACAUGUCCUUGUGGACAUGUUUCCACCUGUUUGAAUCUAAAGUUGGUUGUGGUCUUGGUUAGGAUAGUAUAUUAAGUCUUCAAUGCUGAAAUAAAUUUCUAUGAUCAUUUUGUGUGCUCGUAGCAUCAUAUUCUUAUGUGUAUGUAAUGUGGUAGUUUAUUUCUAGGACAUGUAUUGCUUGUCAAAGGAACAACAAAUAAGCUUUUUUUUGCUGAUAAAGAUACUGGUUUCAAAUACUCCACUUUAUGCUCCAGUUUCAUAUAACAACCACUUUAUGCUUGAAUCCUAUAUAAGAUGUGUUGUCUAUUUUAGCCCCAUUGAAAUUACCCCUUGUUAUAAAUCUAUAAACAUCAUAGUUGAUGUCCUUUUCUAUUUAUAGUGCAAUCAAAGAUGCCUAAUCUCUAGAAGAUGAAGAUCACAAUGCUUUUGACCAGAUCGGUUGUAGACAGCUAUAUAUGUGUUUGCAUAGAUGUGACAUGUUACGUCGUUGCCCAACUCUGUGUUUUGAAAACUUCAUGGUUGCAGUCAUGAAUUCCGGCCAUGAAGUGUAAUGUACGACUCAAUAGAGUGGUCAUACUUGUAAUGAAUGGUUGUAUAAUUUAUGGGUGAAUAGAAUCAUGAUGGCAGGGCACAAACUAUACUAUACAUGAUACUUAUAUAUUUUGUGCUAUGUAUCUAAUGAUAAUAUAUUCUUGAUCGGUGUGAUAGUGUUGAUGCAUAUGCUUGGUGUCUUAUCCAUAUUUGUCAUCUAUAAAUCGGUUUUUUGUUUAGAAAUCAUGUAGGGUGCCCGAAGGGCGCCUAAUAUUCUAGUUGAAUUCAAAGUCAGGCACGCUGAACGUCUCGUCCUACACAGCGCCACCUCAAUCACGAGUUAAAUCUGACUACAAAUAGAUUUUCUUAAAAAAAUAAAACAAAAUUUCAAAUAAUCAGAUUUUUUUUUGAAAGGUUGUGGAAUUAAAAACCAUUGCAAGAUUUUAUUAAAAAAUAAAAGAAAAAAAUUCAAAUAAUCUGUUUUUUUAAGAUUGUGGAAUUAAACCCAAAAGAAAGACCUUGAGUCACUAGUGCAUUGGGGAGUUUAAAGUCAAGUUAUUAAUGUGAGAAUAGAUAAAGGAAGACCGAAUUUGACAUGGAGUAGACAAUAAAGAGAUUUAAAAGAUUAGUAUAUACCUAGAUAUCUAUGUUUGCAUAGGAAAUACCUAGAAAUCUAUGUUUGCAUAGGAAUGCUUGCAAAACAGCUCAUGUGCCUAAGUGUGACUAGCGACUCAUGUUAGGUUUCAACUUUGGUCUACCCCAACUGGCCUAAGGCCUUGUUUAGUUGAAUUUUUUUUUGUAAAAUGAACACUAUAGCACUUUCGUUUGUAUUUAGGCCUUGUUUACUUCCCAGAAAAAUUUGCAAAAUUUUUCACAUUUCCCGUCACAUCGAAUCUUUAGACGCAUGCAUGGAGUAUUAAAUAUAGACGAAAAUAAAAACUAAUUGCACAGUUUGGUCGAAAUUGACGAGACGAAUCUUUUGAGUCUAGUUAGUCCAUGAUUGGACAAUAUUUGUCAAAUACAAACGAAAGUGCUACAGUGUCCAUUUCCCAAAAAUUUUCGGAACUAAACAAGGCCUUAACAAAUAUUGUCUAAUUAUGGACUAACUAGGCAUAAAAGAUUCAUCUCGCAAAUUAUAGGUAAACAGUGCAAUUAGUUAUUUCUUUUAUAUGUAUUUAAUGCUCCAUGCAUAUAUCGCAAGAUUCGAUGUGACAAGAAAUCUGAAAAAUUUUGCAAAAUUUUUUAGAACUAAUAACACUUGCAAAAGCUUUAGCUUUAGCGUACAAGGCCUGAGACUAAGGCUUUGCUGUUGUUAUUGUAGAGGUUGUGGAAUUUAAAACCCUUGUACGCAAACAGAAGCGGAGAGGAAUGCAAACAGAAACCGAUGGAUUUUUGCUCUAUUAGGUUAAGAAUAUGGGUCAACUUCGCUACCCAUGAGUUUAUUAAUGGGACAAAAGCUAGACCCAGCGGGUUUGUGGGCAUGGGUCUGGAUGUGUAGUACCCAAACCCGCAAACCCAUGGGUUUUUUAAACCCGAUUCACCAUAUCAUCACACAAUAUAAUUAGUAUAUAAAGUACAAAAUGCAAGAAAAAAUAAACAAAAUAGAAAACAUGCAUGCUCCAUACUUUUUUUUUAGUAGAAGCUCCUUAUGUGAAAGCUGCAGCUGGCUAGCGCGUCUUAGUGCAUGCACUCAGUUCAUCUGGACUCAAAGAUAUGCCAGAUGUUGGCACUGAGCAUUAGCAGGUCAUGGCCCGAUGCAUGCUAGAGGUGAGUGUUUCUGUCAGAACUCGCAAAUUUUUAGUGCGAAGGUGUAAUAACACAUAACAUGAGUCCCACCUUGCCAAUUAAUUCAACUUUAAGUAUUUUGGUGCGCUAUAGAGUAGACUUGCUCACUUGACUGGAUGACUAUCUUAUGACAUGCUGUGAUGGGCACGGGCAACCCGUUAAAUACCCGUGACCCGAUGGACAUGGGUUUGAACACAAAAUCAAACAUGUGACUGAUCAUGGAUUUUUUAGUGGGCAUAUUUUAUAUUAAUGGGCAUGGGUUUAGGAUGGCAAAACCCAACGGGUUUGUACCCUUUGCCAUCUUUACCCCCACCCCCACCACCCAAAAAAAAGUCACUGGUGUAUCAGUGAUGGAAUAAUUUGACAACAGCCCUGCGUCAUGUGAGGCAAGUAGUUUAGUCUGUGACUUCCGUGCUUCUCAUAUGCAUGCUUUCCCAUCCGGACAUCCAAUCCAGUAGGUAAGCACACAAAUUCAGCAAAGAAUGGGAAACCUAGCGACAGGUAACACCUAUAGUGGAACGUGAAGCAUGAAUGACAUUAUUGUUUGGGAAAAAAAAACGCUCUCCUUUGUCACGAAUCAGCAUGUUUCUUAAAAAAACACCAAGGCAAAUAAUAGAAACAAAUACUUACUAAAAGCACAGCAACAACAAAAAGCAUGAAAGACUUUCUGAUUCCACUAUUUUUAUAUAUCCCGAAAGAAAAAGUAGGAUGUCUCCAACUGAUAAUAUCUUGGAUGCAUCUUUUGUUUUCAGAUAAAUCCCUCAAUUAGAAGCAAGAUGAAUAACAAAAUUAAGCUUUUAGACCUAACUGGCACCCGCACCAAAGGAUAGCAAUCGAGUCUCACAAAACCUUUCACCAUUGGCUCAGUUAAACAAAGGUUCAUACCGUUUUGGAACUUAGAAGCCAAAAUAGGACUGGGAAGCGAACUUAAACAAAGACUGCAAAUAAAGAAUUGCAGCUAUGCAACCAUGGGGUUGAUAAACAGAAACUAAGACAAUCAUGGGUCAACACUUCCAGCCUGUUCGAUUGAGCUUAUCAGCUGAAUCUGUCAGCCAUUCAACAUUGUUUUUAUCUCACAACAAAUCAGCGAACAUUACUGCCAUAACUUAUCAACUCAUAACAAAGAGUAACACAAUUUCUAAGGAAAAAAAUCCCACCACAAGGCUCCAGACAUGUGGCUAAGUGAUGUAAGAGUUCUGACAAGAAUCCCAUGCCAUGUCAUGCAACAAGGAAAGUUAACCACUUCCUCACAUCUCAUAUGCAUGCCUUCCUAUCAAGUCUGGCGGUAAACACUCAUCUGACAAAGUCAGCAAAGGAAGAAAACCCACAAAGCAGCCACUGAAGCCAAACUGGUAACACCUCGAAACAAUCCUUAUGUGAACUUUGUUAGGCCAUUAAUCUUUGGAAACUAAAAACAAAUCCAAUCCUUUGUUGCAGCAACAAAACCUUUGCUAUAGUCACACAACAGAAGCUAUGAGCUAAAGAUUGAAUGCAAGGAUCAAAACACACCAGCAUUCGGUGCUAUAAAAUCAAGGAUAUAUAUUCUAUAGGAUGAAAAUUAAGCAGAAAAAAGGGAAUGAGAUAUAAAAUGUGUGAACUAUAGCUACAGGUUUAUAGGUAUUACAAUUAAGGCAGCCAAACAAAUUCAUGAAACUGAAAUAACAUAUCAAUACAUAACACAGCUUUAUAACUUCUAAUGCAUACAAGAUGGAUGCAAAUUCUAACAAGCAACUUAAGAAUUAUAUACAUGUAAAUGCUACCAAGCAUAACAUUCAAGCACAAAUAAGAACUUAACUACAGUGCCAAUUCCAACUAUUAACAAGACAAAAUGUAGCAUAGCUACUUGCUCUAAAAAUCCAGAAAUAACAAGGAAAACAACUGGUUCAAUCACAAGACAUAACAAACCAAGUUGUGCAAUCACACAAAACACAUAUACAAAAAAAAACAAAAAACUGAGAAAAUAACACACAGGGAAUAUUAUCGGUUAUAGGGCACAUAUGACCAUCGCAAGUUCAACAAGCAAGUUAAGAUGUGAAUCUACAUGCUACCGGGCAGGCGGGCAGAAUUCUAGGACCAAGAACAAACUAAAUUCAGUUCCCAUUAUCACCAUCACUAACACCAGAGCAGCUCCUUACUCUACAAACCGAGUUCAUUGCCAAUUCAGCUUCUAAUUAGCAAGUCUUCUGUUCUAUAACUAGAAAUGACCCACCACGAAUAUCAGUUGUCCACAACAUAAAUAAGCAACUAAAGCAAGCACAAAAGAUUAUCCUCCCAUGGCCUAACCUCAUUAUCCAAGUUUGGCAUUCUUUUUACUCCUCAGUGAAACAGGGCAGAAUUAGGAAAUCAGACCCUGAGAAUCUGAAGCUUAUUGGCAAAUGCAAUUGCAACCCAGUCAGGCUGGGUUGCCGACCACUGCAACUGCUCAAUCUCUGCCCCUGCUGUAUAUGCCAAAAUGGGAUCAAGACCGCCCUCAGCUGCUGCUGCCGCAGCUGCGUUACCAUUCCCAUUGCCACUACCAUUGCUACCAGUUCCCAUAGAUGACAAAUCCCAUAUCAGUGCCUGCAUGUCAUCCCCAGCUGUGCAGAUGUGGCAAGAAGAGUGAGGCGCCCACGCUAUGGCAUUGACAGGGGCAUGGUGACGAUGUAGCUCUACCACUGGCAGUGUUGGGUAGCGGAUAUCAAGCACAACCACCUUGGGGCUGUCCAUGAUGAUGGUGGCCAUGUACCUUGGGUCCUGCUUGUUCCAGCCCAACCUCACGAGUGGUGUCGGGGACGCAGUCCCACCAUCCCCGGCGCCCGAGUUGGAACCGCCGCCGCCGCCACCUGAACCAGACUCAUAAAUGAUUGUGGAGUGCUCCUUGUCCCGUAGGUCAAAGACGCGGACAGAGCCGUCGGCGGAGACGGAGGCAAAGACCCCCGCGCCGCCCCAGGCGAUGUCGUAGACCUCCUUGUCGUGGGCGAUGAGCUGGGUGUCGACGGCCUCGCGCUCGACGUCCCAGAUGGUGCAGGUGGUGUCGAUGGAGGAGGUACCGAUGCGGCGCGGGUCGGCGUCGUUCCAGUCGAAGGAGGUGAGCGGGCCGCAGUAGUCGCUGUUGCGGUUACCGUUGAGCUCGCAGCGCAGCUCGAUGCCCGGCUGCGGGGUGCCGUUGCAGCGGACGGAGCCGUUGUUGUUGUUGGCAGAGGCGGCGCCGUCGUCGGCGUCGUCGGGGGACGGGAUGCGCCAGAUGCGCAGGUGGUCGGCGGAGGUGGCGAGCAGGUCGGGGCGGAGCGCGUGCGGGUCCGGCAUGAACAUGGUCUUGGUGGGCGGGUACUGGUGGUCGAAGGUGAGGACGGGGGCGAUGUCGCCCGAGGCCUCGUCGAGCUGGACGACCUCGACGCGGUUGGUGACCUGCUCGAGAAGGCUGGCGAUGGCGAGCCGGUACUUCUUAUCGCGGCGCACGCUCCAGUUCAUCGCGUAGAUGUGCCAGGCGGCCUCGUAGGUGUAGAUCUCCGACCGCUUCGCCUCGCCGCCGCCGCCGCCGCCUACACCUCGGCUGCCCCCGCCGUUGCCCUGCUCCUGAUCCGCCCAAGCAUCGCCUUCGCCGGCUCCGCCCAUGGCUCCGCCGCCCUUCGCCGCCGCCGCCGCUGCCGCUGCUAUGGAAGGAAGGGAGUCGAGGUGGAUAGGGGAAGGGAGCGGAUUUGGGGGUUUCUGUCAGUUGAGGGGAAGAGAGGAAACGAGACGACUGAUUGAUAGCGGUGUGCAAUGAAAGCGUCGCGUUUUUCUUGAGCUUCUCUGGGCUGGGCCUUUGCGCUUUCCGCGAGGAGAUGGUAGGUGGCCCAGUUGGCUCUGUAGGCUGGGUUUGCGACUUUGCGCUGCUAAAGCCUUCCGUGUGAUUUUUUUCAACUCCCAUCGCACGAAUAUUUAGAUAGACAAUUCUUACAAACUGCCAUAUAGAAAAUUCUAGAGGCUGUCAUGUUUGUUUGAGUGGAGCAAAGGAUAUUAAAUACAUCAUCUUUCAGUGUGAUAGAGCAAAGGAAGUGUUGACGGACAGCUUUAUCUAUUGUUGCCUAUAAAAUGGCGAUGAAGAAAGAAGCAAUUGUGCAAAAAGGGUGUCAAAAACCUCCUGAAGGAAUGAUCAUGAUUAAUGUGGAUGCAUCGUUUGAUGAUGAGGAGUGUUGAAGCACAUGAGUUGUAAUUCGAGAUCACUCACGAGGAGUGAUUGCAGCAGCGCAUAGCUUUGUUUCCCAUGUAAUUGAUGCGCCUAUGGUUGAAUCAUAUGCAUUAAAGAAAGGUCUUUUGCUGGCACAACAUAUUGGAGGUAAUAGACUUAUCAUUCAGUCAGACUGUAUGGAGGUGGUAGAAACGAUGAAAGACGGAGUUUUUUCAGCAAACUCAGCGACUGCUAUCUAUGAUGAAUGCAUUAUUAUAUGGAGCGGGUUCCAGGAAAUCUCCAUUGAGCACUGCAAAAGUGAUGCUAAUUGUGUAGCGCACGAGUUGGCAAGGCGAGCUAAGCAAACAAAUAAAGAUUGUAUUUGGGAUGAUGAGCCAUCUAGUUUCAUUAAUGAGUUUGUAAAGAGAUGUAACUAUCUUCAAUUAAUAAAGCUUGCGUAUGCUUUGUUAAAAAAAUUAUUAUUUAUAAAAUUAAAAAUACAGCUAGAAAAUAAUUUGCGAGACGAAUUUUUUUAAUCUAACUAGUUCAUAAUUGAACACUAAUUAUCAAAUAAAAUAAAAUAUUGUAGUACCCGUUAAAUUUUAACACCCCAACAAAACACCCUCUAAAACUAGUUGAUGACAAUAUUCAAAGUUAACAACGGAGUAAGGAGGCCCGUCGCUGAAAACAUUGUAACAUCCUGCUUUAUCCUCUUUUAGAGAAAUCAGACUAUUUUAUUAGUAUAAUAAUCAUUCUAAGAUGAUAGAAUCGAGCUUACAAAAGAAAACUGGCUAAAACUCAAUUCCGAAAAUUAAAGAACAUCCAUAGAACACAAACAAACACAUUGUCGCAGUCUCUAGCUUGUAGCAAGCCUCUAACACAACCUCAUAUGUCUCGCAUCACUACAACUAUGCCCAGAGACGAAGCCAAUGUGUCCCAAGAGUUUUGUUGUGUCAACAUUCUUCAAAAACAACUCCAUUUCGUGUUUGUCAAAUGGACCAACAAAUCACCGUUCCUCCUAUACCAAUAAAAAGCAUCUAAAAGUUUUAUCCGUAUUGUGACACCAAUUAUCAAAUUAUAUGGAAUAUAUAUACUAUAGAAAAGAUUUGCAAUAUUUUUUAUACCAAAUAUAUACUAUAGAAAAUACAUUUUACCAAUUUUAUAAAAAAAUAUGCAGUCUAAGUGUGACCAAAGGGUGCAUUUUCUAUCUCAUCUUCAAUAAACUAUGUGUGCAUACUAAUUUAUCAGUUUGAGUAUAUUUAUAUACUUAUUUUAAGAUAUUUUAAAUCUCAGUACGCGCAAAUUUUCAAAAGAACCCAUACCUUUUAGUAUAUUACUGAGAUACCACUACAAUACUAUAUAAAAUAAGUAUGCAUACUUACAUACUUAACAUAGAUAUUAUCCUAGAUGGUUUAGUAUGAUCAUAUACUACAUCUACAUACACUUCAUCAGGUCAUAUAUGCUCUAAGUCUAGAGAUAUACACAUGGGAGUAACUACUCCCUUGGGAUAUAUUUCUUGACCAAUCUAAUAACACUAUUUGAUAUCAUGUUUUUUGUAUUUUUAUAUGAACUUAUAAUCAAACAUAAAAUUGUUUGACUUGGUAGGACGCUAGAAUUGCUUUUUCUUUUGGAGGGAUGGAGGGAAUUGAGAAAAUGCGCUGUAUGGAUGUUGUCAAUUGGGCAUUGAUAGACCAAGUCGUCUAGGGGGGCACCUCCACCAUGUUGCCUCUUCCUCCGAUUUCUCUCUAUUCCUAUUUCUUCGUUCUCUCGUUCAUCUAGGCACAAAGCUUGUAGGGGUGCUUCAUACUGUGAUAUCAGUGGGCCGGGGAAUCUGCAGUGGAAAAAAGGCCAGAUUUUAUGGGAAUAUGUUUGCAACGAACUAAGCAAUGAGCCUGUUUGCUUGACUAAAAGUAUUGUUUGUUGAUUUAUUAUGAAAAAAGAAUACUGUUGAAUAACUGUCAGAUCAGCAAGGCGAACAUGGUGUUGCACGGCACAAAGCACAUGCGAAUCUUCUCGUCAAGAAGAGAUGUCACGAGAGAAUAUAGUUCGGUAGGAGAAUGCAUCAUUUGUCACUCUGCUAGAUGCCUUGUCUGUACUGUAGUAUGUAAUAAUAAAACUGAAAAAAAAAAAUCAAAGAGCCGUUUCCCACAAUCUAGAGCUUCCAAUGCAAACAAAACAAGAGUCGAGAGCUCGAGAUUAUCAGUACGUUUCAUUUCCACUAACCGAAGAGGUUAAAUACAUCACAUCUGACCAAGAUCGUGGAGCACAUGCAUGAUGCACACAAGCAUAUAAUCAGUGCGCCGCUCUAGCGACAGAAGCUAAUUAAGCUGCAGGAGGCAGGGAGGGAGCAGGUGCUAAUACGGCUUGAGGUAGUCGAAGAGAUGGUCCCGGAAUGUCGCCGCAUCCGCCGUCGGCGACCCAACGGGAGAGCGCGGCACGUCGGCAGCUUGCUGGUUCUGAUCCCUCAGCCUCUGCUGGUGCUGGCCCGGGGCUGCUGCGGUUGCCGGUGGCAGUGGCAGCUUCAGCUUGUCGAUCUCUAUCUGCAGCGCCCUCAUGUGCCGCCGGCGCCGCUGUGGCUGCUGCUGUUGCUUCUUCUGCUCCCGGCGCUUGUUCACGUACUCCUCGUGGAUGAACACCUCAAUCAUCUUUGAUCACUCCCCAAUCAAGCUCCUCUAUCUGCUUCCUACCAGCAGCCUAGCUAGAUACUUGUAGUCUUGUACCAACUAUACUUGUAGUAGCUAGCACACAAUAACGGACUCGAUCGCUGUACUAGAAGCUCCCAAGAUCUGGAGGAUGUUAACAGAGUUACAGAGAGGAGCACUACAAAGUGAUGAACUGAAGAGCACAGAUGGGCAGCAGGAAGAGUGGUGCUGGUAUUUGUGCCGAGCUAGAGCUUAGCGUCCGCAUCUUUAUAGGCAACCAAGUCAAAUCAAUUAUUCGUGUGCUCAGACACUUGUCCAGCUUACACAGGCCAGCAGCUGCUACUUGCUAGGCAUGUGCCAUGAAAGGGGUCCAGCCAGCAGCAGUGUGACACAGUUUAAUAGCCGCUUAUUAGCAGUAUGAGCAGUUAGACAUAAGUCCAAAAUUAGCUCAAAGUUAGCACUACGCGUAAUAAUUUCUUGACAUGUGAUCCAACUGCAUUAUUUUGUUUGCAUUGUCUGGAAUCAGAUCCCUGCUUCCACUCGACCUUAUCCGCUACUAGCUAGCACUAUAGCAGCAGUAAGCAAAGCAGGACUCGCUGUUCCCGUCACCGACUCAUCGCGUGAGUCCCGUUUCAGGACUUGGUUAACUAAUCCCUGAAGAUGCUUAACACUGAUGGUGUGUCGAGAAUGUUGCAUUAUACAAGUCCAUACAGUAUCAGGCGCGAGCUGCUCGAGGGGACAGUGAACACGGGGACGGUGCGCGUGCCAGUCCAGAUGGCCUCCCUGCCCAGAAAUUGCCUCCUGGUCCUGGUGCGUGGUGUCGGAGGCUCUGACAGGCUUUAGGUUCAAUUAGCACUCAACUUUAAUUUGGCAAAUCGCAGCGGCAUCAGCGGUCGGUUGGCACGUGGAUUAGAGAAAAAGCGCCAGAAAGCAAAGAAAACGGCAACGGCAUAGCAUCUGCUGCAAGAUGGAAAUUGGAUUGGGUUCGAAUUUGAUAGUAACAUGUGUUCUUUAAGUCAAGCUGCUGCAAGUUUCAUCCUGGCACUGAGAAUUAGAACUGAUAAACUCACUCGUCAGCCGUCACCCCUAGUACAACAACUAAAUUCCAUCAAAGUAAAUAAAGAUACUAGUAAAGCAGAGAGAAUACUGCAGCAGCAGCUGCAGCAGCAUUCACAGCUACCAGUAGGUUCUGUUCGCUAGUCUGAAAACUUAUGACUGAAAUUACUAUUGACUGAUUUUUUGUGUAAGAAAAACACAGCUGGACAGAAAAGGAAAGCGAAUGUUUUGAGCACAAAGAAAUCCUCUUUCAAUUCCUACAACUGGGUCCAAAUUGAAUUGUAACACGUACAACAGCCAUCAAGACAUUACUAAUGCCUUCAACUUGCACUUUUGUGUCAGCACUCCCAAUUCCCAAAUGCUUCCAUACUCCAGAAAUACCCAUUGCCGUCCCUAUGUUGAAGACACAUGCAUGUCUGGGGGUUGGGGGGAGAUUACCAAGUGCUUAUCUUUAGGGUGUUGCUUUCAAUAGAGUUUGUCGCAUUAAACGCCUCAUGGUGCAUCAGUGUCGGAGCCUAAGCAUGGCACCCAGGGUUGCUAGGCCUUAGGUCUGCUAGGGCACUACUCCCUCGGUUCCAAAAAGAGUAUCAUUUUAGAUUUUCGUACUACAAGUUUGACUCAAUUUAUAGAAAAUACGUGCAGUAUUUGUAUCUCUAAAUAAAUUUGUUUCAAAAACUAGACUUAAAGAUCUUUCCAAUGAUACUAAUUAUGUACUAUAACUAUUAAUAUUGUUUUCUAUAUAUUUAGUUAAAGUUAUUUUUCGGGAAGCGAAAACGACAUUUAUUUUGGGACGGAGUGAGUAAGUAGUACUCUCUCCAUCCUAAAUAUAAUACUCCCUCUAUCUCUGAAAGGUUCAAUUUCUAAAAUCCGUAUCAGUCAAGUUUUUUAAAAUUUGACCAACUUUAUAGAAAAAAACAUCAAUAUCUGUGACACAAAAUAAGUAUUUUAUGAAAAUAUAUUCUAAGAUAAAUUUAAUGUUACUAAUUUGGUACUAUAAAUCUUAGCCUUUUUUCUAGAAAUUCAGGCAAAGUUUAAAAAUUUUGACUUAGGACAACUCUAGAAAUUGAAGCUUCACACGGAGUACAAUUCUCGCUUCCAAUGAAUCAAUCAACCUUAAAUUUGACCAAAUAUAAGGAAUAUAAUAAUAUUCCUAAUGAGUAAUAAAUAUCAUUAAUAGAUAAAUUUAAGAAAGUAUGAAUUCAAAUGUGGGAUCAUAUUUUCUUUUUUGCAAAUUAGAUUACGUUCUUUUUAGGACAAAGGUAAUAUUUCAUUAAAAAGGUCUAUUUUACCUCCUUAAAGUAUCAUUGUAUUAUGAAUUGCCUCCUUGAACUCCAAAACCUUUCAAAUGAAUGUCCUUGGUCGAAAUGGUUUUGGUUGUUUUGUCUCUUUUUGUUAGUUAAAAAAAUCAGUAAAUACUUAAUAACGUUUUUGAGCCACAUAAGAUGACGUAAGGUUCUAAAAGUUCCAAAAAAUCUAUAAAUUCGUAAAUCAACAUGUUUUUGAAACUUUUUGACAAUAAAGAUACGAGAUGCAACAUAGACUAAUGUUGAAUGAAUUAAUGCUAUGCAUUAGCAUCGGUUUCGUCUUACACUUUUUGUUAUGAAAAUUUUUCAAAACAUGUUUAGACAUCAAUUAGAAUAUUUCAAGAAUUUUCUUGUUUUUCUUACAUUUUUCUAUUUUCUUAGAGCUGCAUAUAUCUUUUGGAAGCUCUUAGAUAUAUUUUCAUAAUCUCUAAAUGUUUUAUUUGGGUUCUUUGUAUCCCAAAUUAUAUAUCUUUCCUAGGAUUUUUCUUGGCUCAGAUACAUUUUGUAUGGUUUAAAAACCCUAUAAUGUAUUUAACUAAAAAAGGACAGGACCUUCUUCAAGACCACUUCAAACCAGGUAGGGAGUUAAUUUGAACGGUUUUGAGAGCUCAGGAGGUGUGAUGUCUAGUUUUGAAAGUCCAACGGGAAAAAAAGAAAUCAAAUUACAACAAUAGUUAAAAUUAAAGGUUUUUUCCUAUUUCAUUCAUUGCUGCCACCCUAGGCCGCCAGUGCGCUUUGGGCCUCCAGGCCGGCGCCUCUCGGUCUCGGCGUCGUCACUCGUGGCCUCGUGGGCUUGUGGUGUCCUUGGGCCCGCGCGUCUGUCGCGCCGUGGAGCCUCACCGCAGCACAGAAAGCAGAUGAGGCAGAGAUGACCGACUCCCCCCACCUUCAACCACUUUUCAUCAUCAUCAGACUUGAAACGGAACCCAACGGCUCGCCGCGAACGGCCGCUUUAUCAAGUGAUGACGAGGAAUUCCGUUCGUCCCCGUCCGUCCAGCAGCUGGCAUCAAUAUCUGCUCCACGUUGCCCUGUAGUUAAACGAGAGAGAAUCUCUCGUGCGUCCGUCCGCCGGAAUCAAAAUCAUCCAUCGCCGCCGGUUUUGUUUAGCAGCAGCAACGUACACAGCCUGACCCAGAGCUGCACGGAUCAUUCAUAUAUAGCAUUAUUAGCAUCAUCACCCAUCAACAGGCAUUAUGCAACGGCUACAGCUUUUGUCAGUGGUGCGUGUGUGUGUGUGUGUGUGGAGGCCAAAGAAAGAGGAAGGCCGAUCCACAUCCAUCUGCUGCCAGCACCUAUAGCUCCAGCUAGCAAAUGAUCUCUCAUUCUAGUUCUCAUCAGUGCAUCAUCAGUUAUCUCCCUCCCAAACUCGUCGUAACCACCUUGCACAUGAUCGCGGUGGAGACCUGGUGGUGGGUGACCAGUACUUGUGGUUGUGGUAGGCCAAACCACGUCGAGCUACAGAGCUAGCAACUCAUGCACUCAUCUGGAGGGAUUUUUUUUUUUUUUUUUUUGCUAGUCCCCGCGAUGCUUUUGAUCAGAAAAUGCUGAAUCUACUUGCGUGUUCUGUCAGAUAUACUCGACUCGACUGUGUGUGCGUGUGCCCCAGUCGAUGGAUGAUGUGGACCACCGAUAGAAGACAAAGAGAGGUCCGGUCCAAAUCGCAUCCUAAUCCCAUCUUAAUCCGUCAAGUUCAAAGCUAGUACCAACAAUAAAUUCGAAGCGGCAUAAUAUUUGGGGAGAAUUGACCUAGCAACCAGCGAAAGCCACAUCACGUCGUCCUCUUCGCCUUCAAGGCUCCAGCUGCUGUACCUGUACCUUCCACCUCACCUCAAGAACUCUAGAACAUGGGCGAUCCCAAACUGCCACUGAUGAAGAUCUUCGUGUACGGUACCAACUCUUUACCAAAAGCAAGAAGUUUUCCAAUAGAGGCUGCAAACACAGCGAGGAGUAGCAGUAGUAGCUUGCUCAAACUGCCCAAUCGACGCACAACAGACGACAGACCAUCACAUCACACAAGGAAAUCUGGAAAGGAUCUCCUCUCAGACCAUCAGAUUCCAGUGAUUUCACAACAAGGGGUGAUCAUACUUGAAAUAGUAGUAGAAUGGUAAAGAGAGGCAAUUAAUUACAUAGGCAUCCAGUUUCACCGUCUCCCAAAUCAAGGAUCCAGUUCACCAGUUGACAGGAGCAGGGACAGGGAGGAGCCUGGGGGAGUCUCAUCUUGGCAAGGAGGAUGGCACGGCGGCCGGCAAUCAGAGAUUCAGAAUCACGAAAGCAGGGAAUCCCACGCAGAAACGAGCAGGGAAAAAAAAAAGAGGCAAAAGCGAAGAGAAGAAGAAAAAUUUCUUCCGAUAACGCGGAUCACAACAAGGGGAAUUACUAAUAGGCUCCCUUCUUCUGACACGACAAGUAUCCCUGCGCCUCGGUGACGACAGCAGCUCCGCGGGCGGCGGCGGCGUCACUUACUGGGCCUCGACGGUGCGGGAGGAGGCGGAGGACGGGACGCCCUGCGCGGGCGCGGCGGCGGCGGGGGAGAUCGGCGGGGACGGGUGCGCGUGGCCGUGGCCGUGGCCCUGGGAGUUGGUGCGGUGGAGCCGGCACUUGAAGGAGCCGGCGUGGGUCGGGGGCGCGCACACGCACUUGCCCCCGCCGCCGUGGCUGUGGCUCCCGGAGGACGCGGAGGAGAAGCUGCGGCGCAUGUGGCGCGGCGACGCCGCGGCGCCCGUCGGGGUGGUGCUGCUGCUGUGGCUGUGCGGGCCGUGGAACCUGCCCUCCUCGCCCGUCGUGUCCACGUAGUUGGACGCCAUCGAUCGGUUCUUCUUCCUCCCUCUCUGAUCUGCAGAUGCCAAGAGAAAGAAAGAGCGUAAGGCCGGCCAUCAGUCAGCGAGCAACAUCCACAAGGAAAACCGCAAAAAUAAAUGCGACAAAAAAAACACUACUAAAUAGAAAUCCAGGAGCAAAUCCUUAUGCGUAACGCAGCGAACAACAGCACAGCGAAAAUUUCAGGAUUCAUCAGUGGACGAACCCAGGCACCGUUCCGUUCGGUCAGUGACGUUCCAGUUCUUACAGUUGCACUUGCACAAGAUUCACUUUCAGGAGUAAGAUAAUAUAAGCAAGUGAUGUUACAUAUUAGGCCUUGUUUAGUUCCGAAAAAUUUUGGGAAAUAGACACAGUAGCAUUUUUGUUUGUAUUUGAUAAAUAUUGUCCAAUCAUGGACUAACUAGGUUCAAAAGAUUCGUCUCGUCAAUUUCGACCAAACUGUGCAAUUAGUUUUUAUUUUCGUCUAUAUUUAAUACUCCAUGCAUGCGUCUAAAGAUUUGAUGUGAUAGGGAAUGUGAAAAAUUUUGCAAAAUUUUCUAGGAAGUAAACAAGGCCUUAGCAAGAUUUCUUAGCAUCUCAUCUCAUCUCAUCUCAUCAGGAGUACUCCUAUCCUAGUAGAUAAGAUUAAAGCUAGGACAGCAGAGAGGGAGGAGGGUGGAGAGGCUACCUACGGACGAAGACGACGACGGCGGCGGCGGAAGAGGACGGCAGCAGUGUCACAGAGCGGCAAACUGCGGUAUCCAGGCCUUGGCGCCAGUUUUAUAGCCGGCGAGCGAGAGGUCAGUCAGAGGUGCCCGCGGGCAGGCCGGGUAGGGGGCUGCCCGGGAAUCCCUCCGCCAACCCAACUCGCGGGCCCCACGGUCCCACAAGCCAUCGGCGCAGCCCGGGGCUCUGGUCUGGGUCCACAUGAGGACGAUGCCCUUCCCGCCCGGUCCGCUGUAAUAACCGCUGCCCUCCGGGCCCCCGGAUCGCGUCGUCUGCGCGGCAACGGAUUUGGAUCCAUUCGGGCCCGGCGGAGAGGACACGCUCCUGGCCUGCUCCUACUCCUACUCCUACGUGCGCACUGCCUAGUUUUACACGCGUAGUACGUGUAUUGUACUACUCGUAUAUGUUUAUUCUACUGCUAUACAUCUCAACUACCAAGUCUGUACCGAGAUUAAGGACUUUUUUAGAUGCGAAAAGAUUUUAGAUUUCACUACUGUAGCACUUUUAUUUGUUUAUGUCAAAUAUUAUUCAAUUAUGGACUAACUAGGAUCAAAAGAUUUGUCUCGCGAUUUACAGUUAAAUUAUGAAAUUAGUUUUUAUUUUCGUCUAUAUUUAAUGCUUCAUGCAUGUGCUGAAAGAUUCGAUAUGACAGAAAAUCUUGAAAACUUUUUGGUUUUUAGGGUAAACGACAAGGGCUCAGUUCACCCAAAAACCAAAAACUUUUCAAGAUUCUCCGUCACAUCGAAUCUUGCCGUACAUGCAUGGAGCAUUAAAUAUAGAUGAAAAUAAAAACUAGUUAGUCCGUAAAUCGCGACAUGAAUCUUUUAAGUCUAGUUAGUCCGUGAUUGGAUAAUAUUUGUCAAAUAAAAACGAAAAUACUACAGUGCUCGAAUCCAAAAAAUUUUGGGAACUAAACAAGGCCUAAACAAACCCAUAUGAAUUUAGGAAAUUAUAUAUAAGAAAAUGAUCCAGUGGGAACAACCUGCAAUGCUAAAAGUUCAGAAUUGAACAAUGUUAAAUUUAGAAUAGAUCACUACCAAACAGACCAUAUUUAAAAGCGCAUUGCACAAAGACAUUCAGAACGAGAUGGAAUGGAUACGACAGUAGAUUCAUGGCAGGAAAAUAAUAGCAAAGAGGAGAUUUGGUUAUAUAAUCAAUGGCUGAUCUAGUGGUGGAACAGGUGGGGCUCGAGCCCUCCUACUAUCGUUGGUAUCGUGAAGCCUUGCCCUAGGCUCCUCUUCAAAUUUCUUCCAUGGAUGCACCCGAAUGGAGUCGCUGAACUCUCCAUUGAUGCACGCUUGUAUGAGGGGCUAGAUAUAUUGGGAUGUUGAAGACGAUGUGAAACUCACAACUUGAGCCGCUGACGAGUCAGCUUCAACAUAGCCUAAUAGAAAAAGACAAGUAGGACCAACACCAAGGACCCUUCCCUUUUUUCUCAUUUCAUACCGAUUCAACGAUUUCCAACUCAGAGACUCUUGGUGUUCUGUCGUCCGCCACUCCCAAUUCUCGACCCUAGAGUAUUUGGGGGGAUAGUGUAGGGCGUGUGUGUAAUGCCGGUAUAGGUCAUAGGAGAGUCCAACUAACCAAGAAAGGCGACAAGUGCGGCGAUGCCGGUAGUUCAAGCUAAGGUGCUUGGUCAAACUUAAAAUGUGUUUGACUUGUCCCAAUAUAAAUUAUAUUCUUUUUAUGACAAAAGAAGUAUUUUUUCGAAUCGAGGGAUCUCUCCCAUUUCCAUUGAAACAACAGAAAUUGGAUACAUAGUUUUUUGACCUAGAGCAGAAGCUAGAAUGGUUUCUUACAAUCAGAGCAAAAACACAACAAAAAAGCCAGCAAACAACAGUACGCAAAAGCCAGCAUCACGACAAAGGGAACUACGACAUUUGAAAGUAUUGCAGUUGUAAAUUGCUCGAACAACAAAGAAACAGUCUUCGGUUGUCUUGAGCAUCACUUUUUCCACCAUCUUCUAGUUGUUUUGUGCUUCUUAGAGUUCGCUGAUUUGCCUACCAACCUUUUAGUAAGCUUCAGCAUUGUAUUCACCCCAACUACCAAUUCCUCUUUGUCAUCAUCACCAAAUAAACCUACCCAAUAUGACAUAAGUGAACAAGCAUAACAACUAAUAGUAAUGGCAAAAAGAAUAUGAUUAUCAAAGGUUACUUGGGUGCUUUAGGAAACUAGUGGGGUGGCCAGGCAACACGAGAUGAACUAGAAAGUGAACACAUACAUGAGACUCAUCAUUACUUGAUAUUGGCAUACUACAGGGAAUAACAAUUUCAAUAUGGUUGUGCAACCUGAUAUCAUUCUUUGUUCGAUUCUUUUUAGGGUGUUUGGUUUGAGGAAUGAGCUAGCCCAACAACUACACACUCAACUUUUUUGUUUGGUUUGUGGAAUAGAAUAGGUUGAUGCAUCACCACCUUAUUCCUCACAAGCUAAUUAUUAGUACUAGUAUGAGGAAUGGACUCAUGAUGCACCACCUCAUCUAAGAUGGUGUGGCUCCUCAAACCAAACAUCAUAUUCAUGUCCUCACCCAUGCCAUUUCCACCUCUUGUUGUCCAUUCCUACCCAUCUCAAGAAUUGGAACAUCCAGGCAAACCAUUUCAUGGACAAAUAGUAAAUAAGUAGUACACAUACAUCUUAGGGAUAGAGAAAAAAGAUUAUGCAUAUCUAUAUCUAUAUCUAUAUCUAUAUCUAUAUCUAUAUCUAUAUCUAUAUCUAUAUCUAUAUCUAUAUCUAUAUCUAUAUCUAUAUCUAUAUCUAUAUCUAUAUCUAUAUCUAUAUCUAUAUCUAUAUCUAUAUCUAUAUCUAUAUCUAUAUCUCUUAUAUUUCCAAUUCUCAAAUAACAUUCUAUCUUGCCGCACAUGUUAUCCACAUUAGCUUCCAUUAGCACAUCCCACAAUCACAUGCAAUUAUGUCUUCAUUCAAGCUAUUCACAUUAUUAAGCAGUACCAUCCACUACAUAUAUUUAGUUGUCCACAUCAUCCACCUUAUGCCAAGUAGUUUAUGCUUCUUACUAAACUACUUGCUAUGCCAAGAAGUAGAUUGCGGACAACCUUUACUUUAUGCACAAAUACUUUUAUGCAAGCCACCUUAUAUCUUGCUAUGGCGUAAAUGCACAUUCUUUUUUUUAUUAUAUCAGGCAAGUCUUGUGAAGUACACUCGUGUGCUUUAGCUUCUGAAUGUGAGAUGACAUGGACUUAUGGCUACUUUUAUGCCCUAAAUCCUUUAGUGGACUAGGAGUGAUGGCGUAGCCCAUGUGAGAGGCAUAGCCCAUGGAUGUGGCAUGGUCCAUGAGAUGUACUUUAACCUUUUGUAUAAUUAGACUUCUAUUGUAGUAAUACGAGUAACAUGAAUUGAUGUGUUGAACAAUGUGUGGUGUAACUUGACUAUUCUUCAUGUGAAGUUGAACUUGUGUAUAUGUUCUUUCUAAGCAAUGGAUCCUGGAUAUGCAUGUAGUGAAUAGCAUGGAUGAUGUGAUUCUAAAGAUGGUUGGAUUUAGUCAUGUUAAAGCAAUUGUUGAUAUGAGAAUGAAAGCUUAGUUUGGUGCGAUUACUAGUUGGACGUCCUUGCACAGACACUUGAUCCAUCAUUGUGUAGGGAUCUGUUCAAGCUGCUAAUAACCGAGGAUAACAUCUAGAUUAGAUAUAUUGACAUUGUUGAUCCUUGAUUUUCCAAGGGGAAUUCCCUUAAUCCCCUAGUAGGGGAUGAGAGAUAGACCAAUUUUGAACAAGCGAAAGCACAUCCUCGAUGGGCCUCCUAGAAUGAUUCUCUGCUCGGUAUCCGUGAUCCUCAUUCCAUUUUUCAUAUAUGCACUAUAUCACUAGAAUUUGUGAUAUAUUCAUCGUGUAGUAUAUACUUAUGUGUAUGUGCAAUAGAGUGUUAAUGAUGGACUAUAUGUGUACAUUGUUGUUUUAUCAAUUCUGCACUUAUGCUAAAAAAUAUCGCUUACCUUAUAUUAAUUUCAAAUUGCCACAUAUAUUAUGUGAUGUAUUGAUCAUUGUGGGGAUUAUUCCAUGUGGGGGCCUCAUGAACCAAAUCUCUACCGCGAGCUUUCGCGAUGAUGGUGACAGAGAUUUUUCCUCCUAGGAGGAAUGGGAUGUGGACAUGAAUUUUCCUAUAGCCAUCUCUAAACUGGAUGACGAUGAGCUCCCAGGUGCUCCGCUUCUCUGAUGAAAAGAGAGAGAGAGACCAGACAUGCCGAUGGAGAUUAUAUUUGUCAUUAUUACGAUAUAAACUAUCCAAACAGAGAAGAUAUAUAUGGAUAUACACGAAGACAGACAACCAAAUACGAGUUUAUAAACAUAAGAGCAUUGCCAAGAGUUUCUCAAAUUUACUCACCAAAUUAUUAUUUGGAGAGUCAUUUAAGUAAAAUUCGUUUUUAUAUCUUUAUACACUACAAUAGUUUUUCUAUACUUUGUGUGCACUCCAGAGAACCUCGCUCUUUAUCUUUAGCAAGCGAGAAAUCUAAAAUAAGUGAUGUUUAUAUUUAUGUAUCUAAUUAAAGAGGCUGUUGGAGGUGGGGUAUUUUUCACCAAAAUAUAUAUUCCUAUAUAUUAGAAAAAAAAUAUAUAAGAAGUUUCUUAUAGUUGCUCUAACCAGGCUAAGCUCUAAGCAACCAAACACAAGAUCCUUUGUCCAGCUAUCUACUCCUAUAUAUUAGAAAAAAACAUAUAAGAAGUUUCUUAGAGUUGCUCUAAUCAGGCUAAGCUCUAAGCAACCAAACACAAGAUCUUUUGUCCAGCUCUAUCCUAUCCAUGACUAAACACUCGCCUGGUUUGAUUGAGAUAAGCUAAACAACCGGGACACACGUGCUCUGCCCUGCCCCUAAGGCCCUAAGGAAUGUGUGCCUUUCUCUACAUACUGUACAUGGCAUGCACAUGCACACGAACUCGAUGUCUCGAUCGUAGUAUUUAUUUUGUAAAGGAAAUUUACAAACCUGUACUGCAGAGGCUGCAGCAACGUACUACUGCCUAACUUAUCUCCUGCUCCUCCGGUUUUCAACGGAGCAAUACAAGCGCUGCUAGUGACGGGCAGAGAAAAUAGUGGGAACGACGGUACCGGCGGACGACGUGUUCAGCAGCAGGCCGCGCGCCGGGGGCGUUGCGCGUUUGGUAUUUGGGCCACUGGUACCAUCCCAGUGACAGACCUAUGGAUUGUGUGGACGCGGCCUCCCGCCGUGACGGGAUAGCCGGUUGCUAGCCACCACGCCGCCGUGAUACGGGAUAGCCGGUAGCCACCACACCGGGCGGCGCCAAACUCCGACGGUGUUGGCACAACUUAUAUUAACUUCAUGAGUUAUUGUAAGUUACUUUUUUUUAUCAAAUAUUCUUUUUAAAACAGAUUCAUGGAGAAAAUUAUUUUUCUUCUUCUCGCACAGAUAUAUGAAUUAGAAUAAAGCUGAAAAAAGCUUAUUUAAUGUUCUCUUUCUUAUUAUAUAUAAAGUUGCUGGUGAAACUGUUUUGCAAAUAACUUUCUAAAACAGCUCAGUUUUAAUGAAAAAGUUGCUCACAAAACUCUUGUUUUAAAAAACAACUGUGUCAGGCUGAGGCCACGCCCACCCGCGAGUCGGCAAGUCGUCAGCAGGACCUUUCCGGAGUUGCCGCCCGGUUCGAGAAGCCACGCCACCCGCGCCGCGCUGCGAAGCGGAGGUGCGGACACGGCGCGCCCGCACGGAGCCACGCACGCACUCGUCGUCCCGUCCGCCGCGUUAUCUAUCUAUCUAUCCUUACCGACGACCUGGCCGGAUCAUUGCCGUUGCGUCUUGGCCACUGCUUUGCUUACUCCUCCUAGGUUUUGGGUCCUCAUCAUCAAAAGCUAGCUAUCCGCCGGUGUCAUAUGUCGUAUCUAUCUUAAUUUUGCAAGUGGCCGGCUCGGCUUGCAUUGUUUAUCUAGAUAUCAGGCCUUGUUUAGUUCUAAAAAAAUUUUACAAAAUUUUUCAGAUUCUCCGUCACAUCAAAUCUUUAGACGCAUGUAUGAAGUAUUAAAUAUAUUAAAUAUAAACGAAAAUAAAAACUAAUUGCACAGUUUGGUCGGAAUUGACGAGACGAAUCUUUUGAGUCUAGUUAGUAUAUAAUUGGAUAAUAUUUAUCAAAUACAAACGAAAAUGGUACUAUUUCUAUUUUGUAAAAAAUUUUGCAACUAAACGAGGCCUCAACCCCGAUGAAAAUAUCGGGCGGAAAUCAGAUCAGGUGUGGCGUGUGAUGGGGUGAGUGGUCACCCCGAUGUAGUAAGCGACAAAGCAUUGUGGAUAAACAUCGUGGCCACGCGCGUCGACCAGGUCCCGUACUCACUACUCCCGUCCACCGGAGGUGGUUCGUCGCAUUUUUUUUGCCAUGGUGAGUGACCACUGCCUGCCGUGUGCCGUGGGCUCGAGCGCGCGCGUGUCAUGUGUCUCCCACCCUACGCUUUUGCUUCUGGUCCAUGUCCUAAUGGAUCGGACGCAUGCAAAAUCUAUCACCGCUGCCACCGUCCCUCUCCGGCCCUGUCCCUGGUACCACUAAUUGCAAAAUGGCAAUUAUUCAUCCCCGGUGCGUCGUCUUGCUACUGUUGGGCAGAAUGGGUGGCCGAUCCGAUCGAUCAGUGUCAUGAAUGGAAACGUAAAAAGCUAACGUACCGUGACAACUGACCAGGACGGGCACCUUGUAUCGUUCUUCUCGCGGUGCACUGCAGGUAAACCAGCACGGAACUCCAUGCGGGCAAGCCAAAGCAAUCCACCCGGCCUCGUUGUUCGUCUCUGCGGCCCGGUUGCUUUCAGUGGCCAUCUCCAUCGACCGUCAGCACAGCGUCGCCGCCGCCGUCCAUUGCUACUACUUUGCUACCUAGCUAGCUGGACGACGCUCCAACUGAUCGCUGCGUUUUUCGUGUCGCCAUCCAUGACUUGCCUCCUGGCCUCUCCUAGCUAGCGGCUGCGCAUGCAUUUGCGUUGUUUCUACACUCUGCUCAACAAAUGCCGAGACGGAUCGGCGGCGUUUUCUGUACGUGCUGCCUGCAGAUUGAAUUGAACAACUGUCGCGCCCGCCCUUUCGAGUGAUCGUGAACUGAACUCUGCAGCGUAGCUGCGUCUGUCUAAAGUUCAUACAAGGCUGGGGGUCGUCUAGGGGUAAAGUUGAAAACGAACGCGAGAAGUCCCUUUCCAUCCAACUGUAUACUAUAUUUUUAUGUUCGUUUUUGUUUUUUUUACAGGAUAGAGGUAAAUGGGAUCGACGGAGUGAAACGAGAGCGGGAUCGAAAAUGAUAGAGCGUUUGUCCGUCUGUAUUUGCAGAAUCUUAUUUUUUACUGGGAUAUUCCCGUUUUGCAUCCCGUUUUUCAUAAAUCUAGGAAAGUAUUGUUAUGUCCGUCCGUAUGAGCAUUGUUGGACUACUGUAAUUUUUAUGUGCGAACAAUUGUUGUAUUGUUGUGUGCCUAUUUGUGUCUUAUGAGCACGUGAUGUGGCAUGUCUCUUGUCUCCUGUGAUGUAUUGGAUAAUUCAUAUUUGUGUGAUGUAUGGAUGUUUGGUAUUGUAAUGUGGUCAUUGGUCACUAGUCAGUCCAUAUUUCAUAUUUGGUAUUACACUUUGGUCUCUGUAUUUGAGCUAUCAUAUGCGACUUACAUGUUUCGUUUUAAGUUUUCGCUUACAGCUUGUUUUAACCAUUUAUCCUGCUACAGUUUUUGCUCCCAGCUAUUCGGCUCUGCUCCUAUUUCGUCUAAAAAUAUAAAAAUAAUAGUGCGAUUUUCCGUUCAUUUUCAACUUUACCUUCAGAGGCUGUUGUUGCUUCGUCAGGCUCCACCCAACGUGGCCGUGUCGCCGCUAAUCUAGAACGACAGGCAAGGCAAUAUACACCCACGUGACGUGGACUGACCUGCCCAUCCAUGUCCGCAAUUCCGCAUGUCGACAUGGAGCCUACAACGACAUGCUAUCUGCUCCGGCCGCUUUCGAUCACCUUCAUCAUUGUAGUAGUGGGCUAGUGGUUAGGCUAAGGCAUUGUUUAGUUCUCUUCAAAAUCCAAAAACUUUUUAAAAUUUUUCGUCACGUCAAAUCUUGUGGUACGUAUAUAAAAUAUUAAAUAUAAAUAAAAAUAAUAACUAAUUACACAGUUUGCUUGAUUUGUGAGACGAAUCUUUUAAGACUAGUUAGUCUAUAAUUAGACAAUAAUUAUCACAUACAAACGAAAGUGCUACAGUGUUCUAAAAAUUUUUUCGAAGGGAACUUAACAAGAACCUAAUACUACUAGUCUAGCUAGCUAGCGUGGUUGCUGGUUGGCAGAGUUUCUUCCUUUGCUGAAAGCUUCCACUAGAAAGCCUGAAACUCUGUUAUCCUGAGAAUUCCUUCCUGUUUCUGCUUUGAUAUGCAUGGCACUUCUUUCUAGCCAGCAAAAGAAGCUAGCUCUAUGCUCCAGUUUUUCUUAAUCAGCUCAAAAGAUUAUUGCCCAUAUAUAUGUACCAGCCCGAUCCUCAUGUUUGCUAGCGACGAUGUCAUAUACUCAUGUCGGAGCGCGAUUCAUAGUACGGUUUGUGGUCCCUGCGGUUUUCUUUGCCUCCCUCAUGAAUCUGAAUCCAUCGAUUAAGCUGCAAUAUAGUUCUUAAUUGCGUUGCUACUUGUGGUUAUAAAAGAAGGGUAGUGUUGACAUCUCUUGGAGUAAUCUAGCAACUGAAAACUUAUCUAGGAUCGGAUGUGGGUUUGGUAGGAAGGUGUAUCUAUCUAUCUAUCUAUCAAUCGGUGACGAUGGCCCAAGAGGAGGAUAGCAACAUCUCAUGACGACACUGCAGGGUGUGUUUUCUGCAAGGAGCUAGCUCAGCAUCAACCAAUCAGCAAAUUAAACAAUAGUAGGCACACGGCACACAGUAUGGCUCUAGUUUUAGGCCUUGUUUAGAUGCAAAAAGUUUUUGGAUUUUGACACUGUAGUAUUUUCGUUUUUACUUGACAAACAAUGUGUCUAAUUAUAAAAUAACUAGGCUUAAAAGAUUCGUCUCUUGAUUUACAGGUAAAUUGUGCAAUUAGUUAUUUUUUUAUCUAUAUUUAAUACUUCAUGCAUGUGCCGCAAGAUUCGAUGUGACGGAGAAUCUUGUAAAAUUUUGGGUUUUUGGGUGUAUCUAAACAAGGCCUUAUUUGCUUAGGCCUUGUUUAGUUCACCCCAAAAACUAAAAAGUUUUCAAGAUUUUCUGUCACAUUAAAUCUUUCGGCACAUGCAUGAAGCAUUAAAUAUAAACAAAAAUAAAAAAUAAUUACACAGUUUAACUGUAAAUCGUGAGAUGAAUCUUUUGAUCCUAGUUAGUCCAUGAUUGGACAAUAUUUACCAUAAACAAACGAAAGUGCUAUAGUAGCGAAAUCCAAAAUCUUUUCACAUCUAAACAAGGCCUUAUUUGAGCGCGCCAAUUGGCUGCAAUUAUUGGCCCCUUCAACUUCAACCCUUUUUGCUGCCUUCUUGCGUCUCCCACUUCCCAACAAAUAUGAACUCGAGCAGCUAGUAAACUCCUUUGGGCCUUCUGCAUACUCCAUCCGUAGAUAAGAUUCUUGGUAUGGUACCGCAGCAGAUAAACAGUUGAAAGAGAAGGGUUCUUUGAUCCACGCUAUCUGAAGAAUUCAAUGUAGCGACUUUCACGGCCCAUCACCGUCAUGCCAUGAUCUCUUUUCUUUUCAUAUAUGUCAGGUAUCCAGGUUUUUUUUUUGUUAUUAAUUGAUUGAAUCGUCCCUUCUCCUUUUCUCCUAAGACAACAAAAUCCCAGCUUUCAUGAACACCAUCAUGUUGUGAUCUUUGGAUCCGCAAAUAUCUAACUUCAUAUACAUGAUGAGGUGGGUAUAUUAUUUGCUGAAAUGUACCCGGCCAUGCAGCAUGCCAAGCAUAUAUAGCGAACCUGUGACACCGAGCAUGCUGCUUAACUGAAUAACUUAAAUCCACCCAAAGAAACUGAAGUUAGUUUCUUUUUUUUCCACGUGAACUACUGGCUACCGGUUGCAUGGAAAUUCCUUUUUACCAGGUCACUGGGAAGUUAGUUUCUUCUAUUUGCAGGUUUUGCAAGGUUUCAUCGCGCGCCGUGGUACUGGUACCCACCCUCCUCGACAAACAAAGCACAACAAAGCCAGUCACGGGUUAGCGGGCCAUCAGGAAUUCAGGACAGUACUAUAGUAGGAGGCAAUAGGGCUUGGCCCUUUGGGGGCAACGAAAGGGUGCUUCAUUUUUCAUCGUCAAGGAAACAACAACAAGGUGCCGAUCGAUCGGCCGCCGAGCAGGGCCAGGGGACCCAAUCAACGGGCGCCACUUGACCUAAUGACUUGUCCUGACGCCAGACCCACUGAAAAAUAUCAGCGAAUCUCAUCAUCUAUAGAUGACUAGAUCAGGAUACACGCGCUGUGGCAUUCUGUUUUUUUUUUCGCUCCGAAUGCUCGUAUGCUCCAAAGUUUUGGAGCCUUCACAGAUAACAAAAGCACGUAGUCCUGCAUUCCUGCUGUGUACAUCGGCAGUAUACGAGGCUAUUUGUCGUUGCGAAAUGCAGCGUCGUCGUCGACGACGACGACGUCUCUCUGCUGAAUGUCGUACAAAGCGUAAGCAUCGCCCGGCAAACGUUUGUUUCGCGUCGCUGUCAGGUUCCUAGAGGAGCAGAUAUAUAUACAGCAUUAUACUAGUGCUGCUGCCUGCUAGUACGUUGUACUACUAAUAUAACAUACAGUGGGUGUGUUUAUCCUUUAAGAUAUGAUAAGAUAAUCCAGUGAUAAUGCUGGCAACGACUAAAACGAUGAUCCAUCAUCGAUGGUUGGUUGGCUCGCUGCUUUCUUUGGGUUUGACACUGGAGAGAUGGCACCCUCAUCAACAUCAAUAUAUAUCUCUUCCCGUCCUAGGGCAUGAUGUACAUGUACUAUGCCAUAUAUAGCUUUCAUAUAAAACUUGUUUCUCCUCUGGAUUGAAACAAAUCCAUACUCUUCCAGCAAUUCUUCUAGAUCCGUGAGACUGCGACAGGAGAUAUUUAUCUGUAACUUGUAAGGGAGCUCAAAGCUCAUCCAGGCCCCAACUUCGAAACCAUAGUCAGGCCUUGUUUAGAUCCUUUUUUAAAAUUUUUUUGACACUGUAGCAUUUUCGUUUUUAUUUGAUAAACAUUGUCCAAUUAUGGACUAACUAGAUUUAAAAAAUUUGUCUCAUGAUUUACAGGCAAACUGUGCAAUUAGUUUUUGUUUUCAUCUAUAUUUAAUGUUCUAUGCAUACGCCGCAAGAUUCGACGUGAUGGAGAAUCUUAAAAAGUUUUUUUAGUUUUGGGGUGUGAACUAAACAAGGCCUCAGAAACUUCCCUUGUAAAAAAAGAGAGGGGGCCAUAAUGCAGAUAAUUCAACGUUGGGGCAUAAUGCAGAUAAUUCAACGUUAUCUGCUGAUAAGCAUGUGCAUAUCAUCACAGGUUCUCCCUGUAUGGUUUUAUAUAUGAUUCAGCAUUUGCGUCCACUUGUCUACAUACUAGUGUAUGGUUAGUAUUUUUGCGAUUUUGAAGUUUGAGAGAGAGAGAGAGAGAGAGAGAGAGAGAGAGAGAUGGUGGAUGAUUUUCAGCAAGAAGGAUCCACAAAUCUGUAAACAAACAAGUAAAGUACUACCUGGCAUACAAAUCCGAACUCUGAAGGCGAAAUACCAGUAGUUCAAUUGAAGAAAAGUUCAGUUGCUGCACCUUUGAAAUUAAAUAACAUGCAGCGUUAUGUACUUGAGUGGCACUCAAACUUUUUUUAAGCAAUAACGUUUUUGUACCAUAGAGUUUUUGUGAUCACUCAAGCAUGCAACUGACACGCAUAUGCUGCUUUGCUGCUGUUGGCGUGAGAAUUUUGCCAAUGAUGUUGAGAUUUCCAUCGCUACGCCCCCUCAGAGGGCCUCAACUUUGCUUGACUGGUGGCUGUCGGGAAGAGCUACACUCCCGCAGGCGCUCUAGAGGAGCUUCGACUCCUUGGUCCUCCUUUGUCACAUGGUGUCUAUGGAAGGAGCACAACUUCGGCGUGUUUGAUCGUAGCUCCACGACCAUCCUCGAGGAGGCUGCCUUGGUGGGGGCUGGCUUCGACAGCCUGACCUUGCUCACUGGGCUAGUGGCUUGACACGACUUCUCUUCUCGCCCCCAUUGCCCUGCCACACAAUUAUUUAUUUUCUUAGUAUGACCUAUCCUGUCCACCGUUAGCCGGUGAUCUGUGUCCAAUGUUUUUCCCAAGCGCCCUCUCGCAGUAACGCGCCUUGAAGCACGUAAAACUUCCCACUUUCACUUAACGAAGCACGUGCGAUGGACACUUUUGAAAAAAAGAAAGAUUUGCCUUGUUCUUUAACUGUUGGUGGCAUGACUUGUGGAAUGAUAUGCUUUGUAGUCAAGCUUUUCCAAAACUUUUCUCUUUUGUGAGAAAUUAGAACACUUCCUUCUAUUUGGCAGCUAACAAUCAAGAUUUCUAUGAACUUUUCCAUCGGCCCCUUUCACCAGAGGCAUUUGCACAAUACCAAUCGCUCAAUGCUGCAGUACAGACUGUGACCUUACAAGACAGUCCUGAUCAAUGGUUGUAUAUAUGGGGAUCUGCUCAAUUCUCGUCGAGCAAGAUUUACAAGCAGCUUAUUGGACACCAUCAGGUUUAUGUUGCUUUCAAAUGCCUAUGGAAAUCCUGCUGUCAAAAUAAGAGAAAGUUUUUCUCCGGCUGGUUCUCCAAGAUCAUUUGAAUACUAGAGCUCUACUCAAACAAAAACAUAUUCACUUCUAUAUUAUCAUUGUGUUCUCUGUAAUUUGGGAGUGGACGAAGACAUUUUUCUUCUACUCUUCCACUCCUUUCUCUAUGGCUUGCUGGUCUACUGUACAGUUACCUAUCCCCAACUAUCACGAUAUGGGUUUUUUAGUUGAGAGCAUCAAAGGUCAACUGCAUUUGCCUUUCCAAUCCACAUGGAAAUUUUAAUAACAAUGUGCUGGUCUAUUUGGUCAAUGCGCAACGAUGUGAUUUUCAGUCAGCAGAUGCAAGCAAGUCUUCAAGAAGAAGUUUGCUCUGAUUAUUCUUCGAGCAAAGACAAAAUACCAAUCUCAUAUAGAUUUAUGGCUACAGUCAUUUGUAUAAAUCUGCUUUUUAUGAUUUUUUUCCUUACUUUCUUUGUUUCUUGAUUAUAACUGGUUACUUUUGCCUUCUAUUAAUAAAAUUCCAGUAGGGGUUUUAAACCCCUCCUAUUCCAUAAAAAAAAACUGUUGGUGGUGUAGGUUCUGUUCCUGGUCCGGGGGGCAACCAACGAUGUGGAGGCAAGGCUGAAAUGGCCAGCGGGCAAGCGAUAUUUGUGCCCGCAUGCACGGUCAGCCUGGGCAUCGUUGCGCCUGGGCCGCGGAGAACCACAGCGUUGGCUUUGUAAUGGGCCGUCCGUUCCGUCGCAGUACAUAUUGACAGCAGCGGCGCUUUGUUUCUUUAAUCCCACAUCGCUUGCUUAAGCGAAUGCCAACAGCGAGUCCUGCUAUUUGUGAGAGCCCAUGCCGGCUUUGAGAGAUCACGCAGCUGCGCAGUGGACACAGAGCGAACUAAUCUUUCGCCUUUUACUAAAGAUUACCGUGUGUCCGCUGCAAUAAGCAGCAUACGCCAAUUUUUUGAGGGUUCCUUCUCCUUGGGAAGGGUCCCAACAAAUCCAAUUAAAUUUUGCUCCUCUUUUUGAAUUUUUUUGAGCAUUUCUUCUCCUCGGAUUAGGAUGCAUCCCAACAAAUAAGUUUUGAGUUUUGCUCUCUUUUGAAAUUCAGUAGCUUAAAAUAGUUUUAGAGUAGUUAAAAUAGUUUUAGCUGACUAAAUUUCAGUAAGAGAAAUGAAAGAUAUACUAUUUUCUCAUCGGUACAGAAAUAGGAUAGAUAUACUAUUCUCAUCGGAAUUGAUUGCAUGAAUAUGUAAUAUUAUGUUCAAAAGCUAGUUUUGACAAAAUUGAAAAUAAUAUCACAAAGAAUAAUAGUGCUAAACACAUACAUAUAUAAGUCCACAAGAUUAUAUGAGUAGCAUACCACAUGUAGGGUCAGUUGUGUACAGCGAAUGGUUGAAAGCAUGUUCAAAAGUUUAAUGGACCUGAACACAGGCCGACCGUGUGUCCAACAAUUUACGGGGUACGGGGCAAUAUAAAACACUGCUCUCACUAAUGUCCCAAACAGAAAAGUUUUCUUUGUUGUCAUAUGUUCUCUUAAAGCUUUGUUUGGUUACAUCCAAAAUCUAUUUUUUAAAAGAUUUUCCACCACAUCGAAUUUUAUGAUAUAUGUAUAGAGUAUUAAACAUAUAGAAAUAACUAAUUACACAGUUUGUUUGUAAUUUUACGAGACGAAUCUUUUGAACUUAGUUAAUCCAUAAUUAGAUAAUUAAUUACCAAAUACAAACGAAAGUGCUAUAAUACUCAAAUCCAAAAAGAUUUUUAAUCUAAAGGCCUAAACUUAUCAGCCUAAGUCAGCCAUAUUUUUCAGAUACGGAACAUUGUUUUUCUCAAAACAAAUAGAGAUCAGUUAAAAAACAGCCAGCCGUACAAUGACUUGUUACCGCUAUUAUUCAUAGGCCUUGUUUAGUUCGCGAAAAUUUUUGUUUUUGACUACUGUAGCACUUUCGUUUAUAUUUUAUAAUUAUUAUUUAAUCAUGGACUAACUAAGUUUAAAAGAUUCGUCUCGCAAAUUACAAGCAAAUGCACUUUCGUUUGUCUUUGACAAACAUUGUUUAGUUAUGGACUAACUAGGCUUAAAAGAUCCGUCUCGUGAUUUACAGGUAAACUGCACAAUUAGUUAUUUUUUUUAUCUAUAUUUAAUGUAUUAUGUAUGUGCCGCAAGAUUCGAUGUGAUGAGAAAUCGUAUAAACUUUUGGGUUUUUGAAUAUAUCUAAACAUGCCCUCAACCAGGCCUAAAGUCACCCCUGUUGCAGAUCACAAGUCGUCUAGUGCUGGUACUGGUGGCAAGGCCCAGGAAGAGGAACGCCCGUGUCUUUUGGGCCCGAGAGCAUGGGAAUCAUCAUGUAUUGUUGCUGCAACUUGGAAUCUAAGCUUCCCUUUUGUUUCCCUGUUCUUAUUGCUCUGCCAACUCCAAACUAUCUCCAAUGGUCUGCACCUUUUCUCUUCUAACCUUGAUACUGAUCGACAAUGCUAAAAUAAAAAUUGUUAGAUGGUUCCUUCCCUUUCCUUUAGAAUAAAAAGUAGGCCAGAAGUUGUGGCAUGGAUAGGAGAAGAGGUUGACACAACACAAGGUGUCUUACUCAACAUUUCACAUAGAUUAAUUCAUAAAAAUGGGCAAAACGACGCGACAAAUCAAGGGCUGGUAGCGCGCAAUUUGAGAUGUUUGGCCUGUUGGGUGCAAAUGGAAAACAAAAAUCUGAUCGAACAUGCAGGGAUGUUGACUUCCAAUUUAUUAGAGCAGUGAGGGAAUUGUAAUCCUUGCUCGUGCUCCUCAAUACGCAGAGAGAGAGAGAGAGAGUCGUGGAGGCCCAUUUGGAAAGAUUUGUUUUCUGGAAUAAAUGAUUAUGCAGGCAAACUGAUUCUAAUUCAUUUGUGAUAGUUUUUUAUUUCCUGGUUUUUAGUUUGUAGGACGAUGAGAAAUGUUUCUGGUUCCAACUCUGAAUCCUACAAUGAUUUGAUUAUUCUACCAUAUGCACUUCAAGUCAAAGCCUCGAAGAUAAGGCUAAGAACGAAAACAAACUUAAAAAAUCAUGUAGCUAGCUGUUCAAUAUAUGGGAAAACAAACUCGAAGAUAAAUUAAAGAAUAGAAGCAGGGUCGUACAUCGUGUCACUGCUGGUAGGUCGAUCUGAUCAAUACUUAAAAAUGGUUAGAAAAGUCUUAUUUGGAGAUGAUGACAUGUGAUUAGUUUAUCAGACAUUGAGCUGCAUUAGUCUACUACUUAUCCAUGCUAACAUGCAAGCUCUCGAUGCGUGUGAGCUCAGAUCGAACAGGAGCGACUUGUGGUACGGUGUGGUAGUGAACUAGCUGGUGCUACUUCUUGUAGCUCUACCCUUCACAAAAUUGUCUAUUUGAGUUCAGCUCCAAGGUACUGUUCACAUGCUACAAGCAAUAGGCGGAUCAGCAUGAAUAUAAUCACUCCUCUAUUUACCUCAUUUGAAGAAAUAAACUUACAAAGGGGAUGCAAUCAUGCAAAUAGAGACCAAUAACGACCGUGCAUAUUGCGUCAACUUGUUGACUUGUUUGUGAUCGAAAUUAAAAUCAGUUUAUCACCUAACAACUUCGUUUGGGCAUUCCGGUUUUAUGGGAUUAAUUAGUACGGUUUAUUUGCACUUGAUAGGAGUUUAGCUGCUAAUUAACUUUAUUUCUGAAUAGCUCUGAUUUGAUUGGGUGUCCGGGUUGGACUCAAGUUAACGCUAAAGCGACACCAAAGAAAAGACUUUUUUUCAGCCGCUUGGUGGUUCCCGAUCGAAUUGAAAUCGAAGUUUGGUCCUGACGUCGCGAUCGAAGGCAUUACUACAUACUCCACUCCACUCCAAGGCCACAUUCCAAACCAACCAAUAUCAACGUCAUGCGUCCUUUUCAGUCUUCAUAGUCAAAGCAUGCAUGGUGGGUAUUUCAACUCCAACAUUGAUCCGACCUCUGUUGUUUUGUCUCAACAUUUCGCUUUCUUAACCCAACAUUCCAACCUGUUCAUUGGAUUUCACCGGACAAUUUUGGUUUUAAGGGCGUGGAACAAAACAAUGUAGCCGAGCGCUACUGUUCCCUGCGAGUGGCAGCGACAUGAUCUAGAACUCAAACAUGCAAGGCCAACUCUUAUCCUUAGCAUCCAUGUAUUCCCUGUUUAAAUAUUAAUUGUUGAUUCAUAGGGCAAAGUUCUAAUAGCUAUGCAUAUACCUCAUCUAUAUAUCCACCUUUGUCGACGAAAGCUAGUCGGCAGUCUACCUUGGGGUAUACCCACGGUAGUAGUUUAUCGGUAGACGGUGCGCAAACUACGAACUCGAUGGUGACGCAAGACACGGACAAGCUUUUUAUCCAGGUUCGGCCGCCGAGUUGGCGUAAUACCUACGUCCUGCGUCUGUUUGUAUUGGAUUGUGUUUAGAGAUAAUCCGUCCUAGGGGGUCCCCUUGCCCCUCCUUAUAUAGUCUGGAGGGCAGGGUUACAGAUCUAGAAACUAAUCCUAGCCGGUUACAAUUGCCAUAGAUAAUUCGAUAUCAAUUCCUAUCCUAACCGACUAGAAUCCUGCUUGAUCCCCACGUCUUGUUUUCUUGCGCGAAACUCGGGCUGUCGGAUCAAGCCUUGAACUCGUCUCGUAGUGGGCCAAGCUUCCUGGCCCAAGUCUAGCCGUAAGGGUAUAGGGGUUUAUACCCCCACAGCUAGUCCCCGAGCGCCAUGUAUUGUGAUGCAACACGCCGUCUUGAGCUUCUUCGAUCAGCGUGGCCUGUCGUCUUCAAUGAGCGGGGAAAUCGCCCAAACAGUUGCAACGGUUCAUUGAUCAACGUUGUCAUCGAAGAAGCAGGUUGUUCGAAGAAUGCAUGGUGCUCUAAAAAAAAAUUUCUUUCCUGGUGAAGUGUGCCCACUUUGCCCUUUUUGAAAGGUAGGAGCAUCCAAAAAAGGCAAGCAAAUUCACCGCCAGGUGAAGUGUGCCCACUUAGUCCCCGAGCCUGGUAGUAGGUGACGUAGGCACGUGGUGCCAGGGUCUAAAAAGAAAAUCAUAGAAAUUCUAAAACUGAGAUGCAUCGACAGAUGCAUCGUACCGAUGUAGUCCCCGAGCUUGCUGGAAGGCGAAGUAUGAGCCUUGUAGCAAGGUCUAAAAAAUUGAAUUUACCAGUCCCCGAGCAUAUCAUGCUCGUCUGCAAUUGAAUAGACUAAUCGACCAGUCCCCGAGCAUAUAACGCUCGGUGGUCGGUACAGUCCCCGAAUUCUCAAAUUGGUGGGCUGGUCGAUCAGUCCCCGAGCGUAUAGUGCUCGGUGGUCGGUGCAAUCCCCAAACUCUCAAAUUGGUGAGCUGGUCGACCAGUCCCCGAGCGUAUAGUGCUCGGUGGUCGGCACAGUCCCCGAGCACGGCGUAGGGACCGGUGGACGAGUCCCCGAGCGUGGUUGGGGACGUAAACGUGCUCGGUGGUCGGCACAGUCUUCGAGCACAGCAUAGAGACUAGUCGACAAGUCCCCGAGCGUGGUUGGGAACGUAAACGUGCUCGGUGGUCGGAGCAGUCCCCGGGCACAGCGUAAGGAAUAGUCGACGAGUCCCCGAGCGUAGCUUGUCGACUGGGCCAAACUCCUGAAAAAUAAAUAUAAAAAAUAGGUAGUACAUGAUGUAUAAAUAAACUUUAGAUAAAAAAUCAGUACUGAGAUAAGUUUUAGAUUUUUUGUUAUAAAAUUAGCACGAGUUGUUAAUUCAUCCUAGAGCUUGUACCAGCUCUGGUCUAGCCAACAAUCAGCAUGAGGUGCGGAACCUAGGCACGCGUAGGAUUGUCAGCCACGUCAGAGAGGUACUGCCGACCACCCGGAACGCAGAGGGCGGAUCUCGUGCACGUGUAGGGAGGAGUCGGAGACAGUACCGGCUCUGGAAAGCUCGUGUAGGAGAAAAAACUAGUCGGCUAAAAAAGUUGUUUUGAAGAAUAAUAAUAUUGAAAAUAUUAUGCCAAAAAUAAAUAAGAUAUUAAAAGUGUACUUAUCUUUGGAUGAAAGUCUGGUCGGUGACGAUAAAAUUGUCUGGCCCUCGAGCUUUUGGACUUGUUAUCGUGACGGUGGUCGCGGUUGUCGUAGCGCCGUUCUUCGCGGCGAUUAUUAUUGCGACCGGUGGUCAGAGCAAGUAGGCCAAACAACUUGGUCGUUAGCCCGAGCAGAUCGAUGUCGUCGAUCUGCCUCCCUUUGUAGCAGGGAAGCGGGUGACGCGUUGUCGGCGUGGUCGGAGACGUUGCUGGAGUAGUCGGAGUCGUAGCCAGCGUGGUUGAAGCCGCCGCCGACGUCGAUGAAGAAGUGGUUGGCGCAGAUCGGAUCUACACCUCCUCCGUGGUCAUGGCGGUGAAGUUGUUGAAGCUGACGGUGAACGUGAAGUCGCCCGCCAUGGCCGCGAAGUCGGGGAUGAUGGCCAUCUUGUUCGUCGGGAGAGCUGUACGCACACCCCCUACCUGGCGCGCCACUGUCGACGAAAGCUAGUCGGCAGUCUACCUUGGGGUAUACCCACGGUAGUAGUUUAUCGGUAGACGGUGCGCAAACUACGAACUCGAUGGUGACGCAAGACACGGACAAGCUUUUUAUCCAGGUUCGGCCGCCGAGUUGGCGUAAUACCUACGUCCUGCGUCUGGUUGUAUUGGAUUGUGUUUAGAGAUAAUCCGUCCUAGGGGGUCCCCUUGCCCCUCCUUAUAUAGUCUGGAGGGCAGGGUUACAGAUCUAGAAACUAAUCCUAGCCGGUUACAAUUGCCAUAGAUAAUUCGAUAUCAAUUCCUAUCCUAACCGACUAGAAUCCUGCUUGAUCCCCACGUCUUGUUUUCUUGCGCGAAACUCGGGCUGUCGGAUCAAGCCUUGAACUCGUCUCGUAGUGGGCCAAGCUUCCUGGCCCAAGUCUAGCCGUAAGGGUAUAGGGGUUUAUACCCCCACAGCUAGUCCCCGAGCGCCAUGUAUUGUGAUGCAACACGCCGUCUUGAGCUUCUUCGAUCAGCGUGGCCUGUCGUCUUCAAUGAGCGGGGAAAUCGCCCAAACAGUUGCAACGGUUCAUUGAUCAACGUUGUCAUCGAAGAAGCAGGUUGUUCGAAGAAUGCAUGGUGCUCUAAAAAAAAAUUUCUUUCCUGGUGAAGUGUGCCCACUUUGCCCUUUUUGAAAGGUAGGAGCAUCCAAAAAAGGCAAGCAAAUUCACCGCCAGGUGAAGUGUGCCCACUUAGUCCCCGAGCCUGGUAGUAGGUGACGUAGGCACGUGGUGCCAGGGUCUAAAAAGAAAAUCAUAGAAAUUCUAAAACUGAGAUGCAUCGACAGAUGCAUCGUACCGAUGUAGUCCCCGAGCUUGCUGGAAGGCGAAGUAUGAGCCUUGUAGCAAGGUCUAAAAAAUUGAAUUUACCAGUCCCCGAGCAUAUCAUGCUCGUCUGCAAUUGAAUAGACUAAUCGACCAGUCCCCGAGCAUAUAACGCUCGGUGGUCGGUACAGUCCCCGAAUUCUCAAAUUGGUGGGCUGGUCGAUCAGUCCCCGAGCGUAUAGUGCUCGGUGGUCGGUGCAAUCCCCAAACUCUCAAAUUGGUGAGCUGGUCGACCAGUCCCCGAGCGUAUAGUGCUCGGUGGUCGGCACAGUCCCCGAGCACGGCGUAGGGACCGGUGGACGAGUCCCCGAGCGUGGUUGGGGACGUAAACGUGCUCGGUGGUCGGCACAGUCUUCGAGCACAGCAUAGAGACUAGUCGACAAGUCCCCGAGCGUGGUUGGGAACGUAAACGUGCUCGGUGGUCGGAGCAGUCCCCGGGCACAGCGUAAGGAAUAGUCGACGAGUCCCCGAGCGUAGCUUGUCGACUGGGCCAAACUCCUGAAAAAUAAAUAUAAAAAAUAGGUAGUACAUGAUGUAUAAAUAAACUUUAGAUAAAAAAUCAGUACUGAGAUAAGUUUUAGAUUUUUUGUUAUAAAAUUAGCACGAGUUGUUAAUUCAUCCUAGAGCUUGUACCAGCUCUGGUCUAGCCAACAAUCAGCAUGAGGUGCGGAACCUAGGCACGCGUAGGAUUGUCAGCCACGUCAGAGAGGUACUGCCGACCACCCGGAACGCAGAGGGCGGAUCUCGUGCACGUGUAGGGAGGAGUCGGAGACAGUACCGGCUCUGGAAAGCUCGUGUAGGAGAAAAAACUAGUCGGCUAAAAAAGUUGUUUUGAAGAAUAAUAAUAUUGAAAAUAUUAUGCCAAAAAUAAAUAAGAUAUUAAAAGUGUACUUAUCUUUGGAUGAAAGUCUGGUCGGUGACGAUAAAAUUGUCUGGCCCUCGAGCUUUUGGACUUGUUAUCGUGACGGUGGUCGCGGUUGUCGUAGCGCCGUUCUUCGCGGCGAUUAUUAUUGCGACCGGUGGUCAGAGCAAGUAGGCCAAACAACUUGGUCGUUAGCCCGAGCAGAUCGAUGUCGUCGAUCUGCCUCCCUUUGUAGCAGGGAAGCGGGUGACGCGUUGUCGGCGUGGUCGGAGACGUUGCUGGAGUAGUCGGAGUCGUAGCCAGCGUGGUUGAAGCCGCCGCCGACGUCGAUGAAGAAGUGGUUGGCGCAGAUCGGAUCUACACCUCCUCCGUGGUCAUGGCGGUGAAGUUGUUGAAGCUGACGGUGAACGUGAAGUCGCCCGCCAUGGCCGCGAAGUCGGGGAUGAUGGCCAUCUUGUUCGUCGGGAGAGCUGUACGCACACCCCCUACCUGGCGCGCCACUGUCGACGAAAGCUAGUCGGCAGUCUACCUUGGGGUAUACCCACGGUAGUAGUUUAUCGGUAGACGGUGCGCAAACUACGAACUCGAUGGUGACGCAAGACACGGACAAGCUUUUUAUCCAGGUUCGGCCGCCGAGUUGGCGUAAUACCUACGUCCUGCGUCUGGUUGUAUUGGAUUGUGUUUAGAGAUAAUCCGUCCUAGGGGGUCCCCUUGCCCCUCCUUAUAUAGUCUGGAGGGCAGGGUUACAGAUCUAGAAACUAAUCCUAGCCGGUUACAAUUGCCAUAGAUAAUUCGAUAUCAAUUCCUAUCCUAACCGACUAGAAUCCUGCUUGAUCCCCACGUCUUGUUUUCUUGCGCGAAACUCGGGCUGUCGGAUCAAGCCUUGAACUCGUCUCGUAGUGGGCCAAGCUUCCUGGCCCAAGUCUAGCCGUAAGGGUAUAGGGGUUUAUACCCCCACAACCUUCCUUGUCUUUUUUUUUUCUAUUUCUAAAAUACACCUUCCACCUCAUUGUCUUAUGUGAAUAAUGUGAUUCGACCCAAUUACAACUGGCCACCACAUACUCUCUUUAUUUGCCCCCAACUAAUUAGCGUCAUCAAUUCUAUAAUAAACCCUAAAAAUAAAAGCACUCGUGUUAGAUCAUUGACUUAACCUAAGUGGGUAGAACCUAACCUUUGCAAAUUGUCCUUCAUUUAAUUUUCACACUCCACGCACAUUCUCUAUUUAAAGCCUUCAAAUUAGUAUCAACCAAAACAUUUUUGCAAAUAUAAGAUUAUUGUAGGACAAACUGGAGGAUCGAACAGACAACUAGACAUGAGCUAAUAAAAAUUAUUCGCAAGAACUUGGCCUAUGCCCAAAUUUUGACCCAACCUCUUCUAUCAAAACCAAAUACACAUAGCGAUUGAUUAGGUAUUCGACUAGGGACAACUAAAAGUGCAUCUAGCCCAUAAGUGGGUAUUUAUGGAUUGAAUGAUAACACUAUUAAGUCAUCAACAUAUUUUUGAUGAGAUCAUGUGUGCAUGUAUAUAGUUUCAAGAUGAUUUAUGUAUUAGAACUCGUAUGAAGCAAAUGGCAUGCAAUGAGGAUUGAGUCUAAGAACGAUAUAUGAGAUAGGAAGACGAUAGGCAUUUGACAUUGUGGGAGAUGGUUGAAUCAACAUCGUCAUACAUUUUGGUGUUGACAAGUCACGGUCACACGUUUAGAACUCGCAUGAGAACCAAAUACACAUAUUUUGGAUUGAGUCUAAGCAAUUUUUUUGACAAUAACGUACUCACCAUGUUGGAAAUGCACUAUCAUGAACACGAGUGAACAGAUGUUGCCAAGUCACGGUCGUCGCACGUCGCUGCAACCGACACAUUCAUCAGCUCUUUGCAACCUACGACUCCCAAAUAAACAGCUGCAGGCCCUACUAUACACAGCUACAGCGACCGCAACAGGGCGGCCGGAGCACCGCAUGGAUCAGGUGCACCGGCACCGCGCAGUAGUGUCGAAGAAAAGGCCAUGCGCCCAGGCCCCUCCGGGCUCCGGCGGGCCGCGCUUAGCCGCCGGCUAGCUGUGCAAGCGAGUGGUCAGGCGAUAUCGAUGCUUCCGGCCGCCGCAUCUACCGCUCAUGCAUGUGAUGUGGAUGCUUUGUUUUUGUUCGGCUGUUUGUUACAACUUAUUACAGCCGCUGCAAGUGUGUUGCCAAUUGUCGCGGCCGCUUCACGCUAAUGGCGAUUGGCGAAUAAAGAAUUGCUAUAGCUCUGUCUGGUGUGCCUCGCGUCGCUCGUGUCGUGUGCAUGCACAACCAGCCGGGGCAUACGAAUAUGAUAUGGUUGUCUAAUCUAAAUAAAAGCUUUGGGUUGAUUCCCCCCAGCCAACACAUCACUCAGCUCAGGCAGAUCCACUAAGGGCACUCACAAUGCAGACUCUAUCAUAGAGUCUAAAAUUAUUUAUUACCUCGAACAAUGUGGACUUGGAGUCUAAAUAAGACUUGAAGUCUUAUUUUUUCCACCUCUUUCUUCAAUAAAUAUACUGCCACAUCAGCAAAAUACCAUAAAUAAUAUGUAGUUAAUUGUCUUGGACUCUGUGAUAGAGUCUUGCAUUGUGAGUGCCCUAAUCAUCAACCACCAGUAAAGCAACGCAGUGACAUAAAGCUAAGGCUUUGUUUACACCCAAAAAUCCAAAACUUUACAAGAUUCUCCAUCACAUCGAAUCUUGCGGCACAUGCAUGGAACAUUAAAUAUAGAUAAAAAAGAUAACUAAUUGUACAAUUUGUCUGUAAAUCACGAGACGAAUCUUUUAAGCCUAGUUGCUUCAUGAUUGGAUAAUGUUUUUCAAAUAAAAACGAAAGUGCUACAGUGUCAAAAUCUAAAAAAAAAAUUGGAUCUAAACAAAGCCUAAGUUUUAUUACUCCCAUUUAAUGAAGAAAAUGAACCUUAACCAUCUGUACAUUUUAGGAAAAUUAAGUAAAUCGUACCCUCUCUGUCAAUAGGUCAAUAAAAGGCAUGUAAACCCUUUGCAAAAGAAGAAGAAAGGGCAAGAAGGACGUGUAGUGUGUGUGGGUGUGCGUUUGUACAUGUACAAGGGCGUGUUUAGUUUUUGAUGGUAAAAUAUUUCACGAUACUGUAGCAUUUUCGUUUGUUUGUGGUAGUUAUUGUCUAACCAUAGGCUCAAAAAAAUUCGUCUUGUCAAUUUCGACCAAACUGUGUAAUUAGUUUUUAUUUCUGUCUAUAUUUAAUACUUUAUGCAUACGUCUAAAGAUUCAAUAUGACGGAGAAUCUUGAAAAUUUCUGAGUUUUUGGGUGGGAGUAAACAAGGCCAAAGAUUUUACGGCUGUAUCUAGAUAAGAGGCAGGAGCAUUUCUCUACUCAUGGAUCUUGUACACUCGUCGAAACCAAAGAAAUUCAUUGUAAUAUUCAAAGGUCUUGCAUUAUUCAAUUCGAUUUAGCCCCUCCUCACCAGAAUUCAGAAAAUAUAUCAUCUCAUCUCGUCAUCACGGAAAAAUUAGAGAAGCAAAGUCAACACGAGGACUGGGCCGGUAGCACUGAGGAUCGGUCAUCACCGUUUAUAAGGAAGACUCCACCAGUAGCCAUCGCUGCCGCCCGCCCACCCCCCGCCCGGAUCUCGCUGCCUCUCCCACCCCUGCUCGCAAGUCGCCGUCGCCAGCCACCGUCAUGGGCACGGCCAACGGCCAGCAGCCGGCGGCGGAGGGCGCUUCCUCUGACAAGCUCCGCCACGUCGAGUCCAUGUCGGAGCUGCCCUCCGGCGCCGGCAAGAUCUCCGGGAUCAACGCCGUCGUGCUCGGGGAGUCGCUCGCCGCCGAGGAGAACGACCUCAUCUUCCCCAGCUCCGACUUCUCUGCCAACGCUCUCGUCUCCUCUCCGAAACAGGUGUGUACAAACAGACCCAAACUUAGUAGUACUCGUCACACGCGCGCGUCCGACUUCUGGAUUCUUGCUGUUGACGCAAAUGCAAAAAUCGAGUCUUUUUAUCCAUCCAAUCGAUGGCUUGCUCUAGACUGAGGCGUUUGCUUUAGCACUUGGUGGGAGCUUUUCAUUUUGGGCGUCGUACAACUUUGCAAGCAUGAGGGGGUUAGUCAUGAUCAGGCUUUGUUGGCAAAGUCCGACAGGGACAACUAUGGGACAGAAACAGUACGGCCAAAUCGGGAGCGACAAUUUAUCUGCGCUGGUGUUUGUUUCUCAUCUUGUUUUCGAUGAUUGGUGAUGUAAUAGCAUUGUGAUCUUGCUGUGAUUUUUCAUGAUCGGCUCAGUAUCGGGAGAUGUAUGAGAGGUCCAUCAAGAACCCGGCUGGGUUCUGGUCGGAGAUUGCCGAGACAUUUUACUGGAAGGAGAAGUGGAACCCUGCCGAAGUCUGCUCGGAGAACCUCGAUGUCACCAAGGGACCCGUCCAGAUCAACGUAAGCGUUGUUUGAUGGUUGUUAGCUAAACUUAGCAUUCCUUUGGAAUGGAACGGGUCUAGUGUAGUGGUUCUGAUUCAUCUUAUGGUUCUUGGUCCUGUACAGUGGUUCAAGGGAGGGAAAACUAACAUAUGUUACAACGCUGUUGACCGCAACAUCGAGUCUGGCAAUGGGGACAAGAUUGCAAUGUACUGGGAGGGUAAUGAGCCCAGUCAGGAUGGGAAGCUCACCUAUUCCGAGCUCCUGGAGAAGGUUUGCCAGGUAAAUUCAUGCUCAUGUCUGAAAAGUUUGCCAAAAGUAAAACUGUGAAUGGCAAAUGUACUAGCACACAUGUCAACACUUGCAUUGAGAAGAGUCUCAAAUAAGAUGACCAAGUCUAAGCCGUCCUUUUAUGUUUGUAGCUUGCAAAUUACUUGAAGAGCCUUGGUGUCGGCAAGGGUGAUGCUGUUAUUAUCUACUUACCAAUGCUACUGGAGCUUCCCAUUGCCAUGCUUGCCUGUGCCCGCAUUGGUGCUGUCCACUCGGUAAUUGCUAUAACUACAAGCUGUAUUGGUUAUUUUGUCAACCCUAUGUUUUCUUUUCUAUGUUGUGAUGCAUCAUGCUUGUACAGGUUGUGUUUGCUGGCUUCUCAGCAGAUUCUCUAGCCCAAAGGAUUGUUGAUUGCAAGCCGAAGCUUGUCAUCACGUGCAAUGCUGUGAAGCGGGGAGUCAAGCCCAUCUUUCUCAAAGAUAUAGUGGAUGUGGCUUUGGUCGAAAGUGAGAAGAAUGGAGUCUCUGUAGGUAUGCACUGGGAUCUGGUUUGGGUAUUUGCAUCAAUAACUUUGAGCUUUUGUCAGGUGGCAGCUAUUUUGUACUCGUUAUUUCUUCCCAUUGUCCAUCAAUGUUUUCUUGCGACAUCAUGCCAAACAAACCUCGUAUGAAGAUAGACACGGAGCUAAGGGUUACACUAGGGUUCUCAAUGUGUUUGUUUUUUUUUUCUGUAGUUGCUCAUUUACGGGGGACAAGCAAAACUAAUCCCACAUUUGGGUAAAGAAUUGAUUGAGGAUGUCAGUCUAAUAAAACAUUCAUGGGGCAAUUAAUGGUAACUAAUUUCGUGAAGUUGCAAAUUAGGUAGGGGGAAGAGGGGGGGGGGGUUCUCAUAUAUCACAGGUUACUUGAUUUAAUACAACAAAGGUAAGAGGGGACAUCUGAUUGUUUAUCCAAAUGAUAAGAAAACCGAGGUACAUGAAUUGGGAGACAGAAAUGGGACUUGCUAUGUCACAGGUGGCUAAAAAUAAGGUAGUUUUCCGUCGACCAAUGCUGACCAUUGGAUGACAACCAAACCAUUCAAACAUUGUUUUCCAAAUCUGCUGAAAGCUAAUUUUAGGCAAUAUCCUAUCCUUACCAAAGAAAAACUAAAACUAAAACUAACACAAGCAUUUGUUUCAAAGACCCUGUGAUGCAAACAGCCACUUACUUUUUAGAACCAUAUAAAAUGUCGCAUUUGGAUUAUGUUUAGCCACUGCAUUGGCCGGGGUAUCCUAUGUUGCUGCAUUUGGCUAGUGUACUCAACCUCAAGUCGUAGUUGUAAAAAAAGAAAAAAAAAGAAACUCAAGACCUCAAUUAUAUUCUAACUUGAUUGCCAAAGAAACUUCUUUUCUGGCAUGUGGUUCAUUCAAUGAGCACAUCUGAGAACCAUUGAAUAUAACCUGGUUUAUAGUCCACUGAUGCAAACUUUCAUUUUGCCGAUACUAGGUCUCUGCUUGACGUAUGAAAAUCAGUCAGCCAUGAAGAGGGAAGACACAAAAUGGCAACCAGAAAGGGAUGUUUGGUGGCAGGUGCUCCUAAAUAGAAACUUUGUUAUUAUAUACAGUAGUCAUCCUAUAUGUUGAGGCACACACAUAUCUACUGUGAAUAACAUUGCUAAAUUGUUAUAAUUUGUUGCACAAUAUCUUUCAGGAUGUCGUGACCAAAUUUCCAACCAAAUGUGAUGUGGAAUGGGUGGAUGCCGAGGAUCCAUUGUUCCUUUUGUACACAAGUGGCAGCACAGGGAAGCCAAAGGUACUUCUAAGUUCUAACUGAGAUGGAUUAAGCAGCUAUUGCAUUAGCCGGAUAUUUAUCUCUCUUGGAGUCUUGGUGUAUGUAGGGUGUGUUGCAUACUUCUGGGGGCUACAUGGUGUAUACUGCAACAACCUUUAAGUACGCAUUUGACUACAAGCCAACUGACAUAUACUGGUAGGUGGUAACACAUAUGCUCUUAUGUUUUUAGCAUGUAUCCUCAUUCCUUUGUGGGGAAUUAUUCAUAGAAUCUGCUAUUUCCUUAUCCACCCCCACUGUUUUGUUUGCAUCAGGUGCACUGCAGACUGUGGCUGGAUUACUGGACAUAGUUAUGUAACAUAUGGUCCUCUCCUGAAUGGUGCUACGGUUCUCGUUUUUGAAGGGGUAUGUUUCUUAAAGCUUUUUGGCCAAUGUGUAAAUUGAAUUGUGGUAUCUGAUAAUAAAAGCAAAUUAUCUGGUUUUGAUAGUUUUCUUCUCAUUUCUUUUGUUGAACUUGUCUGCUUGUCUGACAGCUUAGCAGUUCAUUCUUCGCAGCACCAAAGUCUAGUAUUAUUGUUUGAACAAUGCUUGGAUGCUUGUAUUUAUUUUAGUGUAUUCAUUGGAUGUUUUCUAUUUUUUCCCAAAUUUCAGUAAGCUAGCCUGCUGGGUUUUUUUUCCCAGUCUCCUUAUUCCUAAAGUACUCCUUUGAAUCAUACAUGUAGACUCCGAACUACCCUGAUUCAGGCCGAUGCUGGGACAUUGUCGACAAGUACAAUGUGACAAUAUUUUAUACUGCCCCAACUCUUGUUCGUUCACUCAUGCGUGAUGGCACUGAGGUAUGAACUGUUUCUCGUACAAUACAUGAUUUAAUUUUGUAACUUUACGCGGUUACAUGAUUUAGUUUUGUAACUUUACAUGGUUACUUGAAUCCGACAUCAUGUGAUGCUGGGUAUCAAAUUACCCCUAUUACUUAGGUCCUGUUUGCUAGAGCUCCAGCUCCAAGUAUUUCUAGUUUCGGAAAUAUGUGAAUCUGACGCUGUGGGUACACCUGAAUUGUUUUCUUUCUAUUCUUUAAAAAAACAGUUGAAGGUUCUUUAUUUUUAACAUACAGACUCCAGUUAUUUGUUGGUGCGCAGAGCUCGCCAAAUAGGGCCUUAAGUCAACCUGAUUGUCUUAAAAAUGAUUGGGAGGGGAUCUAUGGCUGUAGCUUCUUUCCUUUUUUCAUUGCCAAUAAUGAAACUCUUCUUCUUCAAGGCUGAAUUCUUAAGUAUUUUUAGAUAAUGUCAAUAAUUGAGUCAUUUGAAAUUCUGUAUUCUUAUAUCGACUUUGAAUAUUCCCUAUCUCUGAUUUCUUCUAUGCUUUUGAAGUAUGUCACACGUUACUCUCGAAAGUCUCUACGAGUCCUGGGAAGUGUUGGUGAGCCAAUCAAUCCUAGUGCAUGGAGGUGCGUGGACCUUUUGCCAACUGUUAACAAUUUGUGCAUACAUAAUUAUAAAGGUCAUAUGUCUGUUUUACUUCCUUUCAGAUGGUUCUACAAUAUUGUUGGGGAUUCCCGGUGCCCCAUAUCAGACACCUGGUGGCAAACUGAAACUGGCGGUUUCAUGGUAUGAUCUUUACAGUAUACACCUCUUGUGAAAUUUGAUAUUUUCUUUCUGGGACCACAAAACAAUUGUGAUUGUCAAUGUUUUAUGAACUGCUGUGUUUGCUUUCUUUAGAUCACCCCUUUGCCUGGCGCCUGGCCUCAGAAACCGGGUUCUGCAACCUUUCCUUUCUUUGGUGUUCAGGUAAACCAAUAUAUCUAUGAUAUCUAAAAAGAUAUAUGAUCCAUUUAUUUUUAAAUUCUGAACUGCAGUCUGUUUAUUUUACAGCCAGUCAUUGUUGAUGAGAAAGGGCAAGAGAUUGAAGGGGAAUGCAGUGGAUAUCUUUGCAUAAAGAAAUCAUGGCCUGGGGCUUUCCGGACUCUGUAUGGAGAUCAUGAGAGAUAUGAGACCACAUACUUCAAACCAUUUGCUGGGUACUAUUUCACUGGUGAUGGUUGCAGCAGGUAAGCUACCAUAGUUUUAUCCUAAUUAUAUGGGGAUUGAAGCAUAUUGAGAGAAUUUUUUACUCUUUAAACUAGUUCAGCUAAUAGCCUUUUCAUUUCAGAGACAAAGAUGGUUAUCACUGGCUGACUGGAAGAGUAGAUGAUGUCAUCAAUGUCAGGUAAGCUACUUAUUGGUUUGUGUCAUCACUUGGUAGAGUUUUAGUUUGCGAAUGGCAUUGCCAACUUUCAAGUGACAACUAUCUUACCCUUCAUGUGAAUAUGUAGUGGACACCGAAUCGGCACUGCCGAGGUUGAGUCAGCUUUGGUGUCACAUCCACAGUGUGCAGAGGCUGCUGUUGUUGGUGUUGAGCAUGAGGUAUAGGCUGCUGUUGUUUUUUUAUCUCCCUUUUCAAGCCUCAUUAUCUUUGGUAUCCUACCAUAUAUGUUUCUUAAUUAAUAAAUUACCUCCAGGUCAAAGGUCAAGGAAUUUAUGCUUUUGUAACUUUGGUGGAUGGUGUUCCGUAUAGUGAGGAACUACGAAAAAGCCUUAUAAUGACAGUGCGCAACCAGGUAUUUUGUUUAUUUUGUAUGUUAACUGAAGAGGUCACAUUUUGUACAGACAAAUGGUCUGCACCCUGUUGCUGAAUAUUCUGUUCUUGGUAGUUGGUUGGCAUGCGAUAGUCCUCAUAGAGUUAUAGAUUGUGCAUAAUUACAUUCCAUUAUAAAGCAGGGUUAGAUAAUCAACUAUAAAGUUUCUUAUGUGCCUAGAAAUUAUUCAGGUCACAGUUGACUAAAUUGUUGUCACAAUGCUAGCGUGAAUGAACCAUGAUUGUAGGCACAUAUACUGUCUUUCUGUCAGUCUCUAGUUCCUGCAAAGUAGUCAACAAUCUUUAGAUGAAACAUCCUUGAGUUCAGGAAAAUGGUGUGAGCUGUAUGUUGAUUAUAACUGAAAGACAGCAAAGAAAACAUGUGCAGACAAAGGAUGUUAGGAGACGGUUAAUCUUGAACCUGUUGGACAUGUCAUUUCUUAUAUUGGCUCCUGCAAUUAGGCAUGUCAGCAGGUUAACCAAUGUGUAGUUGGGUUAACCAUCUAGUUCAUUUGGUCUCUAAAUCCAAGAAAAAGAAUGAACUAGCAUUCUAGCAAUGAGGUGAAAUAGAAUUUAGUCGGAUGGAGUGGGUUUCGGGUUGAUUAAUAAAAAGAAAUAAACCUGUGUUUUUACCUGUAGUGCUGAGCAAGUGAGCAUGAUUUAAACACAAAAUACAGUAAGCUUCAUCUUCACAUGAUUUAUAAUGCCUUUUUUUUUGCAGAUUGGGGCAUUUGCAGCUCCUGACAAGAUCCACUGGGCACCAGGACUUCCUAAAACCCGGAGUGGCAAGAUCAUGCGAAGGAUUUUGCGUAAAAUUGCUGCACGGCAACUGGAUGAACUUGGGGACAUAAGCACCCUUGCUGAACCUGCUGUAGUUGACCAGCUUAUUGCGCUCAGCGAUUGCUAGGUUGCAAUGUAAUAUGGAUGGUGGAUACAUCCUUUGAGUGAAUGUUGCGUUUCUCUGUGUACUAUGAGUAGAAUGUGUAUUUCAGUAUCGAGAACUUAAGUGGGAUAUGAUAUGAUGACAUGUUGUCGAUGUUUCUUUUUAAACUUUUGUAUGACUGUAUCUGUAUGAGAUAUCAACAUAUAGGUCCGAUAGAAUGUAUUAUUGAUUGACACAAUAAAUAUAUUAAUAAAUUGCUAAAUUUUCAUUUGGUUUCGUUUGGAUAAACUUUGCCCAUGUUUUAGGGAUUCAGUUUGAUAAUAAAGCCCUUUACUUUCUGCAUUAUUGGUGAUAUUUAGGUUUUAUGACUUUUGGCCCCUCAAAAAAGGAACACUUAAGUUUAUAUGUGAAAUUUUAACCAUGUUCGUAGUUCAAGUAUUUUAUCUAGACACAAGUUUAUUUUAGGAACUUAUAAGUUCAUCAAACCUUGUAUGCCUUCCCCAAAAUUAAAGGUUUUUUUAUUUCAAAAAAAAAUUAAAAGUUUUUUGUCCUGAUGAAACAUGGGGUUUUACCUCAAGAACUGAACUUCUAAGAAGAACGGGUUGAGUUUCCCUUAAUAAAUUGUUGAAAGCAGUGCUGCAUCAUUGUAUCUCAUGUGAAAUCCCAUUCUGUAAUCAAUUGUAUCAUAUAGUACACGAGCAACUCACCAUGUACAAGUACAUGAUGUUCAGAUGAGCUGAACAGCAUCCAAGUUUUGACCGCGCAGCAAAACUCGGCCUGCAGCGGCCGCGUACUUCUGCAUCCAAACAUCAUAAUUACUCAUUGUUUUUUCGGUCACUAUCUUUCUUUCUUUUUUUCAUUCUCCUUUCCUCGAUUUCUGCUCUAAUCAACGCACCUCUAGCCUUUCUAGCUCACCGUUAGCGGCGCACAUCACUCGUCAGGUUCUACGGCUAGGUGGUGUGUUUGUUAUUAGAUUCCACGACAGUCAGAUCGAUCGAGAUACGAGCUGUUUGGAUUUGAGCACCUGUAAAUGGCAGAGCAGAUUCAUUCUCCACCACCGAUCACUCGUAUUCCUUGCUUUCCUCUGCUUGCUUUUGACGCGAAUGCGAAUUUACUUGAUGAUGACAAAUCAAAUUUCCAUGCCCUGGGUGCAUCUGUAAUUUGAUCCAAGACUUAGGCAGCCGGCUCUCCAUGUCUCGGAUGAUCAGAAAUCCCAAAUGUGCUGGCCUGUGGUCCCUUCGGCGAUGGUGCUGACCUCCUGGUCCCACUGUCAGUGUCACUGCCUCCUCCACGUGAGUGCACUCCGGCCCCAUCCAACGGCGUCCGGUCGCGCAGUAUCCAAGGGGCCCUCAAUCAAGAAAAAAAAAUGAUAGGGAACAACGGCUCUGCCUUUGUCGUUACUGUAGUAGGGCCCUCUGAGCGAACGGCGCCGGCGGGCCCACCACCAGCAUCUGAUCCGCGGCAGGAGAGGGUCGCGUUGGCUCCACGCAAACGCAACCCGCCGUCGCGCGCGCCCGCCCGGCUAUUUUACCGCACCAGUCCUCCCUCCACCAGAUCAGAUCAGAUCACAGAACGCAACAGCCGAAGGAAAAAUUUCCCCCCAACCAAAAACCCUCUCUCCCAAACCCUAGCUACCUUCGGAUCCCGAUGGCGAACCCGCGCGUCUUCUUCGACAUGACGGUCGGCGGCGCGGCGGCGGGGCGGAUCGUGAUGGAGCUGUACGCGAACGAGGUGCCCAAGACGGCCGAGAACUUCCGCGCGCUGUGCACGGGCGAGAAGGGCGUGGGGAAGUCCGGGAAGCCGCUCCACUACAAGGGCUCCACCUUCCACCGCGUCAUCCCGCAGUUCAUGUGCCAGGGCGGCGACUUCACCCGGGGCAACGGGACCGGAGGCGAGUCCAUCUACGGCGACAAGUUCCCCGACGAGAAGUUCGUGCGCAACCACACGGCCCCCGGGGUGCUCUCCAUGGCCAACGCCGGGCCCAACACCAACGGCUCCCAGUUCUUCAUCUGCACCGUCGAUACCCCCUGGCUCGACGGCAAGCACGUCGUCUUUGGCCAGGUCGUCGAGGGCAUGGACGUCGUCAAGGCCAUCGAGAAGGUCGGAUCCCGCAGCGGAUCCACCUCCAAGGAGGUCAAGAUCGCUGACUGCGGCCAGCUCAGCUAGAUCGUUGGUCUGGUCUGCCCGUCCGCCCUCCCUCCCGUCAUCGUCCACUCCGCCUGCGUCCCGUCCCGUUUCCGGUUUGCUUCGAUCUGAAUAAGAUGAUGGUGAUCUGAGUGGUGGUCUGAGUUGAGUCGUUUAUUUAUCAUGUGCGUCUGUCUGUGUCGCUCGCGGUUUAAUCUAGCGGUGUAGGUGUGGAUCUCCGAAUCCCAUGGCGCCUCUGCUUACUUCGUGUUUCAUCACCAGUUAUAUGUUAUGAGAUCCAGGAUAAUGCAUUAAUGCUAUGAGAACUGAGAUUCGGUUUCAUGCUUCUUGUUCCAUGUGCCAUGUCAUGUGCGUCUUGUUCCAUUGCAAGUUCGGACCCCAAAAUGAUUUUGAUUGUCAAUAUGUUAAUGUGAACUGCCAAGCAUGGAUCGCCCCGGUUUUUUGUUUGGUGUGCUAGUAAUUGAUCCCAGCAUUCUUUUAUAUUAUGAGAAAAGAACUGUCUGAUGAUUUAUAACCAACGUUCUUUUAUCUUCUAUUUCUCUCCUUCAUGCACCCUGUAAUAGAUAGAGCAGAGGCCCCACCCACAAUGUGCAAAAGCUGCCGUUGUUGGUGUUGAGCAUGAGGCAUAAUCUGCUGCUAUUUCUCUCCAUCAUGCACCUAUUGGUAUAAAUUGCCAUCUUCAGGUCAGUUUUGGUUGUUGGUGUUCCUUAUAGCGAGGAACUGAGAAAAAGCCUCAGCCUUGGCGUGAGUUCUUUCUGGCGUGAGUUCUUUCUAUUAUUACUUGUCUGAGUCUGCAUACCGAUUGGUUCAGGGCAUAUAUAGUUGCCUCUUGCAGUCAUUGGCCAACGGGCCCACUCAACAGUGUCUUACAGAAAACGCAAUACAAAAAUACGCUAGACAAUGUAGAAAGCGCAUGUGUCCUCAUCAGUGCUCCUCCUUGUCCGUGGUGUCACACAACAAGGCAACCUGGAGGAGUACACAAAGUUUCAAGCUUUACUGAAUGAUGUAGGCAACCUGUAGGAGUACACAACUCAGUUCCAAGCUUUACAGUAUGAUGUUUCAAUGCAUGAGGACACAUGCGUUUUCUACAUUGUCUAGCGUAUUUUUGUACUCCCUCCGUCCUCUAAUACUGCUAUUUCUAGCAGAUUUCAGACAGAUUAGUGUGGCAAACAAAAGACCAUUCUACCCUCAAUUAAUUUGGGUUCCACCAUUUAAUCAUGUACGUUAAACCAUGGUUCUCAGGUUCCAACGAGCUGUAUUUAAUGCCAACUAAACAGACUCAAACAAUUAUCAUGCACCAAAGCACUACUCCCUAGAAGAAAUUAAAUGGGCUGGUGGACCGUGAAAGUUCCGAGGAGAAAUUAAAUAGGCUGGUGGCUAGUAGAAAUAGCAGUAUAUGUGGACAAAAUUUUCUCCUAGAAAUAGCAGUAUUGAGAGACGGAGGUUAAGACACUAUUGAGUGGGCCCGUUGGCCAAUGACUGUAAUAUGCCCUGAACCAAUCGAUUUGCAGACUCAGACAAGUAAUAGAAAGAACUCACGCUAAGGCUGAGGCGUGAACCUCGCCGGCGUCCUCGUUCCUAUAUCCACUGCGUUCGCUCACGUCGCCGGCACAUCGCCACGGCCACGGGUGUUACAUAAUGACAGUGUGCAGUCAGGUAUUUUCUUUGCCUCGGAUCUUGUGAACUGUGACUGAGCCGGCCUAUUGACAAACAGACAUUUUUGUAUUGUCAAACAGUGUACCCAUCCGUUGAAUACUAUCUUCUUGGUAGUUGGUUGGCAUGGGAUAGUUCCUGUAGAUCUCACAUGAUUAUCUUCCAUUAUAAAACCGAGUUGCACAAUCAACUACAAAAUUUCUGAUGCAUCUAGAUUUGUCAUAUCCAAGUAGAGACUAGUCAAAGUUCUUACCAUGAAUCAUCAAAGGAGAUAGAUAUAGUAUGUUCCUGUGAAGUCUUAAAGUCCACACUCUUUGGACAAACACCCUUCAGGUCUAAGACAGCGAAGAAAAAUGGUCUGACAAAAGAAAAUUAUAGCAAUCAGAUAUCCUUGAAACAUUUCUCAUAUUGGCUCCUGCAAUUAGGGAUGCCAGCAUGUCAACCAAGGAAAAGAAUAACUAGCAUAGGUGAAAUUGGAUUUCUACUUGGUAUGGAGUGGGUUUUGGGUUGAACACCCCCCCCCCACCCCGGAAAAAAAACAAAAUGCUACUUUUAAUGUUGAAUGUGCUACUCGUUCAUAUGCUUUUGCUUUAUUUGAAGGAAGCGUAUGCUAUAAAAACCAGCUUCGUAAGCAAACUCUCAUCAAGAGCAUAGGAUGAUCAUCUGAUGGUCAGAGGCAAUGGUGGAAUAUUUUUCACUUAACCCCCCCCCCCCCCACACACACACACACCCCCACAUCAUCCUACGCCAGCAGCUUCGCGAACGCCGGCAGUCCUUCCUUGGCGAGGUGCCGCAUGAGGUCGUCCAGGUCAGGGCCGGGGUCCUCGUCGUCGAGGAAUUCGAUCCGGACGCGUCCCCGGCCGAGGGCGACGCCAUCGCCGCUGGCCGACACGCCCGUGGACGCGGCCAGCUUCACGCCGAAGGUGGAGACCGAGGAGAAGGUCACCAGGAGACCUUUCGCCGCGAUGCGCUUCACCAGGCGGAGCAUCGGGUUCACGUGGCCUUGGCCAGGGAAGCAGAUUAGGAGCAGGUGUGGCGGGGCGCCGCUCGCUGUCGCUGCUGCUGCUGCCACGGUGGGCGCGGCCGCUGCUUCCUCACCCAUGGAUCGGACUCGGACCUCUGCUGCCACGUCUUCGUCGGGACUCGCCCCUGAGCUAGCCGGCAAAGUGCAGUGGUGGACCCGUGAAUCACCUUCCGGCCGGCUGAACGCAGCGUGGAGAAUACAAAGCCACCAGUGCACCUUCAGGGUAGGAUGAGUGGGGGGUUUAAGUAGAAAAUAUCCCACCAUUGCCUCUAACCAUCGGAUGAUCAUCCUACGCUCCUGAUGAGAGUUUGCAUAGUUUGCAUACGAAGCUGGUUUCCAUAGCAUACGCUCCCUUAUUUGAAUAAAUCAAUAAGCUUCAUCUUCAAACAAUUUACUGUUGCCCUUUUUGUGGCAGAAGAUUGGGGCAUUUCUGGUUCCAGACUAUCCUUUGGGCACCAAAUUCCUAAAAUCUGGAGCGGCAAUAUUGUUAGGUUCACAUGGUGGAUGCACCUUCAGUUCGUCACCUGCAGGUUCCGUUUGUUUCUAUAUGACCAGUAGAAUGUGCAUCCCAAGUGUCGAGAAGCAAAAGUGGCAUGGGGUAUAUGCUGAUUUGGCUCUUCUUUUAUAUAUAAGCUUUUGUAUCGCAUACAGAUAGUCCAUGAAAAUGUAUUGCUUGACACUAAUAUCAAUGUCAAAUUUUCAUUAUUGGUUUCUUUGGAUGACUGUCUGAUCUUGGGAAUUAUAUUUGAUAAGCUAAUUCUUGGACCUUUUGCAUCAUAUAAGUGAUAUACCAGGUGCUGUAACUUUUGUAACCACUAAGUUAAAGUACAAGUACUUCAUACCAGAAACAAGCUUAUUUUAGAAACUUAUAGAAGCUCAUUAUGCCUUCUAUGGCUAUCCGAAAUUAACGGUUGUCUUUUUUGUUCUGAGCUUUUUAAACGCAAUUGGUUUCAGACAAAACAAGGGAUGCUUCUAAGAACUAAGAUGAAGCACGACAAACCACUUGGAGAACUGAAUCUUGCAUUCCAUCUUGUAACAAGAAAAGUUGAAGUUUCCAGUGAGAACUUGUUUGGAUAUGUACUAUAUUUCAUCUGAAUCCCAUCGUAUUACUCGUAUGAUGUCAUAUACAUGCUCAACUCCACCAUAUACAAAGUGAUCAGGGAGAAUGGACUCUCCUUGGCAACAGCCAGCCCGGGAGUGCUGAUAGAAUAGGCAGCCCCAUGGCGAUGAGCUGAGCACUAUCGUGCUCUAACCGCAUAGCAAAACUUGGCCUGAGGACCUACUUCUGCAUCCCGUCCGUAUCUAAGUCUAAUUUUCUCGAACACGCGAGAGAGCUGUGCAUCCUUAUAUUAAGAAGAAAAAUCCGUGUCCAAGUUUAGGCCUGAACAUGUAGAAGAUCAUGGCUUCACGCGCCGAUACCAAUGACUUUCAGCUGUGUUUUCAUGUAAAAAAAGGUUCAUUGUUAGGUAUUCCAACAAAACAUGAAGUGAACUUUGUAGAGCCCAUUGAAAUCUCUGCAGCUAGGAGAAGCAUAAUGCUGUCAUAUUUGAACUUACAAGGCUGUUGUUGGGGUCCCUCCAGUAGAAGCCACGGAUGAACAUGGGCAGGAUGUUGCAUGCCACCAGGACAUAUAUCAUCAGGGCGUGCUUCCCCAUCCACUCCAUGGGAAUGGUAGGUUUUCUGAACCCGUACAGAUCCACCUGAAAAAUCCAUGACAAUGGCUUUUGAGGUUUCGGAGAUGAUGGAUGACACGAGCAUAGUAUAUGUUAUCAGGUUUAAGAGGACCAACAAGAGCAUAAAUUCCAGCAAAAAGAAGACCCGCAGCGCCAGCAGUAGCCAAAGUGUAGCUUAUUGUGUAUAAUGGUUUAUUCAUGCGCAUUCCUGAAAAAAGGAUCAUGAAAAAUUGUUCAAUUCACUCAAGCUCUUUGAAUUAGGAAUAAGCAUGUGGUUGAUCAGUGUUUGGUGAAUACUUACCGCUGAAGUCCAUUAAGAAGGCUAGAGCUAACAUGCUGAAGGAAGGGAUCAACCAAUUGGUGAUUCUUCCCCUGUGUUUCUGCAGGUGAAUGUAAGAAUAUUUUACACGACUAAAAAAUGAUAAUAUAUCAAACUAGUAUCACAGAACAGCAUUAUACCUCAAAAUGUAUAAUUAUAUGCCCAAACUGAAGUCCAAUCAAGCAAGUGACAAUUGCCAUAACGGAGCUGAAACAUGAAUUAAGGACAUUAAGAACUACCAAUAAGUUGGAGGAACCUGCAUUGCAAGAGAAGCUUAUGGUCACUGACGAGUUGUGAAGCACUGACCUGAGGAGGCCUUCAGGAUCAAAUGGUGCCUGGCACCAUGAUGGAGCAUCGGGUGGAAGAGGUCCAUUCUCUGGAUAAUUUAUACUACAUUCCUGCAUGUUAGCCAAAGUUUUUUAUUGAGUUUUGUGACAAGGGAGCAGAAAACUGAGACUUUGCACUUCAUAUCAAACCUUUGUGCGCGCAUAGACUGGCCGUCUGUAGAGGUGAUCGAUCCCUAGAAUUGUACGGUCAACCAUUCCAACUGCAUUGCAAGCUGGUCCGGUGUCUCCUCUUACUCCACAUUUCACCUGACACAUUCAAGUGUAGCAUGAACGUCAGCGCUUCUUCCAUGUUGUAUAGUGAACUUGUAACAAGAUAAAGAAAAUGCAGAGACACUUUGCACUUACAGAGAAUGAUUUCUCUGUGGAACCAGGGCCUGAUAUCUUGUACUCCCAGUCUGGAACGUAUAUACCGUACAAAAGUAUAGUAUAGGCUAUAGAGAGGACCAAUCCUACAAAUCUAGCACGACAACAACGAACCAUAUGUCAUAAAUAUGAGAUACCAGUACCAGGUCAAUUAUUCAAAUUCUAUAGUUCUUGAACAGUAAAUGCUCGUGAGGAUAAUUUUGAUCUGAACUCACAAUUGGUAGCGGUAUCUCCUUAGCAAACCAUAUCCAGAAUCUACAUCAUCAUCUCCCUUGAGCCAGAUUUCACAUAUUGCAGCCAGAAGAUAGGCUAUUGCAAUCCUCUGCAACAUAGAACCAUCAUAUGCCGUUAAAGAUGACCUGCACCUUUUCCAGUACUGAAUGUGUCAAUUAUUAGUUCUGAAAGAUCUGAAAGAACAUUAAAAAAAUUGGGUACCUGAAGUAUGCCCAUCAACCGAAUUUUCGUUAGAUCAACGCCAAAUGUGAGACUGUGAACACCAUGAAAAAAUCCACCUGCAUAAACCAGCACAUGGAGUGCGAACUGAUUGUUACCCUAGCUAACUUUUUUUGGGAAAUUUUUUAGCCCAUCUUUUGAUAAGAGUUGUAAGAUCUAAAAUACCUUGGAGAACAAGACCAAGGCAGAACAACUUGAGGGCACGAAGUACUGCCUUCUUAGUUGCCUCCAGUUUAUCUGGUACCCGCUGCACAUAGUGGUAUGACAAAUCAUCAUCCAACAUGCUGAUAACUUAGCAUUUAGUUUGAAAGAGAAAGGUAGUAGAAAGAGUAGUGUGUUUGUGAUCGCAGUGUUCAGCAUACCUUGUACGCUAGUGUUAGCGAGACUCCAACUAUGAAAAGGAAGAACGGCAUGACGAAAUCAGCUAUUGUUACGCCAUCCCAAGGAGAGUGGUUCAGUGACGGGAGGAAGCCUCCAGCAUCGUCAACAAUAAUCAUAAGCUGCAACAAGGAAAACAAUCACAUCCUGCCUGUUUCAGACUGCAAGUAAAAAAAAUAUAUAUUGUGACAAUUUGAUGGACGUUUUUCUCCUUUUUCCCUUAUUCAACAAUAUCAUAGGUGACCAAUUCGGGGAUUAGAAAAGAUCAAGGUGGUUGCAUCGAUUUCUUCUUUGUGAGAAAUGAUAACAGCACCAUAACUCCACAGGUCAAUGCUUCCCUGUUUCCAGUGCUUAAAAGAAUCUGACUGCUCCAUAAACAGAGAACAAUAGGUAUUGAGAUAUAAUAAUCUCAAACUUGUCAUAGCUAGAUCAAGAAGGGCUAAUAACAAAUCCUGGAAAGCAAGUUAAGUAACAUCAAUCACAGCAGAUCUGAUGCCAUGCUUUGGUUAAUGAUCUGCAUUAUAUUAGUACAUUAUUGGAUUCUGUUAUCCUGUAACUUGUGGCUAAAGCAUUACUCCUGUAUAUACUAUACUAAACAUCGCUGAUCUAGCGCCAUUCCAGUGGAGUUAGCCAAGCAUCGGAUUCAGAAACCAAUUAAGCCCCUGUUUUACUGCCUUUACCUCGAAAGGCUGACGAACAUAUUCUGUGCUGUAAAUGGAUGGACUAGUCCAUGCCGACAUAGCCAUUCCUAGAUUCCCGUUCUAGAGCUUGCGCCAAUGGAAGGGAGAUUCAAAUUGAUACAGAUGUAACAGAUAGAAAAAUUCCCUAUGGCGGCAUUCAGAGCAUAGGAACGGCACCUAAGAAUUCAUUUGAGGAAAAAGUAUUCAUUCAGGAAAGUCAUAUGGCGCCCAGUGGGGUUGGCAGCCUUGUUAACUAAAUAAUAAUAAAUGACUAAAAUAUCAUGUUACAAUGUUUCAAAAAAUUAUCACAAAAAUCAUGUAUGUUAAGUGUAGCCGCAACAAUUUAGAUUAAAAUUUAUAUUUGAUGCUGAGAUGAAAAAAUAGAAGUGUCACUGUCAGCACAUGAUGAACAGUGCCAAGUUCAUUGCUGGUCAAUUUAGUUUCGUGGCAUCUAGGAUGAAUUUCAAACUGAACUCUUGCGGUUAGCUUUAUGUAUUUCUGCAUAUAUUGUUUUUGUGAUAAUUUCUAAACAUUGUAUUUAGCUAAGGAAGGCGCAAGGCCUCCGGGCACCAAAUCUGCACUCUUUCAUUCAUGAUGACGCUGUGAUUUGUUUCGUGGGACAGAUAUUUGUGAGUGAUUUUGCCGGGCUUUUUGCCGUGCCCAAGCCCAAUCCAAUCCAUGCUGACUUUGCCGGGGUAGGCGGGUAGCUUGGCCAGGAGUACUACAGAUAGCUGACUAGCAGCUGCAAUGGCCCCAUCCGGUGCACCUCACGCCCAUGUUUCUUUCCUCUGAUCUGGAACCCCUGCUCUUUGCAGUGAGGUUAGCGCGUGAAAUUAAUAACCUGGUCUAGUGAAGCCAGUACAUGAGGACAUGCCCCGUCCAGCGGCCACAUGGAAGGACAUGCAGUGCCUGUCCUUGGAAUGGCUAUCAAUUCUCCUGCUGCAGGCGGGUCCGUAGCGAGAUUCUGGAUCCUGGUGCUACGUACUGUUUCUCAUGACACAGUCGAUCUAUACUACGGCCUUGUUUAGUUCGAAAAAAAUUUAGAUUUCGUUAAUGUAGCAUUUUCGCUUUUAUUUGAUAAAUAUUGUCCAAUCAUAAACUAACUAAGAUCAAAAGAUUCGUCUCGCGAUUUACAGACAAACUGUGUAAUUAGUUUUUGUUUUCGUCUAUAUUUAAUACUUCAUGCAUGUGCCGCAAGAUUCGAUGUGACGGAAAAUCUUAAAAUUUUUUUGGAUUUCAGGGUAAACUAAGGCCUUGUUUAGUUCCCAAAAUUUUUCAAGAUUCCCCGUCACAUCGAAUCUUGCGGCACAUGCAUGAAGCAUUAAAUAUAGACGAAAACAAAAACUAAUUACGCAGUUUACCUGUAAAUCGUGAGACGAAUCUUUUGAUCCUAGUUAGUCUAUGAUUGGAUAAUAUUUGCCACAAACAAACGAAAGUGCUACAGUAGCGAAAUCCAAAAAUUUUCCCAAACUAAACAAGGCCGUCUUCCAAUAACCGUAAAGAAAAUCGUUUAGGAUAACGAUAUGGUUUUCAAAGGCUAACUUGAACCUUUUGUUUUUAUAAAAAUAUUUAUCAAAAAGUAGUAUAUAUAUUUAUAAAAGUAUUUUCAAGACAAAUCUAUUUAUAUGAUUUUUCAUAUAUUUGUAAACUCAAUAAUGUAAAAAUUAUUUAUAAUUUAUAUUUCUAAUGUAUGACUGAAACCUUAUUCAAGAUGUGGAGGAAGUACAAAAUGUGACUCCAAGUAAACCCCAUAUGGCCAUAUAGUCAUCUUUUUUUUUCUUAUAGGAAGUACCUUGAGGUUAAUUAACUAUGAGUCGGUGGAUCUUGACCCAACGAGAGUGGUGUGGCUACGGUACUGUCCAUGCUGUGAAUCAGAGGGUCGGUCACCUUGAGGUCGAGAGACGAUGAGACAUCUAGUGGGGCUGUGGGGGUGGCUUUGGCUUUUGUUAGUGUCAAAUUGCAAUUAGUGAAAGGCGGUGACAGACCAUGCUCUCACUCGGUGCUCGACACGACGGAUAAAGAAAUAGUACUUGAAAAGAAGCCACACAAUCAGUGGCAGCCAAAGUGGCGAUCCGCGGCGUCAUCUCUGGAUAAGCUAGCAGUCUUUCUGCUAAAGCAUGUGCCUCAUAGCUACGCGUCAUGCUCAUAUGCAUGGGCCGGGAUGGGGUGUAGGUUAAACGACAUAUUGUGUUAGUGCGAGUAAGCUCUUUGGACAUAUUGUGUUAAUGCGAGUAAGCUCUUUGGCUACAAGCCACAGGCUCACAAAGUAACAAGUGAUCACUUUAUCCGCGGAAAUCAAAACAAAGGUGUAUCUAUGGAACUUUCAAUUCGUACACUAAGCUAGCACAUUUGAUGUCAAGCAAUCACGAAAAUAUACGCCAAUGCAAGCUAACAGAAAUGUUAUCUUCGGAGGAAAAAAAGAGUAACAAGACACAUGGACAUCCGAUCCUUAGUAAUCUAAAAAAAUGGACAAAGAACACGCUAGAACUAUUGGUAUUUCUGGACAAAGAACACGCUAGAACUAUUGAUCCUAAAAAUUUUCAAGAUUUUGCGUCACAAUGAACAUGUAUGAAGCAUUAAAUAUAGAUAAAUACAAAAUCUAAUUACAUAGUUCGUCUGUAAUUUACGAGAUGAAUCUUUUAAGCCUAGUUAGUCCAUAAUUCGAUAACAUUUGUCAAAUACAAAUGAAAAUGCUAGGCCAGUUGGAGUACGAAAAUUUUUUGGGUGUCACAUCGAAUGUUUCGUAGGAUGUCGAAAGGAGUAUUCGGAUACUAAUAAAAAACUAAUUACACAACUCGUUUGGAAACUGCGAGACGGAUUUAUUAAGUCUAAUUAAUCUAUCAUUAGCACAUGUAGGUUACUGUAGCACUUAAGGCUAAUCAUGGACUAACUAAGCUUAAAAGAUUCGUCUCGUAAUUCCCAACCAAAUUGUGUAAUUAGUUUAUUUUUUUUAUCUAUAUUUAAUUGUACAUGUAUGUGUCUAAAUAUUCGAUGUGAUGGAUGAAAACUUUUUAGAGCGAGAAUUGAACAAGGCCUUGUUCUAGUUGUAUUGUUGAGAAUAAAAUACUAUUAUUCAAACUCUUGGCACUGGUUGCUCUGCUUUGUAUCCAAAUCAGUCUAGCACCACUUCAAAUAUUCGCUCCGCUAGCCAUUCAACAGUAUUUUUCUCUUACAACAGAUUAGCCAAUAGUACUUUCUACCGUAACUUAUCAGCCAAACAAACAAUGGUGUGGCUAUGAGAGGAUGGUAUGUGGGUCCCACAUAUCAUUCUUUAUGAGGAUGGUUUGAGGUGGUCUGUUUUAGGUAGUGCUGUUGGAGAAAACAUCAAAUACAUAGGUAGUGUUAAAAUAUAUGGCUAUUCAAAUUGAGAAGUAAGAAUUUGAUUAGGGUAGCAAUGUUAGAGAUGGUCUAGGUACCAAAAUUAGUUCAUGACAGUAGUUAGUGAACCUAUAUAACUAGUAGGCUCUCCAAGUAGCUUGCUUAGCUUUUUGCCGAUGGAGGCCGGCUCGCUUGCCGCGCUUGCUUAGCUUUUGGCCGGUGGAGGCCGGCUCGCUUGCCGCGCUUGCAGGCCAAGCAAAGCUAAAGCUAAGGCCUUGUUCAGUUGGCAAAAACUUUAGUUUUUGGCUACUGUAGCACUUUCGUUUUUAUUUGACAAACAUUGUCCAAUCAUGGAGUAACUAGGCUCAAAAGAUUCAUUUCACAAAUUACAGAUAAACUGUGCAAUUAGUUUUUAUUUUUAUCUAUAUUUAAUGCUCCAUGCAUACGACCAAAGAUUCGAUGUGACGGGGAAUCUUGAAAAUUUUUGCGAACUAAACAAGGCCUAACUAUAGACCAAAUCCAGGCAAGCAACAAAAGGCCGUCGAAAAGACAGCGAUUCAGGUAGCUGUGGGUGGAGCUGAUGCAGCCAGCCACUCAGCAGUCUGCACCCCCUUUGCUGAGUGGGGAGGGUUAUUCGCUACGUCUACGUGCGCGCGCCGGCGAGGGGCGUCGUACACAGAGGGCUGCAGCCUAAGCGCCAAGAGGGCGUCGACGUCGACGAGUACACCCGUUCCUGGGACGACCGGAUCCGUAUGUGCCUCCCAUGGGGAUUGUUCGUUUGUGGUCACAGUUCCCGGCAGGAAUGUAUCUAGUAGUUCAAACCGAGUUUAGUUUUUUUUUUUUUGAAAAAUCCCAAAUCAAGGUCCCCUACCAUACAAGGUAGCUUAGGUAUAGGUGGUGCGUAGAUUUCAGCUCCUGGCGAAUCAUAUUAAGCUCUGCUUUUCCUCCGCCCCCCCCCCCUAUAUAUAGGCCGUGUCAUGAUCCGCCAGACGAGUUUUCUUUUUUCUUUUUCCAGAGUACAAAUAAAUUAGUUGGCACGUCACCACGCUCCCAAGUAUGCAUAAGUGGGCAAUGGCAAUGCGGACUUGUGGGGGUAACCUACAGCAACGUGGAUUGGUGAACUAGAACCGGCCUACCGCAGAUUUUGUAAACAGGCAAUGAGGCAACAACAGCUUAUUUGGGAUAUCGUGUGGUGUCUCGAACUCCCAUCCACAUGUACGUACACGCGACGUUACUUUAUUACUCCUAUAUUUAUAGUAUUAUUAUAGUUUUAGGCCAACGCAAUCUUGCGGUGCAUCUAGUAGGACGUCUGUGGGAGCAUAUCACUCAUCAUCACCACAUUGAGGCUUUGACAUGAAGAGGUCGGUGGAUCAGUGCAUGAUAAUAGGCCACUGAAAGUCUAAUAAACGAAAAAGUUAAACAAGCUUAUCCGUGGAAUCAUCAACACAUAUAUUAUUUUACUAGUACUACUAGUACUAUAAAACAAUGAUUAUGGGUACGUAGGCUAAUAAUAGCAGUCCUUUCCACGCUGGUAUAUAUACUACACAUGUAUAUCUGUCCAAAUGUUUCCUGGGCCAACAUAACAACAUCCGUUCAGCUAGAAACUAACUAUUAGCCGUGUUAAUUAAUUAGAAGAAACCAGCUAAUAGUUAAUUGUUAGUUGGGUGAUAGGCAAGAUAUUAGUCGGGCUUAUUAAUAGCUAAAGGAUCUAAACAUAUAUAUUCAUAAUUAGCCGAGUUUAUUAGUUGAGAAUCCAAACAGAUAUUUAUUAGUUGAUUGAUGAGGAUCCAUAUAGAUACUUACAGUAAUUUUUUAGCAACCAACAAUUAGUUGUACGGUUGCAAAGAAAUAUUCAUUGCUAAUUUUUAGUUGCUAACUAUAGUUGAGGUGGACUUUUUCCCCUGAUGAAUUCGUGUGACCAAACAGAACCUCUCAUGCAUCGACAGACGUGGCAAUUGUGGAUUUAUCGGUGAAAACGCUACAUCUAUAGGAAUAUGACCCGUUAUGUGACACAUUACUAUUUGGGUUUGAGCUUAUCAACUAGAAUCACCAUUACUUUUCAACUAUAGAACAAUGCUUUUUUCUCGCAAAACAAAUCACCAUCAGCAACGGCAAUAGAAACCAUAAGCCCAACGGUCUCUUAACCAACUGUUUGGCCCUAGCAGGAAGCAGCGUCCGUACGGGACUGGCAAGUAGCCAUAUUCAUACAGAUGCGACUGAGCAUGAUGGUAUUGGUGUUAGUAUAAGCAGGUGUAUGUUUUGUCUCCUUGGCCCAAUCGACCCUGACUCGGAUUCCCCCUCGCUCUGUCUUCUUGUUUUGGCCCUUUUAUUUAUCAUAAUAAUAAUCAUGGCGUCGUCUACAAAGACAUGACCAGGUGAGGUGACCAGCGCGACCACGAACUUACAAUGAGUGAAACAAAAGAUUGUUUUUUCUUUUCUUUUCUUUAGCAAAAAGGUUCAUGCACGGUUGCACGCAAAAGCAAGCAAAGCUAGGGGCGCGGCGCUCCUGAAUGGCGAUGGAGAAGAAGAGAAGGGAUGGGAAUCAGCAAGCAGACAGGCCAGAAAAGCCAAGCACAAGCAGCAGGAGGCAGGGAUCAUGGGGGGGCACGCGACAGUUGGACACUCGACGCUCUUCGUCACGACGGCGCAUGAUGAGCGGCCUGGGUUGGGUCGGUUGGUCGAUCGAUGCCGAUGCUCUUGCUCCUUCCCCUCCACGCCCCCCAGCCCAUGGAGAAAGAAAGCGCUAGCGCAGCGGUAAUAUAAUGGUAGGAAUCGAGAAGCUAGCGAGAAUCCAAUCCAAUCCAAUUCGUCCGAGAAUCCACCACUUGCUGCUACGAUGAGUAUGAGUAGGAGGAGGGGGGGGCGUACCAGGACGGUUAUCCCGCGGAAGACGUCGAGGGAGACGAGCCGCGGCUGCCGGGCCGCGGGCGACGUCGUCGACGGUGCCGCGGGCGACGUCGUCGACGCCUUGCUGGCGCUGGCGCCGCACUCGAGAUCGGUUCCCGUGGCGCCCGCCGCCGCGUCGUCGCUCCUGACGAGCUCGUACCGGCCCAUGAUGGCCGGCGCCGUCCUCCUCUGCCUGCAGCACGGCGGCGACGGCGCGACUCCGGCGCCUCCUCCUCCUGCUGCUGCUGCUGCAUUCCCAUCCGCCGCCAUCGCCGCCGUCACAAGACGCGCACAAACAGACCUCAGUAGAUGCGGGAGGGAGAGACCCCGGCGAACAAGCAAACCGAUCGAUCGAGAGAGAGAGGAAACUGGUAAGUAGAUGGAUAUCCGCCUCCGCCUUACCUGGGGCAGCAGUUGCGUGUUGUGGUACCGGCAACGAACGGGACUCCCCGCUGCUUGUUUUUUUCCCCCCUCCGUUUCAAGCGCAACAGACUUGCGUGAUCUCCCGCGCCUGCAAAACUCUCCGCCGCAGCUGCGUCUGUUGUCGCCGACCGCCUUUCGUCUCCUCGCCGACCUGCCACUCCCGGAUCGAGCGGGUGCUCUUCUCGGUUCCUUUGUGGUGGAUCGCCCACUCGCGUCUAGUAGGACUACUACUAGCAGUGUUUAUAUAGGACAGGACUAGUGCUACUGGCGACUGCUCUGCCUCUCCGUCGAUUCGAUUCAUAAAUAAUAGCGGGACGGGUGGCGCCAUCAUUUUGCCAAUUGCCAGUCGGCACGGCACGUUGGCGCCGGCCGGGCCUUUCCGUUCCGUGUCUGAUGCCCUUUCAAUGCAAAUGCCGUCGUCGAUCGGGACCCGGGACCGUGUGCUGUGCUGUGCUCUGCUGUGGUCUCUCGCUCGAUCCGCCGUGUGCCGCGUCGCGAUACCGCCGGCCGGAAAAUGAUCGUACAUUCGUACGUGCCUGCUGCCGAUAAGCGAAGCGCUGCGCCGCGGACGGAGCGAUCGAGCCGUGCGUGAAUCCGAUGCUUGAGCUUCACAGUGACGGAUGCCUUCCUUUCCUUUCGCUAAAGGGAUGAAGGGAGAGAGGCCCGGCUCGGCGUCGGCAACGACAACAAGGCGCGCGUUUGUGUGCAUCGUCACACUUCGGUGGAUAUGUUCGUCGUCCACAACACAGAAAAAGAGCAUCGGUUAUCGGUGUCCCCAAAAUCCAGCUGCGAGGAGACUCGUGUUGAUCGCCUGGUGUUCUGCGAUACUCGCGCGCAUGACAACUGGUCCAUUAGUGGCUUCUCGUAUACGGAUAAUAUUCCAGCUAGAGUAUCUGCAAAAAAGAACGGAACGCAUGUCGUACCUGUGGCUCAACGCGUUACACCUUAUACUGGGGGCAUCCGGGCCACGCGUCCUUGCUUUGUGAAUGGGGACUGCUCCGCUAGCUCCUAAACGGUUCAUCAACCAGCUGCAUCUCUGGUGUCAGACAGCCAGACAGGUAUAUCGCCGAGUACACCACCUCUAGCUACCGAAUAGACGUGCAAAUUGCAGACACGCGAACACUUCACCGUGUCAUCGAGCAAGCUGGAUUCGUCUCGCGGUCUCUCCACUCUCAAGCACUCCCACGGCCCACUCACCCGUGCCGGCAUCAAGAGAUGUCCCGUUAUUAUCAGCUUUGUUAUCAGGCGUAACGUGGGCCAGUUUCCUACGCCUUCAAUCAAACAAGGAAACGGGCGGGGCCAUCCACUCGGGUAAGGGCCUUAUUACGCUGCGACAGGCUGAAAGGGACAAGCGUAUAGACGGGCCGGGCCUUUGCUCACACAAGGACGCCGCCUCUUGAAAACCCAUACCGUCUCAAAAAAAAGUGUUUUUAACUUUGAUAUUAUAUAUAUAUAUAAUAUUAGUAACUAUAAUAUAUGGUUAGUAUCAUUAGAUAGAUUAUUAAAUCUAAAUUUGUUUGCAAGUCUAGUCCACCUUAAGGAAGUGUGAUUAGAGUUUGCCUUAUUGGGUUGGUUGUGCUCGGAUAUUACCAAAUAUAUACAUAAUAUUAGUAACUAUAAUAUAUGAUUAGUAUCAUUAGAUAGAUUAUUAAAUCUAAUUUUUUUUUGCAAGUCUAGUCCACCUUAAGAAAGUGUGAUUAGAGUUUGCCUUAUUAGGUUGGUUGUGCUCGGAUAUUUUCGUAGUUGGAACUCUUAAGAGGUCUGCCACUAUAAAUAUCUUUCAGGAACACUUUUAGUUGUUUCAUCCAUAUCUGAUUUAGAGAUUGAGGUGGUGGUGUACUGUUUUCAGAUCAAAAUAAAAUCAAAUAACUUAUUGAAAAUUGUCUUUUAUGACUAGUGUGUAUAGUACUAUAGAUAGAUAGCAGGAACCUCGCGCAAAUGCGGUUUAUGAAGCUUAAAAAUUGUAGCAUGAGAAGUCAUACACAAUGUAAAGCACACCACAAAGAAUACACAAUUUUUUUGUAGCAGGACAUAAUAAUUUUUUAAUUAUACAUUACAUGUAUGAACCGUGUCAAAGGGGAACUAAUAGAACAACAAACAUGGUAUUGAUUACCACUCUCGAUGCCUUUAGAUAUCCAUAUUCAGAAAGUUUGAACUUUACAAUUUUAUUAAGUAUUGACAUACCCAAAGGCUAAAAAUAUUUUGGGUGCACAGGUAUAUACUGAAUUUUGGAAUUACCAAUAUCCAUCCUUGUUAGGGUGCAUCAUUAUUGAGAAAUAAUUUUCUAAAAUAACAAAUAUCCUUUGGGCACCUAAUUCUUAUGUCAUAAUAGAUCCGAACACUUGCCAUCGAUUGACUUUAAUAUAUAACUAGAACAUCAAGCGCUCUUUGGGCGCCCUACAAUGAUUUUAGGACAUACUAAUCUGACUGACAAAUAUAGCUAAGAUACAGUCUUUGUCACUAUCACGCAAAUGGAGGACAUCACUUCAAUAAGCACAUAGCACAAAUUAUGAGCCAUCAUACUUCUGCUCUCAAUGAUGCAUUACACAACUAAAUAGUUACAGUUGGGUUUAGGAUCCUCCUUAUAACAUUAAUCUUAGAUCAAGUUUUUUGAAAAGCCAGAAUAUGUCUUCCACCGAGUGUGUAGCUGACAAAAGAACUUUCACAAUUUUCAAAAGCAGGCAUAUGAGGAGCAACAGAAAAAAACCGCUAAUUAAUGCAAUAAAAACACUACCUUGUCACCCUUGAUGGGUUCAUAACAUGCACAAUGGCUUAGGUUAUGUAAGAUAUAGCAGGUGGAGUAGAGAAAUCCAAUUUAAAAUAUAAAUAAAACAUUAUGUCAAACUCUUUGUUCAUUGCUUUCCAUAAUCCAGAGAGAAAAGACAUUGAAAGAAGCCAAGAAGCCGUAGAAAACAAUAGCAAGAAUGGCGUUAUAUAGUUCCACUUAACAAGCAUCAAGAAGUCAUAUAUAGAAAACCCAGCACUGAAUCCGUAGGACAACCAAAAGCAUCUAGACGAACUGCCAAAAAAGAUCAAUUGUUCCAUUCACCGCUUUACAAAAUCCAGCAACAGAGCUAUAUGUGUGCUCCCAUUUCAUAGCUGAAUUUACUGCCAAUGAAGGAGGGGAAAGAGUAGGCACCAAGAGAUAGCAAACACACUGGAAAUUGGAAAACUGCCACAGAAAAAGCAUAGGAAGAAGCCAAGAAGUUGUAGAAAGAAGCAUUAUAAUAAAAACAUUGCAAUACAAAGGAACAUAUUGACAGAUAUACAAUAUAAAUCAAAUGGACAAAGUAUCAUUUGAGGUAGCAGUAAGAGAGUAUUCGAAGCACUGACUAACAAUUGGAUUAUUAUGUUUUUUGUCCAGUAGAAUCCACAGUUGUUUGAUGCAAAAGUGAUGGAUGUCCACAUCCAAGUCAGUCCAAAUACAUGAUAUCCAAGUGCUAAAGUCCAAAUGGGUGUUGAAUUAAGCUCAAUCCAAUACCAGGUCUAACCAAACUAUGAUAAUCAUGAGGGGAAAACAAGAAUGUUGAAUAAGCAAGUAUACACCGAUGGACUAAAUUUAAACUUGAUCUAUUUUUUUUCUUAUUUCCAAUCCUUACUAUCUAGCUUAUUCUUGCCAUAAUAUGCCCAAGUUCAUACAGAGUGAUAUUAUAGUAGCAACACCAAAUGAAGAAACGGACAUCAAUAUAAGCACCAAUUCAUUUAUAUGUGAUUUUUGAGAAGACAACUGCUGAAGGAAAGCCAGCUAAAAUGAAACCCAUUCAAAGGAGAUGAACACAAGGCAUUCACAUAAGCAUAAUGUAAGUGCAAUCAAGCCUAUUGUGGGUUUUGGCGUUGAUGACCACCGAAUUAGGGAACUAAUGAGAUUUGCUGAGAUGACAAGCAGGGAAUAUAGCAAAGAGGUUGUUGAAUACCAUGGAGGUUCCCCCAAUUCUAAAGGAUGGUUUUCCUAGCUCCAAAGGAGGUUUAAUUCAUUUUCGGUUUGAAUUUGAGUAUAGGAAAAGCCGUACUAUAAAGAGGGACUCCAAGUUUGUUGAUCAAAUUGUGAACCAAAGGCUCAAAAGCUUCUCAACAUCCUCAGACCCAAGCCUAGCCAGCAUAUCUUUCUCUGUACACUUUUGUGUUUUCAGGCUGGUUCAGGCGAGGGCGGCACUGCCGCCCUACCCUGUGACAGUUGGAGAGCUGGGUAUAAAUACCCAUUCAGACCGUCUCAAACGGUAACUUCCUCGUCUUCCUCGCUCCCAACCGUUGAAAACUGACCAGAGCUCAUCUCUCUCUCCCUCCAUUGUUGCUCCUCAAGCCCCCCAAGCCAAUCCUUGAUUCCAACCAUCAAAACUUGAGGGAAAAGGCAGCAAACUUCGAUUGGAGAGCAGAUCCAUUGAUUCCCAGCGUCAAAAAGAGCUUUUGGUUCACGUUUGGCCGGCAGCCUUGAGUUUGUUACUCUUGGAGCUUGCUCCUAGCCGGCUAGGCGUCGCCCUAGAGCUUGCCAACAUGUGUGGCAGCCAAGGGAAGGUUUGUAAGGUUACCCUUGCAGCUAAUACAUUAUUCACUCUUUGCAAGGGGUAAAAUCCUUGCUUUGAGAACGAGGAGAAGGUAAGCUGUGUGGCUAAGCUGGUCCUAGUGUGGGCGCCUCAACAACAUGGAGUAGGCCAAGCCUUGUUGUGGCAACAGCUGAACCACGGUAAAAAUCGUGUGUCUUGUGUGCUUUCACUUGUGUAUGAGUUUGUGUUAGGAUUUGAGGCCGAUCUACUUGGUGGGGAGGCUCCAGCACAUUCUAGCUACAUACUCGUGCUCUAAUAUCUUGCAGGAAGCUUGGAAAUUUAGUCGAUCUAAAUUUCUCUGGGUAAAGUUUGAAUCAAUUCAGUUAAGCUUCUGUCUGUUUUUCUGUUGAAGCCGGCAGUGCCGCCCUCGGAGGGCCUCACUGCCGCCCUUGCCUGCGUGACUGAUAAACUCUGCUGAAAAAGUUUGAACAGGCCUAUUCACCCCCCCUCUAGGCCACUUCCUGUACGUCCAGAGAUCCUACAAGUGGUAUCAGAGCUAAGUUGCUUCGUAUACGCUUCACCGCGUGAAGUAUGGAAGUUGCGGGAAGCUCAGGGGCGAAGGAUAAGUCCAUUCCAGCUGCACAAGCUGAGGAUGUGCUGGUUGAGAGUGAUAACAGUGAGCUAUCAGUCUCAACAGCCAGCAACUCCACCCUCAAGCCUGAUGGUGGUAUGACUACCAACCCCGAGAGAAGGCAAAGGAGGCAAGCAAGAAGAGAAGCUAAAGCAAAAAGAAAAGAAGAUGAAAAGCUAGCUGCCAAGAAGAAGAGAAAAGAAGAAAGAAAAGCCAAAAGAGAAGAGCGAGCCAAAAGAAGGGCAGCAAAGAAAGAAGAAGAGAAGAAGAAAGAAAAGGAGGUGUAUGAUGCAUCAUCAAGUGAGCUAUCAUCUAGUACAGAUGAUGGUGAUGAUGAUGAAUCAUAUAACCGCUCCAAGAAGGACAAGAAGGGCAAAUCAAUGAAGGAGGACAACAGCAGCAAAAAGAAAUACUCCGCUGUAUCCUUUAACUAUUCUUAUUUGUCUAACCGAGACAAGAAGUGUCUUGUCAACGUGCCCGCUGGCAAGUUGCCUCAUUUCGAUGGGACCGAAUUUGCUAAGUGGAAGCAUUUGAUGAGUCGCUAUCUUGGAGCUCUUCACCCCGGUCUUUGGGAUGUUGUUUGUGAUGGAUUUCAGGAACCUGCAAAUCCAGAGAAUCCAACAAAUGAAGAAAUGAUUGCUGUCCACUUCAAUAAUCAAGCCACAAGCAUUCUCCUUAGUGCUCUCAAUGGAAAUGAGUACAAUCGAGUGAUGAAUGUGAAUGUGGCCAAGCAGAUUUGGGAUACUUUGGUUUUAGCUCAUGAAGGUGUUGACAAAGUGAGGAAGGCCAAAAUUGAUUUGAUGAUGGCCAAGCUCAAUAGGUUUGUGAUUGUUGGUGAUGAAGGGCCACAAGAAAUGUUUGAUAGGUUGAUGGUGCUAGUUGGAAAAAUUAGAGGCUAUGGUGGUGACCUUGAUGAUCAUAAAGUUGUGAAAGUAAUGUUGGAAGCAUACUCACCAAGGAAUGAGACCGUGGUCACUCUCAUUAGAGACAAGAAGAAUUUCGAGCACUUCACCCCAAGUGAUGUGCUUGGAAGAUUGUUGACAUUUGACAUGCAAAGAGAAGAGGCUAAUGAGAGAAGAAAGCUUGGCGAGCUGCAAGCCAAGUUAGAAGGCAUGAAGGUCAAUGAUAUAGCACUCAAGGCAAAGCAAUCAAACAAGCAAGGUGGCUGCAGCAAAUCCAAGAGCAGCAAGCAAGUAUCAACAAGUCAGCCCAAGAAAGCAAAGCAAGUUCAAGAAUGUGAUCCAUCUUCAUCCUCUAGUGAUAGUGAUGGUGAUGAUGGUGAUUAUGAGAAGAUAGAUGAUAUUGCCCUCUUCAUAAGCAAGCAUAGACGGGGGCUAAAGCAACAUGGAUUCAAGUUCACUCCAAGGAAGUUCCAAAACAAGAAGAAGAGAUUGUGCUUUAACUGUGGCAGCACCGAGCAUCUUGUUGCAGAAUGUCCAGAGGCAAAGAAAAAGAAGGAACAAAGGCAUGACAACAAGAGAAAUUACAAGAGGGUUGGAGAAGCACACAUCGGGCAUGAAUGGGACUCAACUCAAGAGACCUCAAGUGGAGAUGAGAAGGUGGCUACCAUGGCUGUCCUCAAGUCAACAUCUUCACCAAGGCUCUUCGACAACAUGACUGAUGAUGAGCAAGAUGGCAGCCCCCACAUUUGUCUUAUGGCAAAGGGUGGGAAGGUACAAACCAAAUCCAAAUCUUCUCCAAUCCCCAAAGAAAUCUCUAGUAGUGAAUUAAGUGACUCCUCUAGUGAUGAUGACUCUAGUGAUGAUGAAUUUAAUGAAAUGACUAAAAAGUGUGAUCAUAAAACUAAAGUCUACAUCUCUAGGCUAAUGAAGGAAGUACUAGAUCUCAAUAAUGAAAUUGAUUUAAGAAACAAUGACAUCAAGGCGCAAGCUGAGAAAAAUCUGGCUCAAAUUAAAGAAAUUGACUCAUUGGAGAGUGAGGUGGCUGCACUAAAGAAAAGUAUAAAGAAAGAAAAAGAAAGCCACACUCUCACAAAGAAGGAAGUAGAUGCACUCAAGCAAAAGUAUUAUGGCUUAGAUGAAAAACAUAAAGGACUUGAGCAACAAUACAAUCUUCUUUGGGAGAGUACCUUACAGUCCUCUAAGUCAAAUGAGACUAGUACUCCCUCCUCUAGUGAAAGUUGUGGAAAAUGCAAUAAUCUUGACUUAAACAUGUAUUCCACAAAUCUUGCAAACAUGGAGGCUAUGAAAAAGGAGAUCACGAGGCUCACACAUAUGUUGAACACCAAGUGUGAGAACAAACCACAAGGUAAAGAAGUUCAGCAAAAUAGGCCAAACUAUAAGGAUGGGAGAAAUCCCAAAGUCAAGGAUGGACUUGGCCACACAAAAGGAGGAAAGACCAAUGGAAGAAACCUGGUGAAUGGCAUUGAGUGUGUUAAAUUCACGAGCAAAGGUAAAGAUGGUGCAGAGCAGCCUGCACAGAAGGGGGAACAAAAGCAGCCCCGAGCCCACUGGCCAGCCAAGGGCGGCAGUGAGGCCCUGAAGGGCGGCAGUGCCGCCCUCCCCAGACAAGGGAAGGCUACCAACCUCAAACCUGAGCCUGUGAAAGCAGAAAAGAAGGUAUGCCAGCCUUAGGGGGAGUCUCAUCAACCCAGAAGGCAGCACAGGGGGACUCCAAAGAAAAGUUUCUAUCAACCAAAGGCAAAGACACAAAGCCCAAUUGUGAAUACUUCCUUUGUGUUGAAAAAUAACAGCAAAGGGGAAGUGAUUGCCAAAUAUGUUGGCAAGGGCAGAAAUGUGUAUCUUAACACUUCCAUUUGGGUUCCUAAAGUUUUUGUGACUAACAUGCAAGACCCCAAGAAAGAUUGGGGACCUAAACCAAGGAACUAAACUUGUUUUGCAGGCAUACUCCUCCGGUGGGUCAAGUUGGGUGCUUGACAGCGGCUGUACAAAUCAUAUGACCGGAGAGAAGAGUAUGUUCUCAACGUAUUCCCCAACUACAAAUUCAAAAGAAUCUAUCAUAUUUGGUGAUAACUCCAAGGGGGAAGUUGUCGGUCUUGGUAAGGUUGCUAUCACAACAAAUUCUUCCAUUUCAAAUGUCUUGCAUGUGGAUCCGUUGGGAUACAACUUGUUAUCAGUUUCACAAUUGUGUGAGGCUAGUUACAAUUGUCUCUUUACGGAGAAAGGAGUGGAAGUCUUUAAGAGGGAGGAUUCCUCUAUUGUCUUUACGGAUCGCUUGAAGGGCAAGCUUUACUUAGUUGAUUUCAACAAAAGUAAGGCCAAGCUUGAGACUGGCUUAAUGGCAAAAUCUAGCAUGGGCUGGUUAUGGCAUCGCCGUCUAGCACAUGUUGGCAUGAGGAACUUGGCCAAACUCCAAAAGGACAACCACAUCAUUGGACUAACAAAUGUUGAAUUUGAGAAAGACAGGAUAUGUGGUGCUUGCCAAGCCGGGAAACAAGUAGGUGUACCACACCCACCAAAGAGUAUCAUGACGACCACUCAACCAUUGGAGUUGAUACAUAUGGACCUCUUUGGAUCGGUCGCCUACCUAAGCAUCGGGGGUAACAAAUAUGGAUUAGUUAUUGUUGAUGAUUAUUCUCGCUUCACUUGGGUAUUCUUUGUCUUUGAGAAAUCUCAGGUACAAGAGAAAGUAAAGAUCUUUGUGAGAAGAGCACAAAGAGAGUUUGGGCUGCCCAUCAAGAAAAUAAGAAGUGACAAUGGCAGCGAGUUCAAAAACACCCAAGUUGAAGAAUUUCUUGAUGAUGAAGGCAUCAAGUAUGAGUUUUCAACUCCAUACACCCCGUAGCAAAAUGGUGUAGUAGAGAGGAAGAAUAGAACACUUAUUAACAUGGCAAGAACAAUGCUUGAUGAAUAUAAGACUUCAGACCUAUUUUGGUGCGAAGCAAUCAACACCGCUUGCCAUGCAAUCAACCGCCUCUACCUACACAAGAAAUUCAAGAAGACUUCAUAUGAGCUGCUAACCGGUAACAAACCAAAGGUGUCAUACUUUAGAGUGUUUGGGUGCAAGUGUUUCAUACUCAAUAAAAGGCCCAAAACCUCUAAGUUUGCACCUAAAGUUGAUGAAGGCAUUGUUCUUGGUUAUGGAUCAAAUGAGCAUGCCUACCGCAUCUACAACAAAACCUCUGGUAGAGUUGAAGUUGCGGUAGAUGUCUCAUUUGAUAAGUCUAACGGCUCUCAAGUAGAGCAUAUUGAUGAAAGUGUUGCAGGAAAGGAGGAUCCACCAUGUGAGGUAAUCAAGCAAUUGGCUCUUGGUGACAUAAGGCCACAAGAAGAAAAAGCCACUGCUCAGGAGGAUCCCUAAGAUGCUGCUGACAAGUCUUCCGCUGAUGCACUCGAUGCAAAUGUGUUAGCCACACCUGCCGCUCAGCAACAGGGCGGCUGUGAGGCUGUCCAGGGCGGCAGUGCCGCCCCUCCCUCAGCAGCAGCAACUUCCUCAACACCUCAAGGGCUGGAUCUUGCACCAGUUUUUGAGCUUGAAGCUGAUGAAGAGUUAGAUGAAGAACAAGACGGUGUUGAGCAUCCAAGACUACGCUAAACAAUUCAAAGAGAUCAUCCUGCCGACAACAUCCUUGGAAGCCUUCGAAAGGGAGUGUUGACACGUUCACAUUUAGCAAGUUUCUGUCAACAUUUCUCUUUUAUGUCUUCCAUUGAACCAGAUAAGGUAGAGAAGGCAUUGGCGGAUGAGGACUGGGUCUUGGCCAUGCAAGAAGAGCUCAACAACUUCGAGAGAAACCAAGUGUGGACUCUCGUUGAAAGGCCCAAUACCAAUGUGAUUGGCACCAAAUGGGUUGCUGUUUCUGCCAUGCGGAUUGAGAGAUCGACUGCUUCAGUGAUCUUGAAGCUCUCCUCCUCGCAAGUACAUGCAGUGUAGACAUUUCCUCUGAUGGUUAAGGCGCCUUUCUCCGUAGGCAUUUUGAGGACCAGGUAUGAGUAAUGCGGCACUGCCAUGAACUUUGUCAGCGAUGGUCGGCCCAGUAUAGUGUGGUAGGUCCCAUCAAAAUCGGCGACCACAAAGUUGACGAACUCUGUUCGAAAGUGGUCGGACGUGCCGAAUUGGACAGGCAGUGUUAUCUGUCCGAGGGGCACCGAACUCUGACCAGGCAGGACUCCCUAGAAUUGAGCAUCGUAGGGUUUUAGCUGUGCCGGAGAUAUCUUGAGAGCGGGCAGACUGUUGCGGAAGAGGAUGUCGAUGGAGCUUCCUCCGUCCACGAGCACCCGCUCGAAUCUGAUGCUGUUGAUGCAAGGGUCCAGGAUUAGAGGAAGCGACCUGGCUCUGGGAUAGCGGCCCACUGAUCCUUCCUGCUGAAGGAGAUUUCCCUAUGUGACCACAGGGGGAAUUUCAGAUCUGCGAUCAGGCCGUCAGAACUGUCUAUGUUGAGGCAGGCUCUUUUUAAGAGCUUUCUUUCUCGCUUAGAUUCGAUGGAGACCUUGCCCCCGAAUAUGGAGUGGACCACGUCGGUGGGACUGACGUAUUGGUGUCGUGGGUCCCUAUCUUGGUCUUCGUCCUCGUCUUUGUGGUCUCGCCCGUCUUGUUUCUCGUUUUUCUUGGCGGAGUCGUCUUGAGCGGCCCGCCGCGUAUAGAUGUUUUUGAGGACGCGGCACUCUUCCAUGGUAUGGUUGGACUUUGGAUGCAGUUGGCACAGUCCCUUCAAUGUCUUGUUGUAGUCUUCUUGGUAGUCCCGCCGCCCGUUGGGGCGCUUGACUGUAUUCACCUCGUGGUCGUGGUCGUGGGGGCGCUUUCCUCUGAAAUCGUCGCGAUUGUCGCGCCGUCUAUCCCAACCUUCCCUAUGAUCGCGGUUGUCGGGGCGGCGGUGGUUUCUGUUGUCGAAGCGUCCGUGACUAUCAUCUCGCCGAGGAGGCUGGUCGGGGCCUCUCGCGUCAUCCCGAAUGAGUUUUUCUGCGUCGUCGGCGUCGGCGUAAUUUUUAGCCAUGGCGAGGAGCUCGGCCAUCGUUGUUGGCCUUUUGCGCAACAGCUUGUUCCUCAGUGCCUCGUGGAAGCGCAGCCCCUUAAUGAAAGCGGAUAUGGCCUCGUCAUGGGAAAUCUUCGGGAUCUUAAGGCGCAUAUCCGAGAAUCGUCGGAUUUAAUCGCGCAGAGGCUCGUUUUUCCUGUCCCUUAUCCUUUCGAGGUCGUACUUGUUCCCAGGCUGCUCGCAUGUGGCGAUAAAGUUGUCGAUGAAAGCCUGGUGCAGCUCUUCCCAAGAGUCGAAAGAGUCCUCGAGCAGGCCAAGGAGCCACUGGUGACCAGCCUGGUCGAGGACUACUGGGAAGUAGUUGGCCAUGACGUGCUCGUCUCCUGCUGCUGAUCGGACGGCGAUCUCGUAGAGGGUGAUCCAGUUUUCUGGAUUUUCCUUGCCGUCGUAUUUUUUGAGUUUCUCGAGCUUGAAAUUGCGGGGCCAUACGACCUGGCGGAGGUGUGAAGAGAACUGCCUCAGGCCCGGGGGGCCGUGUGUUGCAUCGUAUUCAAUACGACGCAGGUUUUCGUGGACCGCUCUCUCCAUGACGCGCCUGUUGAUGCGGUCUCAGGAGUCUUUGAGAGGGAUGUUGUAUCGAAGAUCUCUGUGCUGGUUUACUUCCUGACCGCGCCCGUGAUUCUGCUCACGAUGGCCGCCAGCAUCCCGACCGUCCUUGCCACACCGUGAGUCUUUUCGAUGAUUGUUGGGGGAACGGUUGCGGUGGUGCCCGCUAGGCUGUGGUGAGGUCCGGCUGCGGUGGGUCUGGUCGGAGGAGGCCUCCGUAUAGGAGACGGCUUGUACUCUUUUGAGCAAGGUGGCUGUUUGUCCCAUCGCGGCGAUCAGAUGUGCCCGAACGCUAGAUCGGACGCCCCGGCACUCGGGAGUAUCGGGGAGUCGAUCUAAAUUGGCCAUGGCGACAGCCACAUUGGCGCUUGGUGUUUUGUAGACUGGCUGAUCUCCGACCAUGUCGAAAGCGUCGCUGAGAUUAUGCGGCGGGACUUGGCGUUCUUCGUCCGCGCGUCGUCAGGCGCGGUCGGCGUUGCGCUGCUCGCGGAGCUGCCUCUGCUCGUCUGUUUCUCGAUCAACAGCCGGCUCGUCGGCGCUGACGUUGAAGAUGAUGUCUCCGGAGGAUAUGGAGGCAGAUCCAGGUCGUAGUCCUUAUCCUCGAAGUUUAUGACUUCAGUGGGAACGGAGCCAGUGCUCGAAUUUGUACUGGAAGCCUGGCCGUCCCGUAGUUCUCGGAUCGUCACCAUGUUGACGUAGUGACGAGCUGGUCGCCCGUUCCACUUUUGCAGCCAACCCGCCUCGUUAAAAAGGGAUUGGAUAUGCCGUGAGUAGAGGGAGGCUGACUUGUUCAGACCGCAAGGAUAACCCUCCUCCGGAUCAGCCUUGAUUUUGACGGACCGUCCCGAGGGGGUGGAGGUUAUCGUCAGAGACGCCCCCAGCUGUUCAUGUGUGAUGACACGAGUUGGCCGGUAGGAGUUGGAAAAAUCCGAUGGUGCGGCUUGAUCAGGUUGACGCAAGAUCCCAUCUACUAGUUGGGAAGCUUCGAGGAGCUUGAAAUCAGCGCGAUCAAGUGCUCGGAGAAAAUCGGAGCCGUCGAUCUUCCUUCCCUUGUAGCGUGGGAGCGGUGGUCGGGUGCUCGGUGCAGGCAUCCGUGUGGUCGGAACCGAUGCCGCCGUCAUCCUAGAUUGGAUCUGGGUUCUUUCCGAAACCGUGGUCGCGAGACCGCCGCCGUGCGUCGUCCACGUGAUCUGGCCGACGGUGAGCGUGAGGCCUUCUGGCACGGCCGCGGAAGCUGGAACGAUGACCAUCUUGUUCGCCGGAGAAGUUGUGCGCACACCCCCUACCUGGCGCGUCACUGUCGACGAAAGCUGGUCGGCAGUCUACCUUGGGGUAUACCCACGGUAGUAGUUUAUCGGUAGACGGUACGCAAACUACGAACUCGAUGGUGACGCAAGACACGGACAAGCUUUUUAUCCAGGUUCGGCCGCCGAGUUGGCGUAAUACCUACGUCCCGCGUCUGGUUGUAUUGAUUUGUGUUGAGAGAAUAAUGUUGUCCUAGGGGGGUCCCUUGCCUCUCCUUAUAUAGUCCGGAGGGCAGGGUUAUAGAUCUAGAAGCUAAUCCUAGUCGGUUACAAUUGCCAUAAAUAGUUCGAUAUCAAUUCCUAUUCUAACCGACUAGAAUCUUGCUUGAUCUCCACGUCUUGUUUCCUUGCGCAAAACUCCGAGCUGUUGGAUCAAACUUUGAGCUUGUCUCGUAAUGGGCCAAGCCUCCUGGCCCAAGUCUGGCCGUAAGGGUAUAGGGGUUUAUACCCCCACAGCUAGUCCCCGAGCACCAUGUAUUGUGAAGUAACACGCCGUCUUGAGCUUCUUCGACCAGUGAAGCUUGACGUCUUCAAUCAACAUGAAAGUUGCCCAAGCAAUUGCAACGGUAUUUUGACCAAAUCUAAAGAUAUUUGAUCAAAAUCAUCAUCGAAGAAGCCAAUUGUUCGAAGAAUGCAUGGUGCUCUUGAGAAAAAAUAUUUCUUUUUCGGAAGAAUAGACCUCCAAAAAAGCAAGCAAGUUCACCGCAAGGUGAAGUGUGCCCACUUAGUCCCCGAGCCUGGUAGUAGGUGACGUAGGCACGUGGUGCCAGGGUCAAAAGAAAAAUCCUCAAAGUAAUUUUGAAUGUGAGAUGCACCGCCAGAUGCAUCGUACCGAUGUAGUCCCCGACCUUGCUGGAAGGCGAAGUAUGAACCUUGUAGCAAGGUCUAAAAAAUUAAAAUUAUCCAGUCCCCGAGCAUCUCAUGCUCGUUUAUUACCGGAUAGACAUCAAUUUGGCAAGCUAGUCAACCAGUCCCCGGGUGUACAAUGCUCUGAGAUCGGUACAGCCCGUAGAUUCCUGAACUAGGAGACUGGGCGACCAGUCCCCGAGCAUCAAGUGCUCGGUGGUCGGUGCAGUCCCUGAAUUCCCGAACUAACAGACUGGGCGACCAGUCCCCGAGCAUCUAGUGCUCGAUGGUCGGUACAGUCCCUGAAUUUCCAAGUUGUUAGGCUGGGCGACCAGUCCCCGAGCAUACAGUGCUCGGUGGUCGGGCAGUCCCUGGAUUGUUGAGUUGACAAACUGGGCGACCAGUCCCCGAGCAUACAGUGCUCGGUGGUCGGUGCAGUCCCCGGAUUGUUGACCCUCUACCAAUUUUUGUCCGUCUAUUUUGAAAAAAAUCUUACCACACAAAUGAUUGA